UCCAUGCUUCUUAAAUCUGGGUACUGUUUUGUACAGAAGCUUUCAUCUAUAGAGAAGCACAUCUGUUUCAGGUACAUACUAUUAAAACUUAUGAGCAAGUUUGCUGCAAUGAUGUUCCACAUAUAUGGUUUGCAGCUCUAUCAAUUAAAUUUGGUGCCAACUUUUUGUACAAUUCUGCGACUUAUAGUUUCACCCAACUAUUAUGUGAUGAAUUUAGAGGGAUGGAGGUAAGGUUUGGCCAAGUUAAUUUGAGAAACUAAGAUGCCGAAUAGGUUCUUACUAUAUCACAUAUCAAUGGUCCUAGUUCUUGCAAUCGUACUUUUUGCAAUUGACAUUUGACAUAAAAUGUACAACCUCAAUGAGUCCUUUUUUAACAGAUUGAUGAGUCUAUUUCGUGCAGGCUAAUCUGAAAAAGAAGCCAAUUCAAGCUGUAGUUGACUAACAAAUGGGUCAUGUUUUUCAUAUGUAGUUGACGAACUUAUGUGUUAUUAGAUGUGCUCUUAAUACUUUGUUGUAUGCAAAUUAGACGGAUUGUGUUGGAUGACCGGCUCCUGCGUUCGUUUUCACAGACUGCUCCCUCUGUUCGUGGACAAAUACGGUGUCCAGUUUAGGUGUCGGUGUUGGAGAUGCCCUAAGCAUAAAGGAUGGGUGAAAUCAUAUGUGGUGUGAGCUAGUCUGGAAUAGAGCAGCGGCCAAACAAAGUGUAGUGUCCUAGUCAUAACCCGGUGCGGUGCGGUGCCGGGGGAUUCUGGUCUGGUACUUCCGUCUUCUGGUGGAGAAUAUCUGUUGUUGCGUUUGAACCUGAACCUGUUGUUGUUUCUUGCUCCGUAGGCAUCUCUUCAUUGAACUGGACUUCCUUUCUGGCUGAUUGAUUUGAUAUUUUGAUUCGAAACAAAUGUGCGGUUGUCAUGCUAUUUCCCGUGUCAUGCUAUUUCCAGCCUUGUGCCUAGCAUCUGCUGCCCCUGGCAUUUUGGUGGGGUAAAGUAGAGUAGUUAUGUCCCGGCUGUGUUGACGUUCAGAUUUUUCAGUCGCAUGCAUUUACGAACGGGCCGGUAAAACUGAGCUUGUAGUUGUUUCUUGCGUCAUUGGGCUCGAUCGUGUUCUAGCUAGAAGAAGAAAGAGAAGUUUCCACACACGCACACAGAGAUUUGUUCGUGUCGCUUUAGAUUUGCAGCAGUAAUUCUUUCACACACAGAGAUUUUAAUGUUUAAUUUGUGUGCAUGUUUUAUUUUAAGCUUAUUUUACAAAGUUCACACGGACAAAUGUGUCGGUCACUGUUGGACACAUUGGCUUGUUCAAACGGAUAGAUAGCGGACAAAAUUCACGAUUCGUUCACGCGUCGGAGUUGCUAAGUGCUGCAUGAGUGCAUGUGCUGUGCUGUGCUGGGGCGAUCGAGCAUGGAUGGUGCACGAGACGGGCACGAGACGAUUCUGAGUUGCUGACAAGAGGAGAAGACAGAAGAGGGUCGCGCCUGCCGAUCUCUUCCGUGCAUGAUUGAGGCACCGGCCCCACCCCCACGCACGGAACAGAUCCUCGACCGAGCUCUCACGGACGGACGUCGUCGGAGAAACACACAGGCACUGCGAUGGGGAUAUUUUUUAAGGAGGAAUGCCUCCUGCCUCUGCAUCGGUCGAUGCAUGUAACCAUAUUAUUAAAAAUCAAAACACAGUCUUAACAUCUAAAUAAGCUCAAAAUCCGAACAAAGAAGGAGAAAAUAAGUAUGUAAAGCGCCACAUCUGAUAAUAAAGCGCCACAUCCGGCGAUAAAGAACAUGCUACGAUGCCUACACACCUAGCCUAUUAUUAACUCGUCAUCCAAAUCGGCUGAAGAUAGCCCGUGCUACUGUGUCCCAGCGGUUGCACCCAAUAACCUUAGGCCCCAUGUAGUUCGCAUGAGUGAGUAACGACCACAUACGCAUCCAGACUGUACCUCUAUAGAUAACCUGCAAAAAAAAUUGGUGAAUGAUGUAGUAUUAAAAAUCAUAUCAUUUCUAGUGUUCCAUAUUAGCCCGUAAUAAAGCACACAUCCAUAUCGAAAUAUGUUUAGCCAUGUGUAUGUCUACUCCAUUAAGCCACGUCCCAAAUAACGUGUUACGAUGUGGAUGGGAUGCACGCAUGCGUGGAUGCAUGGUAUCUUCAUUUUUCUUUUUGGGAGCCAUCUCUAUAUUUUGAUUGAGAAGUUACGCAACACACGUAGCAAAAUAAAGAUGCAUUCUCCUGGCUGGCUAAGUGGCUCGCCGGGUGUCUAGCGACCUGUAGCUAGGGUGAAAUGUUUGCCACCGGUGGGUGUUAUGUACUCCCUCCGUUUCUAAAUAUAAGUUUUUUUAAAGAUUUUAACAAGAGACUACAUAAGGAACAAAAUGAAUGAAUCUAUGCUCUAAAAUAUUUCUGUAUAUAUUUAUAUGUUGUAGUCCAUUUCAAACCUCUAGAAAGAGGGAGUACAUGCAUGCACAUAUGUUUGGUCUAGUAUAGGAUAGAUGUCACAGGUUGGCAGGCCGUGUAGUGUGUAUGCAGUAAAUCGGAGACUUGUUUCUUCGCUCUGCUGUGGUUCGUUUGCUCUUUUUCUUUUGUCUAUUUCGUGGGGGCCUAAAAUGGCGGUUGAUGCGUUCAUCAUUCACCAGCAACCUACCUAUAGUUCAUUUGAUGUCCUGGCUCCCUCCCUCCCUCUCUCUCUCUCUCUCUGUGCAUUUGCUCAUGGACCCUCUACCUCUCUCCCUCGGUCCAUUGCAUCCCGUUUCCCGAGGAAGCCGUGGCGUCUUGCGCUUGUCCUCCUUCCUGCCCAGCUGGUCCUGCCAAGCCGAACUCUCCCUCCGUUUCUCUUUCCUUUCUCAUGAUGCAUGCAAUGUGUGAUGUAUUGUCAGUAUGUGUGGACGGCGAAACACGACGGCAUGCACGUCCGUCCAUCCGUCCGCAUCCAACGUCAGGCUGGCUGCUGCCAGCCAUCUUCAGGGCCAAACUACCGCCUUCAUGCAUAGCACGUGGUAGAGCUAGGGAGUAGUAUGUCUGAGCGUACGUGACAUGCAUGGAGCCCGUACACUGCAACAGGGUGAAAAAUGUCUGAGCGUACGUGACAUGCAUGGAGCCACACUGCAACAUGCAUAGACCUAGGGAGUAGUAUAUAUGUCUGAGUUAGGGAGUAGUGUGUCUGAGCGUAUGCUUGAUCAAGUUUAUAGAAAAUUGUAUCAAUACCUAUAAUACCAAAUAAAUAAAAUGUGAAAAUAUGUUUCAUGAUCAUUCAAACAAUGGCGAUUUGUGUUGUAGGUAUUGACUAGCAAAAGAGCCCGUACACUGCAACAGGAUGAAAAAUAUCGCACACCCUUAAUCAUAAUUAGAAUGAAUCAAGUGUACUAUAAGUUCCGAUGCAACAUAGGCCUCGAUUAUGGUUUUGUUGAAGGAGGAAGUAGAGAAGUUUGUAAUAAGCAGAUCAAGAGAGAAAAGGGUGAAUUAAUUAGCUCAGUCUCGUUUUGGAUUUGGAGCAACAAACUUUUUGCGCAUCAUGUAAAACUUUGUAAUAAUUUCUUUUGCACACAUCUUGUGAUAUGAUUAAGUGGUAACAUCUAAAAAAAUACGAUUACUAGCAUGCAUGUAAUGCUGUCCGGCCGAUGAGGAUCCCGUUUGAGAUGGUGCAUGACGGUGACAGUGGGUUGCUUUGGUCCAUGUGUCACGUGUCCCAUGCCGCCGGAGCAGCGCUCGCGUCUGCCUCCAUGAUUGAAGUGAACCACGCACGGAACAGAUCUCACGGACCGACGCCGUCAGACAAACACAUGCACGGAGAUGGGGAAUGGGAGUAGCCGAGAGAGGGAUUGUGAAUCCUCCUUUUUAGAUUUUGAUUGAGAAAGCAAAAUAAGAUGCAUCCUCCUAGGUUGCUAGCUAGGUGCCUAGUUGGUCCACAACCACAUCUACGGUGGGUGUUACGUACAUGCAUGCAUGCACAUAUGUCUCAUGUUUGGUCUAUCGAUCGGCUGUAACACACAGAUAUAUAUGUCUGUCACGGGUUGGCAGGCCAUGUAUGCAGUGCAGUAAUAAAUCUGAGAGCGAUAGUGGGAUGGAUAGUUUUUUUCCUCUGCUUGCCUUGCGUUGUUGCAUGCUUGGGUCAUGUUCACCUCGCUCAGCUAUGCAUCUCCAGGGCCGGCUUUGGCCGUGCAUGUGCCCUAGCUCGCUAGCUCGUGCAUGCAGUGCAGUGCAGUGAAGUGAAGGGGCGACGCAGUCAGGCAGCACAUGAAACAUUCCUGCUAAGCCAAGCCCAACUGCUUAUAACCUACCUAAUACACCUAGUUUCUGUGCGUGUAUGUACGUAUAAUCUGUGUGAGGUCCAUCCUUAGCUUUGUAUGCUUCCCUCCUACGUUGCACCGAUACGGCGACACCGAUACGACGAUACGAGUACGGCGAUACGGGAUACGGCAAUUUCUAGAAACAACAACACACGAUACGGCGGGUAUAUAUAAAUAAUUAAUAAAAUGACAUGUAAUAAAAACAAACAUAAUAAAAUUUCUGAGAUGAGAUCAAAAUACCACCCCAUUGGUUGACUCAUUGCCUCCAUGCCUCUUUUCUUUUCUAGUCUUGAAUGAUCAUCCAGGUCCUCAACUCCUCAUGGUGUAUGCAAAACAGAUCAAGUAAUCUACAAGUACUAGCAACUAGCAACCACUCCAUGUCCCUGCAGACGCCCAAACAUAGCCCCAUUCGUAACAACUAACGGGUAGGAGCAACUAGCAAGUAGCAACCACUAAUGAUUUAUGAAGACAAAAAGUUGAAUGAUGGAUCAACUAAAGCAGGCAAGCACUGAUUCCAGCCGGCGGAUCUACUUGCUUGGUACAAGAGGCAAGCGGCGGCUAGCUUGUUCCAGCCGGCGGCGAGGGGAGUCAACAGGGCAGAGCCGCCGGAGGCGACGAUUCCAGCGGCGAGCGACUCCAGCCGCCGCCGGCGGCGGCCAGCUUGCCCUCCUCUCCCCUGUCGUGCGCGUGCGAACAGAGUGACGCGGGCAGGGCAUAGGUUAGGGUUAGUACUGGGCUUUCUACUGGGCUGGCGUAUCCCAGCCGUGUCGUGGACUCUGUACAGCGCGUAUCGGCCUUUUUUUUCUUUUUUUUUAAAUCGAAAAAGAGAUACUUCGGCGAUACGCGUAUCGCGGCCGUAUCAGCCGUAUCGGCGUAUUGGCGACGUACAGGACGGGGAUACACAGGUUUUGGACGUAUCGGUGCAACGUAGCUUCCCUCUCGCUCUGCGUGCAUGCUCCGGUCCGAGCCUGUCUCGUUGGGCACCACAGGCCUAGGUCCACAGACCGUCGUAGGCGUCGCGUUUCCCGAGGGAAGCUUUGUCAUCUAGCUAGGGCUGGUCAUGCCAACUGCCAUGCCAAGCGAAGGUACAUGCAAAACGCACCGCCAUGUGUGUAUGAUCAAUGUAUGUGGAGCCAUGCAAUUGUACUGCAUGCAUGCAAGCAGCUCGACGAUGACGGUCGUACAAUCGGCAUGCAUGUAGGUACGGACGUACUACGUCCGCCCGUGAGCCGCCCAACUGAAAUCCAAGGGGGCGAUUGAGUUCGUGCUCAUCUUCAACCUCCAGCCCUUUUCUACCUCUAUCCUCCGGCCAGCCAGGCGUGAUUUCAUCUAGCCCGACGCCACGCAGCGACUUCCUUCCCUUAUGACAUGCAUUGAGCUGCACACAGAGGUGACAAACAAAAGGUGUACUCCCUUCGUCCGGAAAUACUUGUCGCACGAAUAGAUAAAAUUGGAUAUAUCUAAAACUAAAAUAUGUCUAGAUACAUCCAUUUCACCGACAAGUAUUUCCGGAUGAAGGAAGUAUUUAAUUGCAUGUUUCAUGUCCGUACACCACAGACACAGUAGUCCAAAGCAUAUUGAAGCAAUGGAGGCAAUGUGAGAUAUUCGGAUCAUGGAGGGAGUAUUUAAUUGCAUGUUUCCGGAUGGCGACGAGUAGACCAGUAGGACCAUGGAGGCAAUGUGAGAUAUUCGGAUCCAACAUCAACAUGAGGCAAUGGCCACAGGGACCAGAGACGGCGAUGGAGGGGGCUGGUUAGCAAUAUGGUGGAUGUAUCCGCAUGUUGCGGGUGAGAGAAAUAUAAAAAAAAUGAGAAAGAGAGAAAGAUCAAGUGGUUGGUGAGGUUGGGUACAUGUAUACGGUUGGUACCAGCAUCCCUUCCUAGGCCCAGCCCAAUUCACAAAAAAGCAUAUCCCGCUAAUCAGAGAUGGAUCGAGGUGUGAAGAGCCUCUAGGGAGGGGGGUGAGGGGGGGAGCAUGAAAUUUUUUCUUUUUCUCUUAACAUGACUACUUGUGUUGCUUUUAUCACUUUAUUAUUUUGGCUACAAGUGCCUUUGAACCGAAAAUCAUGUUGGCUAGGCUAUUUAUUAUGUGUACCUGAAAAAUCCCUAAUGAAUAUGAUUGUGAGGUAUUAAGAUACAAAUGUGUUUCAUCAAGAAAUGAUGUUGUGUAUUUAUAGACCCCAUUAUCAUGUAACCAAUAAGUUCCAUUGCCUUUCACGAGCAUGGAUGGUCAUACGUUCGUAGGUUAGGGCAACAAGACAUCUACUACUCUUUAUCUAUAAGGAACUCAACCAUACUCUACCAGUGUGCAUUGGUGUACACCGCACCAUACCAUGUAAUGAAGCAUAGUUGUACAUUGACUGCUUAUGCUGUAAUAGCUAGUUUACAAACUAACUCAUGAAAAUGCAUAUAUUCUAACGGAUUGAGUUUGUUUGGACUGGUUAGAGGUUUUUUUUAUGCAUUCUCAAUCAAGUAACUAACCGUAAGAAUGAAGAAUGUCAACUUGGGUUGGUGAGAACUCAAGAAAAAGAGUUGUUGACACCUCAUGCCGUUUCUAGAAUUUUAUAUUACUCUGGACUAGACUAGAUAAUACUGAUUUACAAAUCGCUUUGGCAAUAUUGUUACCUGUGCAUUGUAGAUUUUUGUAGAAAUACAUUUAUAGAUUUUAAAAUUGGUGUGAACACACAUGUACACAACCAUACAGGCAAGUUGUAAUACAACAUCAAAGAGGCACAAAUUAUUCACCAUUAAUACAAUUUUCAUCUCUCACGCUUUGGUACAUUUAGUCAACAAAACUAUACACACUUACCGUAGGAAAAACAUCACAAUUAAAUGAUAAAAAUAAUUAUUGUCUCCACUAGCAUAUUUGUAAUAACAAAUUGUGGGUUGGACAACAAUAAACUGCACUUUAAUAUUACCAAUGUGAUUGUAUGGUUAAUUUUGUUAGAUAUAUUAGUGAAAAAAUACAUUAAAGUUUUGAAACAAAGGUUAUAUAUUUCUUAGAAAAUUAAGUUAAUUUUAAAUAAAAUAACUAAUAAACAAAAUAAAAAUGUUUAGUAUAAUUAGAUGAGUAAUACUCAUAAAUGACGAGAAGAGCCUAGUUUGAGUCCUUAUCACUUUCCUAACUACAAAUAUAAAUGACAUAACCAUUUUCAGUAUCAAAUAAGUUUUUUCAUUUUUCAUUUUGUUACGACAUGUUAGGAUUUAAUUAUUUUGUUUAACUCAAUAAAAUAUUUGCCUAACGGAACGAGAUCCUCUGACGUGUUGGAGCAAAAGUAGGGAAGUUACAGUGCUCCCUUGUGUAAAAGCAUAGAGACAAGUCACGGAGCGAAGCAGACACUGUAACUAAUAUAAGGAAGCUCAUUACUGUAGACAGAUUACUGUAGAUAACACAGGUUCAAAUCCCUGUUCAUGCGCCUGUGGUGAAGCAACGUCAGGGGACUGUAGCGCCCCCUGCUUUUCCUUCACACGUCAGAGGAUCUAGUUCCCUGCCUAACAACCGACGUGCAAUUAUUCUCCUAAUAAGUUCAGGCAUGUGUGAAACUGCCCAUCCUGGAAGGAUUCAUCGUGCGUAAUGUCGAAAGCAUCCGUGCACUUCUAACACCUCUGCUGCCCGCUGCGAUGCCAAAUCCCGUGCUAGAAGGCAAUGGAAGCAUUCUGCACACAAUUUCUCACAUCAGGCAUGAAGGGGUUGAGAUUGAGCGUGCCAAGAAAGUGAUCAAGUUUCGGAAUGGAGGGCUCGCAAAGCAAGCUGACAAGCUUGGCGGAUUAUUAUAUGAUGAGUUAGGGAGGGCUCUAGAUGGCAGGAUGCCCUUGGCGGUGUUCCAGGGCCGUAUUCCAAUGUAUCUCCAUGAAAUUGACCAGUUGCUUGACUCGCGGAUGGAUUUCUGAGGAAAGUUGUAAUUUAAUUGACAGGUGAUAACAAUGUAUUGAUUGCCCUUGGAUGUUGUUUUGUUCCAUUCGUGAUAACAAUGUUUUGUUCCAUUUGGAUUUGGAUUUCAGAAUUUAAAUGCAAAAGCUUCAUUUCUCUACUGUUUGUAGAAACGACGUGUGCAGGUAGGGUGCCCGCUGCUCUCGUGGAAUUUACAUACCGCCCUCUCUCUACCGUUGCCCCCUCGGGGGCGUCCGCGAUGUCCCGCCACCGCUAAACCCAUCUGCCCUACUCCUAGAGUUGUUGUUAUUCGAGCUAAGGAGCCAAUCAUAAGUUGUAUUAUAGCAACAUUAGAUGACUCAUAUGUGAUAGUAAUUGAUGGUUCGGAAAUGUGACCACGUGACACAAUGUGGUAACCAAUCCAGACUAUUCAAAAAAAGAUGGUUUGGAGAUGAGAGCAUGACAUUGCAAUUAUGUGACUUUUAAUGUCUUGCCGGCAUUGAAAUAGAUAAUUAUGUUCCGAAGGCGUCUGCACAUCGACCCAGAUGUCGAUAUUACCUUCAAUAUCAUCUUCCGGACGAAUACCAAAGGUGAUAACCAUGCCAGGCUCAAAUGCAUAAGUCUUGCAUAGUGUUUGCCAAGUUUUGCAUUCAAAAUAGGUGUAGGUGUCUGCGUUGUAUAAUUUUGCGUGGAAAGUAUAACCAUGCUUGGUGUUCAAGUAAACUCUGUUUACCUCCAUAGUAGUUUUCAUAGGACUGAAACCUAUCUUAUCCAAGACAAAAACCCUUGCAUGGCAGGGGAUACGCUAGUAGAAUAGUAAAAAAAUAAAUUAUAAGUUGAAGCAAAUGAAGCAGAUGUCAUGCUUAAUUACGAAAAAAGGCUUGUCGUUGUGACUUACUAUAUCCAUUUCGAAGUUCUCGUUCAGCUUGAUGCUGAAGCGCCUAUCAUCAUCUAGGAAGAUUCUGUCGCACAGGCCACGCUCGUCUUUGCAGUAUUUGCAAAUACCGAAAUCCUUUUCGUUGUCGUACAUUUCCUAUGUUCAUAGUUGAAACAUUAAUUGAAAAUCGAUCGAAGACAACUACCAGGAUACUCAACACACAAAUUCGGGGCACUCGAUAUUAUUCUGGCACAAGUAAUGCCAAAAUUCACGGAAAAAUCCGGCAUGACCUUUGCUAAAAUAGGACAUAUUGAGCGCCUAAAAUUUGCUAGAACGGAAAUGAAUCAACACUCCGGCAAAACAUAGGCCACUCAAAGGUGUAACCUACAAACAUGACCGGCCACUUGGGCAAGCACAUAUCCUAUUUGAGCAACACAAGAUAUACAUUUUAGAAUAUCUUAUAGGACUCAUAUUGACAUGAGCAUUCAAUAAGCAAAACCAGAUCGUAAAAUAAAUAAGUAUUCAAAUUAGCAUGCAUUCAAUAAGCAAAGUAAAUCAUCUAUUGCGUCCGUACAUCAUCGAAUAUUAUCACUAAUACAUCCCGAAUAGUAUCAUACAUAUAACAUCACUAAUACAACUAAAACCCUAGCGAACGAUGGGUAUCGGCGCGGGCGGUGGACACCCAAAGAGAAGGAACCAUCACAGGAUCAUAGCUCCAGUGAGAUCCCUGGAGAACCUGCCAGGUACUGGAGAAUCUGUGCUCUAGCGCAACCAAGUAGUGACAGACGUGCGCGUCCUCCUCACUGACACGGUGACAUACCACCUCCGCGGGGUCCUCAAGCCUCUCGGCCGUCACUGGCACACGCGACUGCCACCAAAGAAGGUUCGGGUCAAUGACGGGCUGACUCCCACCAAGCUGUGCCCCCCGGUAGUUAGCACCUCCCAGUACCAGCCUGGCGAAGCCCAGUCCCGGACAUGGGCCAUCUGUUCAAGCAGGUGUCCUCCGCCGAGUCGACGACGAGGAUGCGGGAUAGGCAUCGUCGAAGUCGAUGCGGGAAAAUUGCUUUAACUAAAAAAAUAGCAACAAAUGUGACAUGUUCAACUAGUUCUAUUAAUUCAACUAGUUCUUACUAAAAAUAAACUUACUAUAAAUCAAAAUAAACUAGUACCUAGUUCUUACUAACUAAUUAGUACCUAGGAACUACUGCCCUAAUUACCAUCUAAUUUAAUGAACCUAGGGGUGGAAAGUGGUAGCGGAUAAUCCGAAAUUUGAUGCAAUAGAUGAACCCUAACUAAUUUGAUGCAAUUAAAAUUUGAAGAACUCUAGGCAAAGGUAGGGGAGGGGAGGAGCAGGCGUGCUCACCUCGGGUGCCUGUGGCGAGGGAGGGGCACGCAGCGUCAAGAUCGGAGUUGGGGCUCGGGCGCGUGGCGGAGGGCGGCGUCGAGGUCGGGGGUCAGGGGCACGUCAAGGUCGCGGGCGGCAUCGAGGUCGGGGGUGGGGGCGGCGUCGAAUCCGGGGUCAGGGGCGGCGUCGAGGGUGGGCAGAGAGCGACGGGAGAGCACGCAACGGCCGACGGGCGACGGCGGCGGCGACAGCGGAGGAGUUGGGAUUUGGGGGAAAUGACCGUAGGGAAGAAUCGUGCAGUUAAGCCGAAAGUAGCAGUAGCGCUUUCUGGUAAGUGCGCUACUGCUAAGUUAGCUAUAGCGCGUUCCUGGAUACGCGCUACUGCUACCCCUUUCUCUUUUUUCCUCUUUUCAUUUAUUUUUCUUUACGUUUUAUUUUUUCCUUUCUCCUUUUUCUAUUUCUUUCAUUUUCCUUUAUUUUUCUAUUUGAUUUCCAUUUAAUUUUAGUCCCUUUAUCAGUAGGGCCUUUCUUUAUAAACGCACUGCUACAAAGCAUGUAGCGUAGCGUUGUUCGCCAGGGAUUGCUACUACUAUGUGUAGCCUAUCGGCUAAGCAGUGGAAAUUUUAGCAGUAGCGCGUUUAUCUUCAGGCGCGCUACUGCUACAAUUGUAUGUGUAGUGUGGUUUAUGCCAACGCGCUACUGCUACUUAGCACUAGCGUGGUUUUUUGACACGCGCUACUGCUAAAGUUCUGUGUAUAAGGUGGUUUUCCCUAGUAGUGUCUGUCAAGGCGGACCCAUCCCAAAUCCUCUGAAAAUUAACUAGUUCUCCGCAUGGACCGAACUCGUUCCUCCCCUCCUCCAUUUCUCCCACCUCCGCACAACGACCCACCCCUCCCUUGCUCGCCGUCACCGGCUUGGCGAUGGAUAAUUGCAAGGAGAAGAACCUUGCCCGGAAGGAGUAACAUCGUAGGCAGCACGAGCGUGAGGCGGCGGAGAAGAUAGUGGCGACAAAGGCAACUGCGGACGCGUCCUUGGUGGCCGCUGCUGAGGACAUGAACCCGAUGCAGGCCAAGCUAUCGGUCAUGUCCACGGAGACAAACAACAACAUUUCACCGUUGGUGGACUUCGUUACACCCUCCUAGCGGAAGGGCAUCCCAGAUUUGAGCAUUUCGCAAUCCUUCCCUGAAGCAGACAUGAUGGCUGACUCAUCGGAGCUUCAAAUGCAUCGGGCUAAGAAGAUGAAAAAAAAUGACGGGUCGAGCUCGACUCAAUCAAUUGGACUGGAUGAGAAAGUAUAACAAGAAAAUGGUGCAACAGACUUGCAACCAACCAUGCCAAAAGAACUGGCAAGUGAUGGGGAACAAGUGAGAGAACGAGAGGGUGGCGCGUGAAGGUGCGGCAAGCAAAAUGUCUGCCACUUGUACAUGCAUUUUUUAUGCUAAUGAGGUGAAGAAGGAGAAGAGGUACAUGAUGUUCAUUGACGUUCAAAGGGAGAAGAUGGAGUUCGGCCGGGAGGAGUUGUUCUUGGAGAAGAACAAAGUGGAAUUGGAGAGGCAAGAGAAGGUUGCCAAAUGGGAGCUUGAGCAAACGGUGACAAUAUGUGGUCUGGAGCUCGAGAAAGAGAGGUUGCGGCCUGCUAGAGAGACGGGGGAGUCGAGGAUCAUGUUGCAGGACAUCAACCUCUUCGAUGAGGAAGGGAGGUAGUGGUUUCUCCGCAUGAAGAAGAGGAUCAAUGAUUGCGAGGAGUGAAGUCAUCGAUUCAUUCGUGUAUCGCUUAUCUAUGUGUGAACUAUUGAAUUUUAUUUUGGAAUGUACCGAAUUUAUUCGGGCUACACUAUCUUUGUGUUAUUGAAUGUAUGAUGAUUUUGCGUUGUAUGAUCGUCGUGUAUGGGUUUGCAUGGAUUUGGGUACUGAUAUUUGGGUGGUGUGGCUGUGGGGACGUCCAAAUGGGAACCUGCCCGACGCCGUCCGCGGGCGCAUCCUUGGGCAUAUGGGAGUCACGUUUGCUACUUGCGCUUGUAGAUGCUCUUAAAGGGGACACCUAGAACAUAUGUGUUAGUUGAAUUCAAGUUUGAACUACUCCCUCCAUUUCAUAAUGUAGUGUGUAUAGAUUUUUUUUUUUGAAAAGUCAAUGCUCACAAAUUUUGACUAAGUUUAUAGGUAAAAUGAUUUCCAUCUAAAAUGCAAACAUAUAUCGUUAGAUUCAGCAUAACAUGUAGUUUCAUUUUUUUUCAAUAUAUUUGGUAUUGUAGAUAUGAAUAGUUUUCUCUAUAAAUUUGGUCAAAAAACUUAUAAAUUUUGACUCUCAGAAAAAUCUAUACGCACUAUAUUAUGGAACGGAAGGAGUAUUUUAUUGUAAAACUUAGAUGGAUUGUAAUAUUUAAAUUAAAACUACUAUCCCAUUUGAUAAUUUCAAUCAUCAUCGAUUUGAUAUGUUGCAAUUUUCAGCUCGUGGACUUAAAAAAAUAGGCGAAAGUUUAAAGGACAGGCUGGCUCCAUCAUCAAUGUCUGUUCACGAAUAAGGUGUCCAUUUUGAGGGUCGGCCCUGAAGAUGCCCUUAGACUAGAGUUAUGUAGCGGGGUACAGACAACACAGGGAAAGCGAGAGAUAGGAAUGUGAAAGGAACAAUCAGGUGCAAGAUAACAAGAUAAUGGUGCAACGGACUUGCAACCAACCAUGCCAAAAGAACUGGCAGGUGAUGGGGAGCAAGUGGGAGAAAACGAGAGGGUGGCGCGUGAAGGUGCAGCAAGCAAAAUGUUUGCCACUUGGACGGGCAUCUUAUUUGCUAAGGAGGUGAAGAAGGAGAAGAGGUACAAGAUGUUCAUUGAUGUGCAAAGGGAGAAGAUGGAGUUCGACCGGGAGGAGUUGUUCUUGGAGAAGAACAAAUUGGAAUUGGAGAGGCAAGAGAAGGUUGCCAAAUUGGAGCUUGAGCAAACAGUGACAAUGUGUGGUCUUGAUCUCGAGAAAGAGAGGUUGCGGCCUGCGAGAGAGACGGGGGAGUCGAGGAUCAUGUUGCAGGACAUCAACCUCUUCGAUGAGGAAGGGAGGUAGUGGUUUCUCCGCAUGAAGAAGAGGAUCAAUGACUGCGAGGAGUGAAGUCAUUGAUUCAUUCGUGUACCGCUUAUCUAUGUAUGAACUAUUGAAUUUUAUUUUGGUAUGUACCGAAUUUAUUCGGGCUACAAUAUCUUAGUGUCAUUGAAUGUAUGAUGAUUUUGCAUUGUAUGAUCGUCUUGCAUGGGUUUGCAUGGAUUUGGGUAUUUUGCAUGGAUUUGGGUAUUGAUAUUUGGGUAGUGUGGUUGUGGGGAGGUCCAAAUGGGAACCUGCCCGGCGCCGUCCGCGGACGUGUCCUUGGAUGCUAUUAAAGGGGACACCUAGAACAUAUGUGCUAGUUGAAUUCAAGUUUGAACUACUCCCUCCAUUUCAUAAUGUUGUGUAUACAUUUUUUUUAAAAGUCAACGCUCACAAACUUUGACUAAGUUUGUAGGUAAAAAGAUUUUCAUCUAAAAUGUAAACAUAUAUCAUUAGAUUCAGCAUAACAUGUAGUUUCAUUUUUUUAAUAUAUUUGGUAUUGUAGAUAUGAAUAGUUUUCUCUAUAAACUUUGUCAAAAAACUUAUAAAUUUUGACUUUCAGAAAAAUCUAUAUGCACUAUAUUAUGGAACGGAGGGAGUAUCUUAUUUUAAAACUUAGAUGGAUCAUAAUAUUUAAAUUAGAACUACUAUCCCAUUUGAAAAUUUCAAUCAUCAUCGAUUUGAUAUGUUGCAAUUUUCAGCUUGAGGACUUCAAAAAAAUAGGUGAAAGUUUAGAGGACAGGUUGGCUCCAUCAUCAAUGUCCGUCCACGAACAAGGUGUCCGUUUUGAGGGUCGGCCAUGAAGAUGCCCUUAGACUAGAGUUAUGUAGCGGGGUACAGACAACACACGGAAAGCGAGAGAUAGGAAUGUGUAAGGAACAAUGAGGCUAGCUUAGCUAGGAGAUGCAAGAGGAAGAAGGGGCCAUGCGUGCAUGGCCGUAUGCGUAUGGCAUUUCUUCGCCGCUCGGGAUGUGCCCAACCAUCCAUCAAUCUUCAAUCUUGGUGCUCCUACGUACGUACACAUACGUGCUCGGGUGCAUACAUGCGCGGUGUCGCGGCGACAAGCGAGGCUCUUUUGUGCAUGUGGAGUGUCUCUCGCUUUUGUGUACGCAUGCAUGAGCAGUGCCGCUUCUCGAGUGCCUGUGGUGUCUCCAUCCACCUUUCUACGUGCACGUUCGAUUCCAUGCCUUUAUACAUACCUACAUACAUGUGGUACCCUACAUGUGCUUGCUAAUCAUUUGGUGUGUCGAAUGCAUUGUUGGUUGCUCAUCCAACUUAAUUAGCCAUGCAUGCACGCAUGUGUGUGAGAAUAAUCCUACCGGCACCAAGUAGGUGUCAAAUUCAACACACACACACGCGCACACACACACGCGCACGCACACACACACACAAGUGGCACAAGCGUGCGUGGCCUCUUGCAAUGCACUCUGCCAGGUGAUGAAGUUGGUGUUCCCUGCGGCCAUGGACGCCACGGCCUCCUCACGUGCGAGUUCGCCGUAGAUUUGGCACUCCGCUGGCCGGUGCUGCUCGAGGAGGGAUAGGUUGCCCCGCUACUUCUCCUGCGCCUGUCGAAACACCGACCGGAUCCGGCUGCUCCUCCCCAUGGAGGCGAUGAAGCACACCAGCACCUCUUCCAUGGUCAAGUCGACAUGGAACAACACGAGCAGGGCUGUCGAUGUCGUGGGAGUAAGUCUGACAGUAAGAAUAGGGGGUACGUAGAAGGACGCAAGGUCCUAGCUACGGUGAGGUUGUACACGCAAGUUUACGAGUUCAGGCCCCUCUCGGAGGAGAUAACAGCCCUACGUCUCGGUGCCCGGAGGCUUGUCGACUGGAUUAUGCGUGGAGUUACAGGAGGUCCGAACCCUUGUGCCUGAGGAGCGGGUGGCUUAUAUAGAGUGCGACAGGACCCUCGCAGCCCUCAGUUACACAGGGUUCAAUGUGAGUUAAGACAGAUGCGUUACUGGUAACGCCAGCUAUUAAUGAUCUUCAUGACUACAGAGUGAACGCCUGACUGUUGCCAUCCUGACACUAGUAGAAAAAGGGCCUUAUGUUCAACACUUUAGUACUGGUUUGUAAUAGAACCGGCAUUAAUGUGACCAUUAGUGCCGGUUCCAACGGCUAGGUGGGCGGCUCUCAUUAGUACCGGUUCGUGGCGAACCUUUAGUAUCGUUUCGUGCCACGAACCGGUACUAAAGAGGUGGUGGCAGGCUAGUGUCGGGCUAUGGCCCCACCAUGACCUAUAGUACCGGUUCAUGCCACGAACCGAGACUAGAAAUUAACCUUUAGUCCCAGUUCAUGUAACCAACCGGGACUACAGAUAUCACUAUACAUAGUGCAUCUUCCAGCCCGAGCCGAAGCUCUCUGUUUUUUCCCUCCUCUUUGUUUUCUUCCCCUCUUGCUCGAGCUCCCACCUCCAUUUUUGCCAAAAUUUUCCAACAUUUGAAGGCACCUGUCGGUGUCAAAACCGGCGGAUCUUGGGUAGGGGGUCCCGAACUGUGCGUCUAGGCGGAUGGUAACAGGAGACAAGGGACACGAUGUUUUUUCCCAGGUUCGGGCCCUCUCGGUGGAGGUAAAACCCUACUCCUGCUUGAUUAAUAUUGAUGAUAUGGGUAGUACAAGAGUUGAUCUACCACGAGAUCAGAGAGGCUAAACCCUAGAAGCUAGCCUAUGGUAUGAUUGUUGUUCGUCCUACGGACUAAAACUCUCCGGUUUAUAUAGACACCGGAGAGGGCUAGGGUUACACAGAGUCGGUUACAAUGGGAGGAGAUCUUCAUAUCGUAUCACCAAGCUUGCCUUCCACGCCAAGGAAAGUCCCUAUCCGGACACGGGACGAAGUCUUCAAUCUUGUAUCUUCAUAGUCCGGGAGUCCAGCCAAAGGUCAUAGUCCGGCCAUCCGGACACCCCCUAAUCCAGGCCUCAGUAGCCCCUGAACCUGGCUUCAAUGACGACGAGUCCGGCGCGCCAAUCGUCUUCGGCAUUGCGAGGCGGGUUCCUCCUCCGAAUACUUCAUAGAAGAUGUUUGAACACAAGGAUAGUGUCCGGCUCUGCAAAAAGAAGUUCCACAUACCACCAUAGAGAGAAUAAUAUUUGCACAAAUCUAAUCAGCUGACGUAUUCCGCGGCGUGACAUCAUGCCAUGGUCAAGCCUUUAUUCGAAUCGUUUUACUGUUCCACCUCAGCGCGUUUAGCGAGGCGGUUUGCUUGGCACGUCUUGUCGAAGCAGAGAUCGUGUCCCCUUAUUCCGGGAUUCUCAUCAAUACGGGCGUGGGUAACCCAACCGUGCCUUUUGGUAUGACUCUCUAAUUGAAAGCGAGUCCCAAACGGUUAUGGGGAGGCCUCUUGGUAUUCAACCCCUUUAUAAAGAGACCAAGGCUCGACUCCCUUUUCUUUCAAUCCAAUCGAAUCCGCCCCUCGCCUCGAGUUCCAACACUCAAAGCUUCUAGUUGUAGGCGCUUCGGACUUUCGACGAUGUCCGGUUCCGACCUUCAAGGCCGGUGGGUGCCUUCCUUUGUUACGGAAGAAGACGUGCGAAAGCUGAGAGAUGCCAGGUAUCUAACCGGCGAAAUCUCGCAUAGGCUGCCUGCUCAAGGGCAGGCCAUUCCUUCUCCUCAGCCCGGCGAGAGCGUGGUGUUCAUAUCUCACUUCCUUCGGGGGCUAGGCCUCCCGAUUGAUCCCUUCGUGAGAGGGCUGAUGUUCUAUUACGGGCUGGAAUUCCACGACCUAGCUCCGGAGUCCAUCCUCCAAAUUUCGUCAUUCAUUGUUGUGUGUGAAGCCUUCCUCCAUAUCACCCCUCACUUCGGAUUGUGGCUUAGUACCUUCAAGGUGGAGCCGAAGAUGAUCGAGGGGCAGCAUGUUGAGUGCGGAGGAGCUAUCAUAAGCAAGAUAGCCGGCGCUCCAUGGCCCGAGGGCACUUUCCAAGAAGAGUUCGACUUAUGGCAACGGGACUGGUUUUAUAUCACAGCCCCCAGGGGCACCACAUGGGUGGCGCCACCUGCUUUUCGCUCGGGUCCCCCACCACGGCGAGCAUCAUGGGUCAAUGAAGGGCUUAUCUGGGGGACGUCCAAAGACGUGCCCCUACUGCAGUACCGCAUUCGAGAUCUCCUAGAAAGAGAUAUUAACUUGACCAUAGUGGCGCAAGUUAUGCUGAUUCGCCGCACGCUGCCCUGCAAACGUCGCCCUCUCCGCCUGUGGGAAUUUAAUCCGGAGGGACCGCGAGUCCUCCAACAUUUUAUGGGCGCGACGCCCAUGGAGAUGUACAAAUUGUUCUUCGGACCAGAAGCAAGGUGUCCGGACUUAUCCGAGGACGCAGGUCUGAGCUGCAAUCGCCAGGAUGCUAAGGUAAGUAGUCCCGUACUUGGACACACCAUCCGCAUUUUCAUCAUAAAGUGGCCCUUUAACAGAGCUAUCCUUUGAACAGGAGUGGAUAGCAAAGGCAAAGCUUAUCAGGUGUCCAGCCCCCCUGCCCAAGACCGCGCCGGAUCCCGUGUUAACCAAGAUGCUGGAGAUUAUACUUUCGACAGAGGGCGAAGAGGGGAACCAAGGAGCUACGGCCUCCAUGAAGGAGACUAUCAGGAAGGGAGGAAUCGAGAAUUCCCCCAACCUGGGAAAGAAAAGGAGUGCCUCUGAGGACCUAGAGGGGAUGACCUCGAAACGGGGGAAGAAAUCUUUGUCAGAGGAUCCGGCGCCGGGGACUGUCCCGGCCGCAUUGCGCCCUCAAGGGGAUCAGCUUUCCUCCGAGCCGUAAGUAAAGAGAGGGGUUCAAAAAUUAGUGGCAUUCCUGUUUUAUUUCUGAGGAAGAUAACCGAAAUAUUACCUUGCAGUUCGGAUCAACCCUUCUCAGCAGAGCUCGUCUUCAGGGGAUCUUCGUCUGGAGAUGAUGGAGAGCGAAACGCCUCCCCUAGCUACACCGACUUGCGAGGCAGGCGAACCCGAGGUGUCGUCCCGGCGGGUUUCCCCAAGUCCGGAUCCUGAAAAAGGUCAUCGGGCUAGUCCGGUGCCCUCCGGUGCGCGGUCGGAGAGGCUGAGGGAUCUGCUCGGGCGAGCGUCCAUCUCAGAAGAACACCGUAUGUUGAUGAACAUGGUGAUAGGAAGGAUUUCAUCCGCAGAAAGCAGGUUGUACGAGGCCGCCAGGAGUUUACUGACAGGCUUUGAGGUACGUGAAAAGGUGUACCUUUUGGUAGAGCCGCAUAAAAUGCGCCCUGUAUAAAUAGUAGCCCCUGAGACUCUGUGUGUCGUCAAGAGUGAUGGCGCACAGAGGAUCAAAACCCCAGGUAUAAAAUGUCACAUUUUUAUGAAGGUGGCGAGGCAUUCGGUGGCUAGCCGGACUGAUGAAUCUGCCGAGCUAAAGCGGCAACUUGACGUGGUGGAUGCCGACAUCGCGCUUGUAAAUAAACGGCUAGACGAGGCACAAGGUAUGCUCCACAGAUAUCUGAUAGGAGGAGUUUGAUGCUCGUGCCUUACAAUAUAUGUGCUUAUUGCAGAUAGUGUUGCUGCCAUGGAGAACCUUCGGGCGGAACUCGCCCGAGCCAAGGAGCAAGCAAGGAAAAGUAAUGCGGCUGGCCUUAAGGCGGCUGAGGAGCUGAAAGCCGAACAUGCUGUUCACUGCCAGAGUAAGAAGGUAAUAACCGAGAUGGCUAUAAAAUUGAAGGAUGCUGCCGACUGCUGUAAAUAUCUAGAACAAGAAGAAAGGGCGGCUCAGAAGGACCUUGAGAAUAUCACUGCCGAGGCCAAGGAUGCUCGCUCUGCAUUGAGAGCUAUGAAGGAAGAGCUGCGUCAGGCCGGAGAUAUCACGGCUGGAAAGCCCUAUAUGCUGUGGAUGAAGUUCGGGGAUCCUAGGUAUGCUCCGUUAGACCGGCAGUGGAGUGCGGAAAACACUUAUCUGGAUUUGGCAGUGAGUGCGGCGGACGCAACCGAACACUUCCGAGGUCGAGGUGACCAUAAAUUGGAAGAACUUUUUUGGUCGCAACUCCACAAUCCAGAUCGCCCACUUUCGGUAUCCGACCAUUUGGUCGCCUUUGCGGAGCUGAACAGGUUAUCCGGACUCGCCAUGAAGUAUGUUGCGAGUCGUUUGUGGCCGGGGGAGCCAGAGCCGAAGAGUUAUUUUGGAUUGAUGCAGCAGUUCCUUGGUUCUGUGCCGCAUGUUGAUGCAAUGAAGAGGUCGGCGUGCAUAGAGGGUGCACAAAUGGCUCUUGCCCUUGUCAAGACAUACUGGGCGGAUAUGAAGGCCAGUGUUGUCGCAUCCCAGGAUUCGGACGAAGGCCGGGUACCUGCCAGGCACUACUUUGAGGAAGUUCUUCCGGGCGCUCGUUUAAUAGAAGCGCAGUGCUCGAAGGAUGUUGUGUUCGAAUAGCAUGUGCUAUUGUAAAAAAAGUAUUUUGAUAGAAUAUGAAAGCUUUUUAUACUUGUGCUUGCAAGAAUUAUAAUACCUCUUGUGCGGCCGUUAAUGUAUAUGUGUAUAUAACCUGAAAGAUGGUAGUCGUUGGCUUCAGCCCCCACGCAUAAAAUGCGGGGGUGUUCGCAAAAGGCGCCUUUGCACACUUAAUCCAACGUCUUGGUCCUACAAAGGAGGUGAUAGCGCGGUGAACUAGGCAACCGGACUAUAAUGCUUUAUCACUUUCACUUAGCCAUAGGAGUUUGACAUUGGGGCUACUCAAUAGCCCCUGAAGGCACCGCGCUCGCCCGAAUUCGGGGCGUGUGUGUGCCUGACCGAGGAGCGGUCCUUCGUUAAUGCGGAGGAAUCCUAAAGAUUCCGAGAGUCCUCGAGUGGUUGACCAGUCUCUUGAUGUAUCAUGACAGUCAGUUUUCGGCUUUCUCUACUGAGGUGCUCGCCUGGCCGAACCGGGGCACAAUGCAGUAGUUCUCCUGGUGCCGCGUUAGCCGAUAUAACGGAACGUAAGGCAGCAAAACACAGGAGCAGGGCAAACCCAACAUUUGACCAAAGACAUGAUUCGGAGCUGAUGCAUAUAAGGCCAAACUCGCGACGCCGAACACUCCCUAAGGUAUUCGGUCUUUAUUAAGACGGGCCGAAAUAGAGCCCUUGGUAAAAAAGCCCCUGGUGUCCACGUACGCGCAAAAUUCUGGCGUGGCCACAUGCCAAGACGCCAGCCUCCUCCUCGGUUAUAGCGAAAACCGGGGGAUGUUGUCAACAAGAGACAGUAAAAAAGGUUUAUGCAGGGUCUUAAUCUGAAAAGAAUCCUUGAAACGGGUCCCUACUGCACGUCUGCGCCUGUGUCUCCGUUGUGCCGUAUCCUGGACGGGCGUAGCACGAUGUUCGUCUGCGAAAGAGAGGAACUUAGUAAAAAAUAAGUGUGCGAGAAAUCUAUAUUUAAAUAAACAAAAUAUAGUUGGAGCAAGAAGUGAGCUGUAUUGUCUCCUUGCGUGAACACGCGGAGCCCCUUGUACAGGGUUAUGCGGCUAUUAAGCCCAUGUAUGUUGACGCCGGACUCGUCUAGCCGUGUCCGGGAUAGUAGGGCUGGAUUAGUGUGCGGCUGUCCAGGCGGCCGCACCAUUACCCGUACUUUGGGGGUCAAUUGAUAUUCCUCUGUAACGAGAUGAUGCCUCGUGGGCCGGGCAUUUUAAGUGUAAGGGAUGCAUAAUGCGGUAUUGCGUUAAAGCGGGCGAAAGCUUCACGUCCCAGUAGCGCUUGAUAGCGACUUACGAAUGGGGCGAUGUGGAAUGUUAGCUUUUCGCUUCGGAAGUUGUCGGGUGAGCCAAACAUGACUUCUAACGAAAGGGAACCCAUACUCUGGGUAUCUGGACCCGGCGUGACUCCUUGAAAGGAAGUGUUGCCAGGGCGGAUUAUAGCUGGGUUUACCCCUAGUUUGCGGAUUGUGUCCUAAUAUAACAGGUUUAAGUCACUGCCGCCGUCCAUAAGGACUUGUGUAAAUUGGAUUCCAUCAAUAAUCGGAUUCAAGACCAAGGCAGUCCAGCCUGCGUUCCAGUCCCCUCUGGAAUAAUCCUGAUGAUCAAAGGUGAUUGGUUGUAACAACCAGUGGCGGUGCUCCUUUGGGUCUGGCCGUAUGGCGCGUGUUUUCGUGAGCGCCGUUCUAUUUUUCCCUUUUGUCAUCUGAAGUGAAUUUACUGUUUUGACUUCUUGUGGGAACUUCUUUUGCUCUCCGGUGUUCUGCUUGUGGGGUGCGUCGUCAUCCUCGCUCGGUGUGUCAAGCCCCUUGUGUUUGGCGUUGAGUUUGCCGGACUGCUUGAAGACCCAACAAUCUCUGUGGGUAUGGUUUGCAGGUCUCCCGGGAGUACUAUGGAUUUGACAUAUUUUGUCCAGGAUUUUGUUGAGGUUAGACAGCUCGUGCCUGUCAUCUUUGGGUGGCGGCUUUUUCUGAUUUUGCCGAGAGCUUUUGAAUUUGGCGUUUACUGCCGUGCUCAUCGGGCUGUUAUCCUUGAUUAGGCGAUGUUCUUUGUUACGACGCGGUUUCCUGUUUCCAUCUCUUAGUUCGGAUGUGCUCGGGUCGCUGGUGCUGCUUCUUGCCAACCAGCUAUCCUCUCCUGCGCAAAAGCAGGUCAUGAGGCUUGUUAAUGCGGCCAUUGUUCUUGGCUUUUCUUGGCUGAGGUGUCUGGCGAGCCAUUCGUCUCGGACGCUAUGUUUGAAAGCUGCUAGGGCCUCAGCGUCCGGACAGUCGACCAUCUGAUUCUGUUUAGUAAGGAAUAUGUUCCAGAGUUUCCGGGCUGACUCUCCAGGCUGCUGAGUUAUAUGACUCAGAUCAUCUGCAUCUGGAGGUCGGACAUAGGUCCCUUGAAAAUUUGCCCGGAAAGCAUCCUCGAGCGCUUCCCAACUUCCCACGGUGUUUUCGGGAAGGCUUUUAAGCCAAUGUCGGGCUGGCCCUUUGAGCUUAAGGGGUAAGUAUUUUAUGGCAUGGAGGUCAUCUCCUCUGGCCAUGUGUAUGUGGAGGAUAUAAUCCUCGAUCCAGACUCCAGGGUCUGUUGUUCCGUCAUAUGCUUCUAUGUUCACGGGCUUGAAUCCCGCUAGGAAUUCAUGAUCCAGCACCUCAUCGGUAAAACAUAGGGGAUGUGUGGCGCCCCUGUAUGUAGGUGUGCCGCGAUCUUCGGAUAUUUUUUGCAUUGCAUUGCUCACUGGAGCUUGCUUUCUUAGCCCAUAGAUGGAUCUGGUUGGGCCAGUUUUUUGGGCGAAUCCUUGGGCGGAUCGCGCGCCGUAUUGAGUGCAGCGCCCUUUGUCGCUUGAUAUCAAUCGUGGGGUCAUCUAUCCGACCUUGUGGCUUCCUUAUUUUUUGACUGCGGGGGCUCUAUGGCCUCUUCAUCAAAUUCCGGUAGUAGUUUCCGCUUCGGAUAGCUCUUUGUGUAACGACUGUUGCCGUACUUGUGUGCGGUAUUGAGUACCUUGCCCCGUCUGAUCCUGAGUGCGUCUUCCGCUAUUUUGAGCCGCCGCUUCUGCUUUUUCAGGCUACGUGCAGUGGCAACGAGCCUUUGGUGGAGGUUCUGAUGUUCCAGCAAUUUGUCCGGCGUGAGGUUGUCCGGACUAUUAUCUUUCCCGGGGAUGGGUUGUUCGGAUUGUCCGCCCUGUUUGGACGGUUGCUCAAUGGCAUGUUCGUCUUUCGUUGAUUCGCCCUGCUCUAUGGCUGGGUCUUUGUCGAGGUGGGGCUUGGCGUGGCGCUUACGCCGCCGCUUUGAUUGUUUUUCGAGGGAGCGAUCCCUGGUUGCGCCCUUUUGAUCCUCGUUAUCAUUUGUUUUAGGUGUGUCCACCAUGUAUACAUCGUAUGAUGAGGUGGCUUUCCAGUGCCCUAUAGGUGCUGGUUCUUGUUCGUCUCCUCCAUCGGUGUCCAUACCAUCGAUGUCUUCGGAGUCGUAGUCGAGCAUGUCGGUUAGAUCGUCGACAGUGGCUACCAAGUGGGUGGUGGGUGGGUUUCGAAUUUCUUCGUCGUCCGCGUCCCAACCCUGCUGACCAUAGUCCGGCCAGGGCUCUCCUGACAAAGAGAGAGACUUUAGUGAAUCCAGGAUAUCGCCAAAGGGUGAGUGCUGAAAGACGUCCGCGACGGUGAACUCCAUGAUCGGAGCCCAAUCGGGUUCAAUCGGAAGGGGUGCGGAAUAUUCGGAGUCCGGAAUGGAGUCCGGAACGGAGUCCGGCACCUUGGAGACACAGGCCUUGCAAAGGACUAGGCUGGUAUUCGGCUCUAUCGCCGUAGAGGUUGCGGCUCCGGGGGCGGCGUCCAACUGUCCGUCCCCGACUGGCGCAGUUGGCUCUGAGCUAAUGGUCGGAGCGGACACCUGAGCGGCACUCUGGGCGCUGUCCGGCGGCAGAGCUAGAUCAUGCCCAUCGAGACAGUGCGGCGCGCUCGGCCGUGGCUCAAAUCCGUCGAAGAUCAAGUCCCCGCGGAUGUCGGCCGUGUAAUUUAAGCUUCCAAACCUGAACUGAUGGCCAGGGGCGUAGCUUUCGAUCUGCUCCAGAUGGCCAAGCGAGUUGGCCCGCAGUGCGAAGCCGCCGAAUACGAAGAUCUGUCCGGGGAAAAAAGUCUCACCCUGGACAGCGUCGUGGUUGACGAUCGAAGAAGCCAUCGGGCCGAAAGGUGAGGACACAGAGGAACACUCAAUGAAAGCACCAAUGUCGGUGUCAAAACCGGCGGAUCUCGGGUAGGGGGUCCCGAACUGUGCGUCUAGGCGGAUGGUAACAAGAGACAAGGGACACGAUGUUUUUACCCAGGUUCGGGCCCUCUCGGUGGAGGUAAAACCCUACUCCUGCUUGAUUAAUAUUGAUGAUAUGGGUAGUACAAGAGUUGAUCUACCACGAGAUCAGAGAGGCUAAACCCUAGAAGCUAGCAUAUGGUAUGAUUGUUGUUCGUCCUACGGACUAAAACUCUCCGGUUUAUAUAGACACCGGAGAGGGCUAGGGUUACACAGAGUCGAUUACAAUGGGAGGAGAUCUUCAUAUCGUAUCGCCAAGCUUGCCUUCCACGCCAAGGAAAGUCCCUAUCCAGACACGGGACGAAGUCUUCAAUCUUGUAUCUUCAUAGUCCGGGAGUCUGGCCAAAGGUCAUAGUCCGGCCAUCCGGACACCCCCUAAUCUAGGACUCCCUCAGCACCCCAUCCAUCCAAGUGAUCCCAAAGGUUAGCAACUCUGUCCUUUCAUCUCAUUGCUACAUUAGCUCUUGCAAUGCUCUGUAAGUAUAGUGAUUUGUGGGUUUUUAGUUUGGGAGGAAUUAUAUGUUGUAGUUUAUUUGAUUUAUAUGCAAUUUGAGGUCAAAAUAACUCUUAGUUUGCAUAUAUAGGUGUGGUUUACUUAGUCCUUCCUGUCUCCGUCCUAACCACCGUCGAUCGCCCGCACCGUCCUGCCGACGAGUGCCAUGGUUUUGAUAUCUGUCCCCGUCGGUCCUCGUCCGGGUUAUGAUUUGGAUGUGGUAUAUUCUCUUCUAUAACUAUUUGUUGCAUUUCGUGUUUAUGACAAAUUAUGCCCAUCAAGUUGACAUAGAUAUUUUUAUCUAGGAGGUAUGUGAACCAGAAAUUCCAACCGACCCUAUUGUCAAGAGGUUAAAUUUAGUUGAAAAGAAAACAAGUAUUUGAAAGAGAAAUUGAAAGGAAUUGAGGGGGAGAAGAUGGAAUUGGAGUUUCGUGUUGCCGAUGUCGUCGAUGAUCACACGAUCAAGAUGGAUAAAAUGCGCUUGAAGAUUAGAAAGAUUAGAAAAUAUGCCAUCGAUAGUGAGGCUUGGUAUCAUUAUGUUGUUGGAUCAAUUGUUACCUUAGUUGCGAUCUUGAUCGCAUUUGUUGUUGCAUUUAAAUGCUUUAGCUAGAGAGUUAUUUGUAUGUUGUUUUAUGAGAAUAAGUGUUGUAUGAACUUUAUGUACAAACUUUAUGUAUGAACUUGUAUUAAUUUGGUCUUUUCGGUGCUGUGUAAAUGAAGAUGAGCCGACAAUGGAUGUAUGAUGACCGAUGCUCUCCCCAGUUCAUUAAUGGUGUGCAUACUUUUCUGCUUGCGGCUGAGGCAAACAAGCGGGCGGAUGGUUUUAUGCCUUGUCCAUGUGCUAACUGUAAGAAUGGUCUGAAUUACUAUAAGUCAAGAACCAUUCACGUCCACCUGUUUGAAUCCGGUUUCAUGCCUCAUUAUAAUUUUUGGACCAAGCACGGAGAAAGAGGGGUCAUGAUGGAAGACAAUGAAGAAGAAGAGGACGACGACAGCUAUCCUGACCAUGAGUUCCCUGAAUACGAUGGUACAACAAUGGGGAAAGAAGGUGAGCCGACAAUGCGGGAAGAAGCUGAAGAAGAGGCAUCAGAUAAGCCUGUUGAUGAUCUAGGCCGGGCCAUUGCCGAUGCAAAGAGAAACUGCGCAAGUGAAAAGGAGAAGAGGAAGUUGUAGCGCAUGUUAGAGGAUCACAAGAAAUUGUUGUACCCGAAUUGCGAAGCUGACAAGAAAAAGUUGGGCACCACACUGGAAUUGCUGCAAUGGAAGCCAGAGAAUGGUGUAUUUGACAAGGGAUUUGGAAAGUUGCUGAUAAUGUUAAAGAAGAUGCUUCCAAAGGACAAAGAAUUGCCCGAGAGUACGUACAAAGCAAAGAAGGUUGUCUGCCCUCUAGGAUUAGAGGUGCAGAAGAUACAUGCAUGCCCUAAUGACUACAUCCUCUAGUGCGGUGAGUACGAGGAUUUGAACGUGUUCCUGGUAUGCGGUGCAUUGCGCUAUAAGAUCAGCCGUGAUGACCCCGUCGAUGUCGAGGGCGGGCGCCCCAGGAAGAAGAUUCCUGCCAAGGUGACGUGGUAUGCUCCUAUAAUACCACGGUUGAAACGUUUGUUCCAAAACAAAGAGCAUGCCAAGUCGAUGUGAUGGCACAGAGAAGACGGUAAGAAAGACGGGAAGUUGAGAGUACCCGCUGACGGGUCACAGUGGAGAAAAUCGAGAGAAAGUACUGGAAGACUCUGCAGGUGAUGCAAGGAACGUAUGGUUUGGUCUAAGCGCAGAUGGCAUUAAUCCUUUUGGGGAGCAGAGAAGCAACCAUAGCACCUGGCCUGUGACUCUAUGUAUGUAUAACCUUCCUCCUUGGUUGUGCAUGAAGCGGAAGUUCAUUAUGAUGCCAGUGCUCAUCUAAGGGCCUAAGCAACCCGGCAACGACAUUGAUGUGUACCUAAGGCCAUUAGUUGAAGAACUCUUACAGCUGUGGAAUGAAAAAGGUGUAUGUGCGCGGGAUGAGCACAAACAGGAAGAAUUUGACCUACAUGCAUUGCUGUUUGUGAUCAUCAAUGAUUGGCCUGCUCUCAGUAACCUUUCAUGACAGACAAACAAGGGAUAUCGUGCAUGCACGCACUGUUUGGAUGACACCGACAGUAUAUAUUUGGAUAGUUGUAAAAAGAAUGUGUACCUAGGACAUCGUCGAUUUCUUCCGAGCAGGUAUCCCGUAAGAAAGAAAGGCAAGCAUUUUAAAGGUGAGGAAAAUCACCGGACGAGGCCUCGCCACCGUACCAGUGAUGAUGUAUAUGAUAUGGUCAAGGAUUUGAAGGUAAUCUUUGGAAAGGGUCCUGGCGGACAAUGUGUUCCGAAUGACGCUGAAGGACGUGCACCCAUGUGGAAGAAGAAAUCUAUAUUUUGGGAUCUGCCUUAUUCGAAAGACCUAGAGGUCGGCUCUGCAAUUGACGUGAUGCAUGUGACGAAGAAUCUUUGCGUGAUCCUGCUUGGCUUCUUGGGCGUGUGUGGGAAGACAAAAGAUACACCAGAGGCAUGGGAGGACCAAUGACGUAUGCAUGGAAAGGACGGCAUACAUCAGGGUCAUGCCAGCUAUGCUCUUACCAAAGAAGAGAAGGAAAUCUUCUUUGAAUGCCUGCUCAGUAUGAAGGUACCGUUUGGCUUCUUGUCGAAUAUAAAGGAAAUAAUAAAUACGGAAGAGAAAAAGUUUCAGAACCUAAAGUCUCAUGACUCCCUCGUGAUUAUGAUGCAGCUGCUUCCGGUUGCAUUGAGGGUGCUUCUACCGGAAAAUGUUCGAUUAGCCAUUGUGAAGAUGUGUACAUUCCUCAAUGCAAUCUCUCAGAAGGUAAUCAAUCCAGAAAUCAUACCAAGGUUGGAGAAUGAUUUGGUUCAAUGUCUUUUCAGUUUCGAGUUGGUGUUCCCACCAUCCUUCUUCAAUAUCAUGAUGCACGUCCUAGUUCACCUAUGCGAAAAGAUUGCCAUUCUGGAUCCUGUAUUUCGACAUAAUAUGUUCCCCUUUGAGAGGUUCAUGGGAGUCUUGAAGAAAUAUGUUCGUAACCGUGCUAGGCUAGAAGGAAGCAACUCCAAGGGCCAUGAAAAUGAGGAGGUCAUUGAGUUUUGUGUUGACUUUAUUUCUGACAUUAAGCCAAUUGGUGUUCCUGAAUCACGGCAUAAGGGCAGGCUCGGUGGAAAUGGCACGCUAGGACCGGAUCAAAUAAUAUGUAUGGACGGGCAUUCUCUCACUAAAGCACACUACACAGUUCUACAAAAUUCCGCCUUGGUGCCUCCAUAUAUGGAGGCACACAAGAAUAUUAUAAGCUCCAAAUAUCCGGAGCAGUCUGAAGACUGGAUUACACGUGAACAAACGAGGACCGGUUGGUUGCAGACACUUGCCAUGUAUGACGCCGAUACUGAAGAUGACUUGUACUUGUUGUCCUAGUUACCAUCUUUGAAUAUAAUGAUUUUCAAAGGGUACGAGAUAAAUGGAAAUACAUUUUACACGAUCAAGAUAAAAAGAGCACAAACCAAAAUAGUGGUGUCUGCUUUGAUGCAACAACCAGUAGGGGAAAGGACACAUAUUACGGUUACAUAGAGGAGAUAUGGGAACUUGACUAUGGACCUGAUUUGUAGGUCCCUUCGUUUCGGUGCAAAUGGGUCAAUAUGACAGGAGGCGGCAUAAAGGAAGACCCGCAGUACGGAAUGACAACAGUGGAUCUCAACAAUUUUGCGAACGCAGACGAACCAUUUGUCCUAGCCAAUGAUGUGGCGCAGGUUUUCUAUGUGAUGCACAUGUCUACCAAGCCGAGAAAAAGAAAAAUCUUUUAAAGAAAGCGAAUACAUCAUACGAUGAGCCAAAGCGCCACAUGUUCUUUUAGGGAAAAGAAACAUCGUGGGAGUGGAUGACAAGACAGACAUGUAAGAAGAUUAUGAAAAGUUUCAUGAAAUUGCUCCCUUCAGAGUGAAUAUUGACCCGAGCAUCCAGUUCAAGAUGAAGAUUGUCCAUGGUAAAGGCGCAAAGGAACACACGCAAAGAAAAAGUUUCACACCCAAAGACAGUAGGGAAUCUUUGUAAUAGUUAGGGUGCUUAUGUAUUUUGUGUUUGGAACGUGUACUUUUGUGCUCGGACAAACGUGUACCUUUCUAACUUCAUUUGCUAAUUUUCAGCCAUUUACUUUUUUUUAGCUAAAUGACCCUGAAAUUGAAAACUCAUCUGUUAGAAAGGCAAUUAUUUUUUUUAACUUAUUACAACUACAAACUAUUUGUGUGUUCAGUAUGCACCAUUCAAAGCCACGUCAUCAACUUUCAACCCUUUCUGACAUCAUUUAUUAUUUUUCAUGCAUUUUCUGAUUUUUUUGAGUUAAAUGACCCUGAAAUUGAAAAGCACUACAAAUAAACUCUGAAAAGGUUGAAAGUUGGCAUGGUGUCAUCAUUUCACCCACAUAGCAUGUGCAAAAAAGUUGAGUGGGUUACAGCAAAAACUGGAUCCACUUCGUGUACAAAAUGGACAAUCUCUUUUGAAGUAUCAGGGUUUUGGACGAAAAAUCAUCUGUUACAAAGGCAUUUCAUUUUUUUUAAAUAACCUAAGUAUUACCUAACUGAAUAUAAUGAUAAAGCACAUUAAUAUUAAACAUAAGAAAAAAGAAUCACUUAAAAAUAUAUUUUUAAAGUAAAAUGAUUCCCAAACUAGUGAUUCACACAAAUUUCAAAUAAUUCAAAUUUAAACUAUUUAAAUUUGAAAACUACUAGCACUAAUAGAAAGUUUGUAAGUUUUGGUACCUAAAGCAAAAGUAUCAACAAAGAAAUUCUAAAUACAGCAAAAAAACAACUUAGAAAUAAAUAAAACAAAAUAAAUUAAGCAGAAAUUAAAAAAAGCCCACCUACUGGGCCACAGCGGCCUGCAUACCACUAGAAACCCAACCUGGAGUUGGGCCAGGAUGCAGGCCCGCUAGUCCAGUAGGCCCAACAGGGUAGAGUAGGAGAGGUAGGCCCAGAAGGCCUGCAUUGGAGAGGAGCUCAAUGUACUGCCCGUGCAGGGGCUUAUAAACUGGCCUCGACGCUCCUCGACUAGCAAGGUGGGACUAAACUUGCGCACCGUCUGGAGCCAGCGCACCCCUUUAGUACCGGGUCGUGGCUCCAACAAGUACAAAAGGGGGGGAUUUAGUACAGGUUGGGGCCACGACGCGAUACUAAAGGGGUUGCCCUUCCCGCCGCUUCAACUGGCCAAAACAGCCCUUUAGUACCGGUUGGUGGCUACAACGGGUACUAAAGAUACCUCGUAUAUAAGAAACACUUGAAAAAAAUUCAGUUUCUCAUCUCCCACUUCUCUCUGUUGCUUCGACAUCACCGCCGCCCCGUCCCGCGGUGUCGCCCGUCGCCGUCCCCGUCGCCGUCUCCGCCGCGUGCCGUCACUGUCCCUGUCGUCGCCGCCCCCGUCCCCGUCGACGCCCCGGCCCGUCGUCACCAUGUCGCAACUGCCCCGUUGCCGUCUCGCCGCCGCCCCGUCGCCAUCCCCGCCGCCCCGUCGCCGCUGUGAGCUUCUGUGCCCCGGCCUCCAUGGCUACACUCACGCACACACGCGCGCGUGCGCACAGAGUAAUUUUAGUUAUAGAAAUGUUUAUAGAAAUUUUAGUUAUAUAUAGAAAUGUUUAUAGAGAAAUGUUAGUUUUAUAUAGAAACGAUAGAAUUUUUUUUCUAUUUUUUAGUUAUAGAAAUGUUAUAGAAAUGUUAGAAAUUUUAGAAAUGUUAGUUUUAGUUAGAUGAAUUAGCUAAAUCACAAUCCAAACAUUUAAAAUGUUACAUUUGCAUAUAGUAUUUGUUCUUGACGUCAACGAUGCCCGGCCCGCAUCCUCGCCGUCGAUCCGUUCACGAUGACGUCCUGCUUCAGAGGAGCCAUGUCCGGGACUGGGCUCCGCCGGGCUGGCACUGGGAGGUGCUACCUUCAGAGGCGCGCCGCUUAGUGAGGAACCUGGCCCCGGGUCCUAUCAUCGACCUGGAGAUCCUAUGCUGGCGUUCGCGUGGGCGACUUUCGGUGCGGAGGAAGCCGGCCCCGCCGGAGGUGGUAUGUCGUCGUGUUAGGGAGGAGGACGAGCACGUCCUUCGCUACAUGGCUGCUAUGGACGUCAGGUUCUCCAAUACCUGGCAGGUUCUUUGGGGAUCUCACCCGAGCUAUGAUCCUAUGGUAGUUCCUUCUCUUUGGGUGUCCACCGCUCGCGCCCCAGGAAUCGCGAGUGAACUAGAUAAUUUGAUAGUAUUCGAUCUAUAUUAGCUAGUUAGUGAUGUAUUCGAUAAUAUUCGAGAUUAUAUAUAUUAUCCGAUAAUAUUCGAGACGAUGAUGUAUUCGAGAUUAUAUUUGAUGAUGCAUAUUAAUUAUCUACUAUGAUUCAGUUUUUUCUUUCGAGAUGCAUACAUAUUAUCUACUACUACUCGAGAUGCAUAUCAAUUAUCUACUAUUAUUUGAGAUGCGUACUAAAUUGUUUUAUAUUUCUUAUGGAUUAUUUAAAUAAAAGCUAUGGUGGACAAUACCAGUAGAGACGAAGGAGAGGAGGCUAUGUCAUAUGCUCCCCGAGCCGGCUAGAUGAUCUGAAUGAAGAAGAUGACAGCUCCCAAUAUCUGAACAAUACCGGGGAGGGUGAUAUGAUAUUCCAUCGAGACGACCGGAUCGAUGAAGUCCAGAACGAUGAUGAUGAUCUUGAAAUAGCAAAUACCGGCGACGUACAUCUUUAUAGAAGAAGGCAUCUAGUGAUCAUCAAGUGUAUUUAAAUAAUUUUGUAUAUAGGGCUUAAUGGCUAGAUGUUAAUUAAUAAGUGUAUAGGGUUUAGGGUAGUUGAUGAGUGUUGUGCACAUGCCCGCCUAAUUUAUGCAUGCAAACGUGUGCGCAUGCAGUUUCAACUAGGUCUUGUUAAUCAUUCGAGUUAAAGAUGGAGAAGUUGAAGUUCUGGACUCGCUACUUAAACCAGUCGAGCAGUACGAAAUCGUGAAGGGGAUAUUCAACAGGUAAUUUCAAUCAUCAUCAAACUAUAUGUCGGCCUCUUUAGUUCGUCAUUUCCUGAUAUCCACUAAUUAAUAUCUCCUUUAUUCAAUUUUUUUGCCGGCGGGCAGGGCUUGCCAAAAGUUCAGGAAAGAGGUUCCAGGCGAAUGGAAAGAAAAGUUGUAUCGGUUUCGACCCAAGGUAUAAUUACUUAAGUAUUACUAGCUAGCUACCAUCACUUUAAUUCUAGUUUCAAUAUACCAUUAGUUAUCAUGCUUGAUUAAUUAUUAUCUGAUUGAAUUCUAUUCUCGUAAAGUGCAUGAAGCAGUUGCCGGGGAAUGAUCGGUCGUUAUAUUUAUAUAUAUGCAUAACGUGUACAAUAUGUAGUAUCGUAAAAUACCAGCAAAUGAAAACUAAAAUGGAAAAAACAAAAUUAAAGGAAAAAAGAAAUCAUAAACCGAAAACCCCCUAAACCUUUAGUACCGGUUGGUAUGUCCAACUGGUACUAAAGGUCUCCCAGCCCCCGGCGUGGUUUCGUGCCACGUGGUGGCCCUUUAGUGGCAAUUCGUGCUGAACCGGGACUAAAGGGGGGGGGGUGGGCUUUAGUCCCGACCCAUUAGUGCCGGUUGCCCAACCGGCACUAAAGCCCUUACGAACCGGCAAUAAAGCUCUGUUUUCUACUAGUGUGAGGUGGCUUUAGAUCUUCUGUGCUCCGAGUGGUUCUUCGUAUGGUUGAGUGACUCUAUAGUGGUCGAGUAGAACUGGGGUAUCUGAGUGGAAUCUUCUGUCGAGUGGAUUACAUUUCAAGGUGAUUUCAGUCGGUACCCUCUGUUGGACUUUGAAUGUCUUUGACUUUAGGGUAGUGUCCUUCGGUAGGGUGUCUAGGUUAGGCCUAAGACCCUAUCCUAAGGGUUCUUCUUGAACUGACGGGGUGUGGAGGUGCUCCAAGAACACAUUACUGGGAAUAGGCUUCCGAGUGGAACCUAUUUUUGCCAGAUCAUCAGUUGCCUGAUUCUUGAGUCGGGGUACGCGGUGGAGCUCUAACCCUUCAAACUUCUUUUCUAACUUUCUCACUGCAUUGCAGUAUCCUAUCAUGGCAGGGCUCCUGAUAUCCCACUCCUUCAUCACUUGAUUUACCAUCAAAUCUGAGUCACUGUAAACCAUCAGGCGACGGACGCCGAGUGAGAUGGCCAUACGCAACCCAUAUAAAGCUUCAUUACUGGAGGAAUCAAAGUGAAUCUAAAGAACAUAACUUUGUUUAUCGCUUCUCGGGUACACCAGGACCACUCCAGCUCCGGAACCAUUCAACAUCUUAGAUCUAUCAAAGAACAUGGUCCAAUGGUCCGAGUGAACUUGAGUCGGUUGUUGUUGCUCAAUCUACUCGGCCAAGAAAUCUGCAAUUGCCUGGGACUUAAUUGCCUUUUUUGCUUCGAACUUGAUAUCUAGAGGAAGAAGUUCAAUGACCCACUUUGCCACUCGACCGGUUGCAUCUCGAUUGUUCAAAAGCUCUAACAAUGGAGCAUCGCUGACGACUGAAACUGAGUGGUCUACGAAGUAAUGUGCAACUUUCUUUGUGGUCAGGUAAAUUCCAUAUACAAGGUUCUGGUAAUGCGGAUACCUUUGCUUGGACGGAGUCAGAACUUCAGAAAUGUAAUACACUGGGCACUGAACCUUAUUGGCUUAGCCUUCUUCCUCCCGCUCGACCGUGAGCACUGUGCUGACAACUUGUCCAGUGGCUGUGAUAUAUAAUAACAGAGGCUCUUUGCUAACUGGAGCAGCAAGCACCGACUAGGUGAAAAGCAGGGCUUUGAGCUCUACAAACAAUGCUUCAGCUUCAGGAGUCCAGUCGAAUGUAUCAGACUUUUUCAUUAGGCGGUAAAGAGGUAAUGCCUUUUCACCGAGAUGAGAUGAAUCGACUCAAUGCAGCCAAACAACCCGUGAGCUUCUGAACAUCAUGCACAUGCACAGGGCAUUUCAUUCGGAGAAUUGCUGCAAUCUUUUCUGGGUUCACGUCGAUUCCUCGUUUGGAAACAAGAAAGCCGAGGAACUUCCCUUCAGUGACUUCGAAUGUGCACUUGGACGGAUUAAGUUUGAUGUCAUAUCUUCUUAGGUUGGCAAAUGUUUCAGCAAGGACAAUCAGCAGGUUGGAACUCUUGCGUGACUUGACCACGAUAUCGACCAUGUAUGCUUCCACGUUCUGACUGAUUUGAGUGAGCAGGCACUUCUGAAUCAUGCGCAUGAAUGUGGCGCCAGCAUUCUUGAGGCCAAAAGGCAUGGUAACAUAGCAAAAACACCCGAAUGGGGUGAUGAAGGCCGGUUUUAUUUCAUCAGGUCCAUACAGUCGGAUCUGAUGGUACCCGGAAUAUGCAUCCAAAAAGGACAAACGGUCGCACACCGUAGUCGAGUCGACAAUCUGAUCGAUGCGAGGGAGAGGAAAAUGAUCUUUCAAGCAGGCCUGAUUGAUAUGCUUGAAGUCGAUACACAUACGAAGUGAAUCAUCUUUCUUAGGGACCAUGAAGACAUUGGCGAGCCGCUCGGAGUGGUAAAUCUCGCGGAUAAUCUCAGCUGCCAAGAGCCGAGCUACUUCCUCGCCAAUCGCCUUUCUCUUUUCCACGGCAGACCGUCGGAGAUGCUCUUUCACUGGUUUUGCUUUAGGGUCGACGCGAAACGUUGCUCAGCCUGCCCCUGGGUACACCUGGCAUGUCAGAUGUUUUCCAUGCGAAGAUGUCCAAGUUCUCACGGAGGAGCUGGAUGAGCGCAGCUUCCUAUUUGCUGUCGAGUGUUGUUGAGAUGUGAGUCGGAGCUGCAGUGGGGUCUUUCGGGUGGAUAUGAACAUGCUUGGUCUCACUGCACGACUGAAAUGCGGACUGUGAGGUAGGUUUCUUGGACCGCAGCAAAUCACUCGGAUCUGCAUUUUUCUGAUAUUCUUCCAUCUCCACUGCUGCCAUCUGCUCAUUGGGAAUCUUGCAUCCCUUCUAAAGGCACUCUUCUACUCUCUGUCUGUUUCCUAUGACUGUGAUCACACCUCUGGGUCCAGGCAUCUUCAACUUGAGAUAUACGUAACAUGGUCAAGCCAUGAAACGAGCAUACGCGGUCCUGCCCAGAAUGGAAUGAUAAGCACUGUGGAAAUCCACCACCUCAAACGUCAACUUUUCCUUGCGGUAAUUCUUGGAAUCACCGAAAACCACAUCUAGAGCGAUUUGCCCAAGUGACUUUGCCUUUUUUCCAGGAAUGACACCGUGAAACUGCAUAUGACUUUCGCUGAGUUUGGACAUCAGGAUGCCCAUCCCUUGGAGGGUCUCAGCGUACAGAAUGUUCAAUCCACUACCACCAUCCAUAAGGAAUUUAGUCAGCCGGGUGCCCCCAACGACUGGGUUGAGCACCAACACUUGCCGCCCAGGGGUGGCCACGUGCGCUGGGUGAUCUGACUAGUCGAAUGUAAUGGGAGUCUUUGACCACCUCAAGUACGUCGUAGUUGCCGGAGCAACCAUAUUCACUUCUGUGUUAAUGACUUUCAAUCGACUUUUGCUCUCUACGCCAGCAAAAAUCAUCAAGGUAGCAUUGACCUUAGGGUAACCAUCAUCUUCCUCCUUUUCUUCCUCCUUAUCAGAUUCCUUCUCACUGGUCUGGUCCUCUCGGAAGCUCUGAAUCAGGAGUCGACACUACCGAGUGGUAUGUUUGGGUUGAAUCAAGUUAACCUCUUCAUCUUUCUUUGUGUGAAUGUAACACGGGAAAUCCAGAACAUCCUGGCCUAAUUGAUCCUUCACCUUCUUAGGUUUCCACUACGGUUUGGGUUUUCCUUUGAAUUUCCCUUGUGCAUUCAGGACUGCGGCAUCAGCAUGACCUAUAGGUUUAGCUUUACGCUUUUGCUUCUGACUGUAAUUUCCAGCCCCGGAGUCCUGGACGACUGGUUUUCCCUUGCCACCGCGGAGUCGUUCUUCCUCUUCACCAUUAGCGCACCGAGUGGCUAUUUCAAUCAUUCGGGUCAGCGUCAUGUCUCUGGAACGACCAAAUUUUAGCGUAAGCUCUCUGUACCGACGCCCUCCUUGAAGGCACAAACCGCUCGGUGAUCUGACACAUUUUCUAUCGUAUGAUGAAGGGUAGUCCAUCUCUAGAUGAAGUCUCUCGAAGUUUAAUUUGGCUUUUGAACAUAGUGUUGCAAUUCAGUCAGCCCAGCAGGUCGCUUGCAAGUGCCUUAGAAUGUUUUGAUGAACACUCGGGCCAAGUCAUCCGAGCAAAAAAUACUCCUAGGGGCCAACUGAGUCAACCAGGCUCUGGCCGAACCCUCAAGCAUCAGGGGGUGGUGCUUCAUUGCUACAUCAUCAUUGCCUCCACCAAUCUGCACAGCCACUCGGUAAUCUCACAGCCAGGUGUCCGUCUUUGACUCUCCAAUGAACUUACUCACACCCGCAGCCAAUCUGAAGUUGGGAGGGAUCUCAGCCGAUCGGAUGGCCAUACUGAAACACUCGGGCCUAGAAACCAAUGCACUGCUUCCAGUAGGACGAUAUCUGCCUUGCCCUUCUCCGUUUGCUCGGCCUCUGUCGACCAAACCUUGCACAAGGAGUGAUCUCGCAUUGAACCCCGGCUCUCUAGGGUCGACUAGGACUCUCCACUCAUCACCAUAUGGGUGCCUAUCAUCAUACCGUGAUGCACAUAUGACCCGCCCCUCGGAGGGGGUGUAGGCACUCGACGGUGGUCAUCACGGGGAAACUGAUGAUCAUACUGCUAGUGUCCUUGUCCCAGGUACUGAUCCUGGCGGGGACCACGAUCCUCACGCCGUCGGGGCGACCUCAGACUAUGCGCUGAUUGAACAGUGUCUGCAACCACUGACCUACUAUGAAUUUUGUUACGCGACUGGGAGACAGAAGAGUUCCAUUCCCGAGCGGCUCUAAGCAAUGCUCGGAUCUGCAGCAAGCCUCUACCAGCUUCUGAACAUGACGGAUGAAUUGACUCUGCUAUGCGUGCUACUGCUGCAACAUUUUGGAUCGGAGUGCGGUAUACCUGAGUCUCAGUCGGAAACAGCUGUCGCUCGCGUCGACUGGACUCAAGGAUACGCUGACGAGCGUGUUCAUCGAGUGUCUUUUGCAGAUUCUCCAAACGUGUGCACUCAGCCAAGGUGGCCAAGCGCGCAGCCUCCAAGGCCCGAGCCUCGAAGGUCUCCCCAAUGAUGGGGGUGUGGAGCGCCUGGACGUUGCGAUGAUGCAGCUCUUCCCUCUGCUCCGCAGUGAGGGCCUUGGGGAUGUACUCAUCAUGAUCUUGUGAAGGGCCGGCGCCACCACCACUGCCGCUGCUGCGGCGAAAUCCGAGAGGGCUAUACUGGGAAUCGACCAUGAGGACCUCUGCCGCCGGAUCAUUGCUUUCGCACUCGAAAAGCGAAUCCGAAUGACCAGUCGGCAGAUCAAAUAGAUCGUAACGGGAUUCGUCGGGCGUGAUUGCCGCGACUUCACUAGUAGAAAAAGGGUCUAAUGUGAAACUCAUUAGUCCCAGUUUGAAAUUGAACCGACACUAAUGUGACCAUUAGUGCCGGUUCCAACGGCCAGGCGGGCGGCGCUCAUUAGUACCGGUUCGUGGCGAACCUUUAGUACCGAUUCGUGCCACGAACCGGUACUAAAGAGGUGGUGGCCUUUAGUAUGGGUUGGUGGGUCCAACUGGUACUAAGGGGGGGGGGUCUUUAGUACCGGUUGGAGCUACCAACCGGUACUAAAGGUGGUGGCCUUUAGUACGGGUUGGUGGCUCCAACCGGUACUAAAUACCCCCCCCCCUUAGUACCGGUUGGAGCCACCAACCGGUACUAAAUGUGGUGCGCUGCCACCCGCAGUGCACAAUGUUUAGUCCCACCUCGCUAGUUGAGAGGAGCUCGCGCCGGUUUAUAAGCCCCGUCGCGGCUACUGUGUCGAGCUCCUCUCUAAGCAGGCGUUUGUGGGCCUAUUGCAAGUCUUCUGCCCUGUGAGGCCUACUGGGCCGUACGGGCCUGCAUCCUGACCCAACUAGAGAUUGGGUUUCUAGUCGUAUGCAGGUAGUGCCGGCCCAGUAGGCGGGCUGUUUUUGCUUUAUUUCAAAAAUAAAAAUAAAAAAAAUCCUUACCAACCGGGACUAAAGGUCCCCCAGACCACGACGCGCCUCGUGCCACGUGGUGGGCCUUUGGUCUCGGUUUGUGUUAAACCGGGACUAAAGGGGGGGGGGCUUUAGUCCCCACUCUUUGGUGCCGGUUCCAGAACCGGUACUAAAUGUCCUUACGAACCGGUACUAAAAGUCGUUUUUCUACUAGUGCUUGAAGGAUGGGUCGAUUGGUGAGCCACCUCGUGCUUCACCCAACGUUGGAGUCACGAACGGCCGGACUGCUUGCGACGGCAGGCGGACGUAACGGGAGCCGACCGAUACUGGGUCGACGGCUGACGAAGGAGGAUGCCGCAGGCACUCGCACGGAAGUGUGCAGCCCCACGGACGGGGAGGGCCUCGACGUCAAGGGGAGCUUCUUGGAGCCAGGUGAAGUCGUCGGCGAUGAAGACGAGCGCGCCGAGACGGAUCUCGCGGACCAAAGCCAAACCACCGCUGGAAACCAUGUUGACGGAGAACGAAAUUUGCAACCUCACCGGAAAUCACUCAGAUGCCUGCCCCACGGUGGGCGCAACUGUCGUGGGAGUAAGUCUGACAGUAAGAAUAGGGGGUACGUAGGAGGAGGCAAGGUCCUAGCUACGGUGAGGUUGUACACGCAAGUUGACGAGUUCAGGCCCCUCUCGGAGGAGGUAACAGCCCUACGUCUCGGUGCCUGGAGGCUUGUUGACUAAAUUAUGCGUGGAGUUAUAGGAGGUCCGAAGCCUUGUGCCUGAGGAGGGGGUGUCUUAUAUAGAGUGCACCAGGACCCUCGCAGCCCUCAGUUACACAGGGUUCAAUGUGAGUUAAGACAGAGGUGUUACUAGUAAUGCCAGCUAUUAAUGAUCUUCAAGACUACAGAGUGAACGCCUGACCGUUGCCAUCCUGAGGUGGCUUUAGAUCUUCUGUAGUCCGAGUGGUUCUUCAUAUGGUCGAGUGACUCUAUAGUGGUCGAGUGGAAUUGGGGUAUCCGAGUGGAAUCUUGUGUCGAAUGGAUUACACUUCAAGGUGAUUUCACUCGGUACCCUUUGUUGGACUUUGAAUGUCUUUCACUUUAGGGUAGUGUCCUUGUGUAAGGUGUCUAGGUAAGGCCUAAGACCCUAUCCUAGGUACAUGUCAUCGCCAGCCGACACGUUGUCGGAGGCCACCUCCAUUGUCUAGUCAUUGUUGGAAACCUCCGAGAGCUGGCAAGUAGGCCGUCUCUAACCGCUUCGCACGACAGCCCUGCCAGUCAGCCGCAAGGGCGGCAGAUAGAUCCUCGGACCGAUGGAGCAUUGGAUGGUCUGCAGCGACUGAUGCGGAUGGUUUAAGGGUCAGGAACGGAGAUGCCCUUAGAGCAACUCCAACGGGCCGACCCAAAUGAACGGCGAUUUCGUCCGCUUUUUCUCCGUUUGGGUCGGCCGCCCGCCCGGCGUCCACCCUGUUUUUCAUAUGGGUCGGCAGCGCGCCCAACGCGCCGACCCAUAUGUGCAGGCGUGGCCGGCUGGCCGCCCAAUUUUGCAUUGCAUUCAACAUAUUAUGAAAUGAAAAUUUUAAACAAACAAAAUAGUCCGCCCAAAUAAAUAGUAUAGUUUUUACAGGCCAAAUAAAAAAAAUGUUUCACAUAGUUUUAUGAACGAAUAAAAGUAGAUACAUCUAUUGGUUGCUAACAUGAGUCCACAUAUGCUCAACCAAAUCAUUUUGUAGUUGCACGUGAGUUUCUCAAUCACGCAUGUCUUCAUGAAGCUGAGUAAACUGCUCAAAUGUUGCCGCUACUCCAUGCUCAGGCACAACAUUCUCACCCUGAAAGUGAAAGCCUUGAUUGUACAGACGUUCCGGGCGCUCGUCAUCUACGAUCAUAUUGUGCAUGAUCAACAAGCAGUCAUCACCUCCCAUAGUCUAUGCUGCCAAGCAUCCCCGGAAAGCCCCUGCUAGCAUUCAUCGCCAACAAACGGGUUGUAUCUGCAGCUAUCGGCUCUCUCAAGUACUCAGGGCCAAACAUAGCAAUCACAGCCUUGCAGAACUUAUACAGGGACUCUAGGCAUGUAGACUCGCUCAUACGGACGUACUCAUCAAUGAGAUCACCGGGCACUCCGUAUGCAAGCAUUCGGAUGGCGGCAGUGCAUUUCUGAUAAGAGGAGAAACCAAUCUUGCCGACAGCAUCCUCUUUGCACUCGAAGUAGUCAUCAUAGCCGACCACUCCCUCUCUAAUACGGUUGAAAACAUGCCUACUCAUACGGAACCGGCGGCGGAAUUUGUGAUGUUUGAACAACGGGUUUAUUGUAUCAAAGUAGUCCUUCCAGAGAAGGAAAUGCCCGCUCUCUCGGUUACGAUUCAACGCCGGAAGGUGGCCAGGAAUGGAGCCACGGAACAACGGCCGCUGGUUGUUGAGGUGGUGAUGGACCAACACGGCAGCCAAUAUCUCCUCCUCGUCGUCGAACGACGAAUCGUCGGAGUCCCAAAUAAAAUUGUGGAAAAAGAACUCGUCGGCGGAGUCCAUUUUCGUACCUUGGCAAACUUCGAACAGCUUGCGGCCGUCGAAGAAGGAGACGGCCGGCGAGGGGAGACGCGGCGCCCACAGACCAGCUAGCUGCCCGGCCGGCGUCCGACGAUUGUGACGGCGUCCGACGAGCGUGCCGGUCGUAUGUGGCGGGGGCGGCGAGGCGUAUUCUUGAUCGCGGGCGGCGGUGCGGUGGGGGAAGCGGCGGCGGGAACUAGUUUGCUACCCGGCGGUGGCAGGCAACUGGGGACAGGGGCGGCGUUGCUGGGCGGAUGUGGAGGCGGCGGCAGCUAGAAGAGUCGCCGCAAAAAUGGGCGGCGGCGUCGGUGACGGAGGAGGCGGGGGGUGAGGGUUACUUGUUGGCCGGGGGGAGGGAGGCCAAUGUGCCAUAGACCAGCAGGCCCGGGGACAGGAGUAGGCGACCUCGCGCGCGUCCGUCGCAUGUCCGCGCCGACGCAAAUCAGGCUCAAAAAUGGGUCGGGAAUGGGUCGCCCGCGGACAAAAAACGGACGCGCGUCCGUUUGGGUUGGCGCGUUGGGCCGCCUUUUCUGUCCGCGCCGACCCAAGCGGACGGCCGCGGACGAAAUGGGUCGCCCCAUUGGAGUAGUUGCUCUUACGAUCUCAUGUACUACCUCCAUCCCCAAAUAGAUGGCAUAUAAAUUUAGCUAAAAAGUGAAUACUUUUGAAGUUUGACCAAGUAUAUAUACAAAAGUAUUAACAUAAACGAUCAUGAUCUAUGUAUUCAAUAUUGUAGUUCCUGAUAUUUUCUUCUAUAUAUUUGAUCUCUGAAGGAAUUCACUUGUUUUAUUGGAUUUAUACGCCCUGUGUUUUGGGACGAAGGUAGUGUGUCAAACUAGCAUAUCAUGAGUUCUAAAGAAAAAAAUAGAGUAUAUAGUCGUAGUACUACAAACAAGCAAGUAGUUACAUCAACACACCGUCAUCGCAUUGCUUAUUUUUCUCCUCCCUCGAAAUCACAAAAGAUGCGCACAAAAUCACUACCGGACUCGCGGUCUAUGCCUACGGCCACGGGCCGUCGUCAUAGGCCCCUAGGCCGUCGGCAUAGAUCUAUGCCGACGGCAGCCGUCGGCAUAGAGCCGUCAGUCUAGAUUACGUCAGCGUACUCCUGUCAGACCGUCGGCAUAAUAAUGCCGUCGGCAUAGGGGGUAUGCCGACGGCCCUGGUGCAGCCGUCUGCAUAGUUUAGCCGUCGGCGUAGUUUUGCGUCUGACGGCAACGGACGACGCUGUCAAACUGCUGGCGGGUCAGGAGGCGACACGUGGCAGGGCUAUGCCUACGGCAAAGCCGUCAGCAUAGGUUAAAUCUAUGCCGACGGCUUUGCCGUAGGCAUAACNNNNNNNNNNNNNNNNNNNNNNNNNNNNNNNNNNNNNNNNNNNNNNNNNNNNNNNNNNNNNNNNNNNNNNNNNNNNNNNNNNNNNNNNNNNNNNNNNNNNNNNNNNNNNNNNNNNNNNNNNNNNNNNNNNNNNNNNNNNNNNNNNNNNNNNNNNNNNNNNNNNNNNNNNNNNNNNNNNNNNNNNNNNNNNNNNNNNNNNNNNNNNNNNNNNNNNNNNNNNNNNNNNNNNNNNNNNNNNNNNNNNNNNNNNNNNNNNNNNNNNNNNNNNNNNNNNNNNNNNNNNNNNNNNNNNNNNNNNNNNNNNNNNNNNNNNNNNNNNGUGUCGCCUCCUGGUGGCUCCUGAGCGUAUCUAUGCCGACGGCUUUGCCGUAGGCAUAGUUUUUUUUAUAUUCCCUGUUUUCUCUUUUCCAAUUCAUUUGACAACAUUUCAAAACAGAAUAAUAUGAAAUAUGACAGUUCAUCAACAUCAUUUAAACAUAGUCAAGUUCAUCAUCUAAAGAUCAUCACCGGCGAAAGUCCACGAACAUAAGAGUAGUGCAAGACAUGAAACAUCAUAAAAGUUGAAACAUGAAAGACAUGGCACAACGGCCGCAUACACGGAAUCAUCAUCGACAUCAAGCACCACCGAGUCCACCUCCUCCAAAACCACCACCACCACCGAGUCCACCUCCUCCAAAACCACCACCACCACCGAGUCCACCUCCGCCAAAACCACCACCAAGUCCACCUCCGCCAAAACCGCCACCGCCAAGUCCUCCUUCGCCAAAGCCGCCACCGCGACCACCAUCACUCUGCCAGAUCGGAGUAACUGGGGUCGACGGAGCAGGAGUCGAGCCACAGGUCCCCUACAUGUUUGAAAGAAGAUUCUCACGGUAAAUAUGACAUGAUAGUGUUGAAUGAACGAGAACUAGUUUGUCAUUAGUUAGGCAAAUUUACUAACCGGAGUAUCACCGCCUAUUGCCAGCCAUUCCUCGAACGUGGGAAUGUGUGGGGCGUCUCCCGCAGGUGGUGGUGGGGGUCCAACUUGUGGUGGCUCCGUGCGGUUAGUCCAAGACGCCAACAUAGCCUGGAUGUUAGUUAAACAAGUCCACUUAGAAACAAGCCGUGAUCAACUAAGUUAGAAGGAAUGAAAGUGCAAAUUUGAGCUUGGUUUAAGAGGGCAAAACUAACCGCCAUCACUUGACGGCUGUGAUCAUCGUUUGCCUUCACUCGUUGCAAGUACUCCCUCACCUCAAUAUGCCUAUGCUCGAGAAAGGUCUGAUAUGCCUACAAAAUUGAGGUUGUUUCUAAGUGGGCAGUGAUGAAAAUAAACUAAGAAAGAUAGAGACAAAGAAGAUAAGGGGAAGUACUUACAGCACGUUGGCGGACUAAGGGAGGCUGCGAACGCCCCGUACUCUCUAACGGGCUCGGGUUGGUAGCUCGAAGCCGUGUGUACGAGAUCGACGGAGUGACCAAGCCAUCGAAACAUGGAUACCGGCCAUUGGACUUACCCUGGAUGGCCACCACCGCCGUGUCGUCGAUCUGAGACUGGGCGACCUCAGGAACAGGAACAUCCGGAUGCAACUUCUGAUAGUUCUGAGUGUAAGACUCCAGGUGUUUCUCGGUGUUGCCGUAGUACUGGCUCUCGCCCUCCUUGCGAUCACUCCGCUCGCGCGCCAGCUUCCACGACUCCAUGUCUGAGAGCGGCCUCUGCAACUUGUCCUCCUGCAACGUCAAACAGAAGUUAGCCGUACAUAAGAACAUGACGGUAAAGAAGAACCAAAAUGCAUCUUUCAUAUAGAUAUACCUUCAUGGCCUUGAAGCCCCCGUUGUUCCUGUUUCCUUGGCCGUGUGUCCCGUCUUUUCCACGGUUAGCCCGGGCCUUGAUGCUCUUGGCAACAAACUCUGGAUCGUCACCGACCCACCUAUCCACCAAACACGCCCAUCCGUCAUGCCUUCCAUAGCACCAACGAGGAACAACCUAUGCAAAUUUUGGAAGCAUGACAUGUGAGCACGAAACAUAUAGUUGACUCCUUGAAACAAUGAAAAGUCAGUAAUAGUUACCAUCAUGAACUGCUCCCUGCUCAUGGUAAUUUUUUGCCUUUGUGCUUGUGUUUUGGUCAUCUUUUGUUGCAGGUAGAUGUGGUAGUACUGUGAGACGGCAACCCAACGCACCUCGUACUGCAACUGACGAGCUUUCUUCUUUGCAGACGCAAGUAAGACCACGUCGGCUCUGGCCUUGUGCUCAUCAAGAACUCUAUUGAGUUGCUGCAAUCAUGCAUAAACCAGAAGCAAACAAGGCAUGAUUUGAGUGAUUCAAUGAUAAACUAUGAACGAAACUAAAGACAAGUGAUUCAAAAGGGAACUUACCCAAAAUUUGGUGAUCACGGCCUUAGCGGCCGUCCCGUACUCCGCGUUGCUGCAAGCCUCGUAGUGGGCCCAGCUUGUGGCCAAAACACGCAGCUGUGGGUCCCUGUCUAGCCGCGGGCAGAAUAGGCCAGGCCAAAACUGCUUCAACAGGACAGUGAGAAGGCCGUUCGGUUUACGGCCCUUUCCGUGAAGGAUCCAGUUACUGCAAAAGAAUCAAAGGGUUGCCAUGUGUACAAUAAAAAAAUGUUGUCAUGUGUUGAAAGUAUGAUUGAGAUGCACUUACUCUGUCCCCGCAGGUUCAAUGAGCCACUUGUGCGCCUCGAUAGAAGGUGGUGUAGGUACUCCGGCAUUACCACGCAGCCACCCCUACGGAGCACCCGGUGGCAAGUCACCCCACAACUCGGGGUCAACCUCCCCUCCACCCUCCUCGCCCUCCUCGGCCUCCUCCUCCUCGGCCUCCUCCUCCUCGACAUCAGGAAUAUACUCCUCCUCCUCAGACUCAGAAGCUGCAUCAGCAUAGGAGGGCAUCGAAGAAGACCCUCCUAUUUCGGACACGGCCCAGAGUUUUUUGGCCCGGUUGCCUCUCCCCCACCUCCUCGUCCUCUAGGGGCUCUCCCCCCACCCCCUCCUCCUCUAGGGUCUCCUCCCUCGACCCCUCCACCUCCCUGUGAGGUGCCAUCCUCGCGUAGUCGGGAGGGAACCUUGUGGGCUCGUCCACUCCGAGUAAGUCCUCCUUUGAGUUUACUGAGGAAACUGGCACCGCUGGACUUGCCCAUGAUUAGCAAACCUGCAUUGAGAAGAGAAUAAACAAUUAGUAAGGAUAUAAAAAAACAAGCACACAGGAAAGACAUUAAUAACGGAAGAGAACAUUAUUAAAAGAACAUACAUUUUCUAGAACCCAUAUGAAUCAUCACUAUUGUAAUCUAUUUGUCGACCGGUCUCAUCAUCACUAUCGCGCAUAUCUUCUUCGUUGUCUGACGGAGGUGGAGGCUCUUCCUCAUCGUCAGCGUCAGCGUCUUCAUUUAACUUUUCAAGCAUAAUUAUGUCUCUUUGAUUCACAACUGCCUCACCAUCAAUCUGGGCGUCGUCGUCGUUUGGGUCCAGGUCAACAUAACCCAAGUCAUCAUCCUCCUUGUUUUGGACCACGUCAUCAUGUUCCUCUUGAAAAAACACUCCCUCGUAUGUCAUGGGGUUUAUGUUGUAGUAAUCAUCAUCGUUCGGGUCCGGUAGCUUACCAUGUGCCGACACCUUGAACACAACUUCCCAACCCUUUAGGUACUCUUUCUGGCAUGGGUAAGGCAGAUAAUAUACUUGUGUGGCCUGGGUAGCGGCGAUAAAGAGAUCAGCUCCGGCAUAGACGGUUGAUGGUUUAACUUCAACUAAACCAACAGAAGGCGUAUGUCUCAGACCCUUUUUGGGGUCGAACCAUCGGCAUUUGAACACAGUGAGACUUAGGUGUUUACGGCCACAUUUGAAUGUAAGCUCGUAUAUUUUUCCUACCCUUCCGUAGUAAUCUACAUUAUUAUCUCCUUCGGUGAAGACUCCAGUAUUUAUGGUUUUGGGAUCAGGCCGACUGUUCUGGUGCUCCUCUGUAUGGAAGCGAUACCCAUUCACAUCAUACUUUUGGCAUGUCAUGACGGUAGGGUCAAAACCCAUGGAAACCCAUCUCAAUUCUUCAUCCAUUGAUUCGUUCGGAUCAUUUCCCUACAAGUUUAAUUGAAAUUAUAGGGUGCAUGAGUUUAAUUGGAAGUGUGAAAUGGGUAAUAGGGAAGUGUGAAAUAUUACUUUCUCCAUGAACCACGCAACGAAAUUUUUCCUUCCAUCUGCACCCUUUCGGAGAAGAGCAAGUGCCUCCGCUUCAGUAGGAGGCAGCAUUCCUGUCCAUUCUUCCUCAACGAAUCGACUACAAUAAGAAAAGCGGUAUAAGAACUAGGCAAAGUGAACAUAACGAAUUGACUAAAAGAAUGGUGCAAAGGUAUUACCUCAUCCACUCAUCCUCAACUUCUUUGAUGUUGUGCAAGAUAUAGAACAUGACAUCCUCCCACUCAUCUCGUGGCAUGACAUAAGAUGUCGAGCAUCCAGCCCUGCCACCUUGCCCGAUGAAUAGAGGCAACUUGGGUUUAUACUUGGGUUCUUCUAUAUUGUAUCGAGACACCUUAUUGUGCAACGUGGGAACAUGGUCCGGAUAGUAGGCUGUCCUGAGGUCUGCCACCUCCUCUAGGAUAACUGCCUCAGCUAUGGAAGCUUCAAUCUUAGCUUUGUUUCCACAUUUCUGUCUCAGAUGCUUGUUUUGUCUCUCAGGGCCGUACUGCCAACGAUACUGCACAGGGCCCCCCAACAAUACCUCGUUCGCAAGGUGCAAAAUGAGAUGUGUCAUCGGAGUAAAGAAGCCUGGCGGGAAGAUCUUCUCUAGUUGCAUAUCAACUCCGGCGCCUUCUUAUGCAUUUCUUUUAUCUUCUCAGGACAUACUUCUUUAGCACAAAGCGUUCGGAAGAAAUGGCUUAACUCCGCAAGCACACGCCAGAAACGCUCGGGAACAUAGCCCCGAACCAUCACCGGCAUAAUCCGCUCAAUCCAUACAUGAUAGUCAUGACUCUUCAGCCCGGUCACUCUGCCCAUUGAAAGAUUGACCCCCUGACUUGUAUUCGACGCAUAACCAUCAGUGAACUUCACGACGUGUUUCAGCCACUUGAAUGCCUCCAUCUUAUGAUCCUUUUUAAGUACGAAGUCAGCAUCUGGCUUGAACCAAGAUUUUCGACUACCCGUGGGAGGUUGCAUGUGAAGACGUGGUCUAUCACAAAUAUUCUGUUGAUCGACUCUAGCAUUAACAUUAUCCUUUGUCUUAUCAGGAAAGUUGAGGAUCGUGUUAAAAAGGGACUGUGCGACAUUCUUUUCGGUGUGCAUCACGUCGAUGUUGGUCAAAGGCAACAUACUUGCCACCCUUCUUCAGCCAAAUGAAAAUCAAGGCCUGUAUGCACACUGGGCAAGGCAUCUUUCCACUUGUACACCAUCCGCAGAACAGGGCAUAGCCGGGAAAGUCAUGCAUGCAAUACUGUAGCCAAACUUUCAUCAAGAAAUUUUUCUGCAGAUGCCGGUCGUAUGUCAACCUCGGGAAGUACCAAGAAUGGUGCAAAUCAUCCACCAACGGCUGCAUAAACACACUCAAAUUCUUCCCUGGAUAUUCAGGCCCCGGAAUUAUAAGCGACAGGAACAUGGUCUUGCGUUGCAUUAUGGCGCCGGGAGGGAGAUUGAGUGGAAUAACAAAUAUGGGCCAGCAGCUGUAUGGAUUAGACGACAUACCAUAUGGAUUGAACCCAUCACCUGUUAUAGCAAUUCUGACAUUCCCAGCCUCGGCUGCUUCCUCCGGGUACUUUAUAUCGAAUGACUUCCAUGCUUCACCUUCUGAUGUAUGUACAAUUUUUUUUGGAUUGUACCUUUUCCCUUCCUUGUGCCACUUCAUCAUUUUGGCAGACUCCUCGGUGAUGAAAAGGCGCUGCAGUCUUUUUAUAAAAUCAAGAUACUGAAGAACCUUCACAGGGAUUUUUAGCUGCUGCUUCUGACCAUGCUUAUCGACCACCUCAAUAUACCGAGAGGAACCGCACUUCCUACAGUAGUUGUCAUCCGCAUACUCAUGCCUAAACAAAAGGCAAUUCUUUGGACAAACAUGUAUUUUCUCAUAGUCCAUGGAGAGCGCCUUCAUGAUUUUCUUCGUACUGUACAGGGUUUUCGGCAGUUCAUGGCCCUCGGGCAGGCUGUUAGCCCAUACUCCCAGAAAUGCUUCGAAGCAACAUCGGCUACAGCCGUACUCAGCCUUCACUUCCACCAGUUGCGAGAUGGCAUCCAGCACAGACAGCUUGGCACCCUCAUAGAGAGGUUUCUUUGACGAGGCCAAGAUUUCCAGGAAGGCCUUUGCGGUUUCCUCCGGCUCCUCCGGUUCAUUCGCUGAAUGUGACGGAGGUGUCGGCUGUGCAGCAAAGACAUCAUCUAGCAUGUCUCUAACCCCAUCGUCCUCAUAACCAGCGACGCGUUGUCGUAUCACAUCCUCUCUACCACGGUCCCGCUGGGCAAAGUUUAUCGGCAUAUUAAAGUUGGGCAUAAAUCCAUGCGUGCGAAGGUGCUUAGUCAUCGCACUCUUAUCUCUGCGGAUACGUCUCUUACAUCUGGCACACGGGCAUUCUGGCACCAUCCUCAUUGGACUACGGAAUAUCUCUUUCAAAAACACAUCAGUUUUCUCGACCCACUCUGUUGUUACUUGAUUCCGACAGAAAAACCCACUAUACAUCCACUGAUUAUCUGCCAUCUCUGCUUUAUUGGAACCCACACAACAAAAUUAAUGAUUCAUUUAAAUUACCCACAUCAAUAUUUUAUUUUUUACAAGGUUGACAUUUUAAUCCACCUACAUCUCUAAUAGGUAAAGAUGGGUCCUAAUCCCACCCGAGAAUGUGUAGAUUGAGUAUGGUCCAUGCUCUACCCCAUUCCGAGACAAAAUUUCGGCAGCACCUCCCCGCUGUUCUCCAAAUACACGUAUCGGCAAAAUGCUGAGAGAAUGUGCAUCCGGAGAACAACAGGGAAGCGCCGCCGAAAUCCUGUCUCGGAACGGGGUAGAGCAUGAACAACGUACCCAAUCUACACAUCCUCGGGCUGUCCGUGGAAAGCGCUGGACAAUCCGAAAGAGUUGCGGUGAUAAAUAUGCAAUUGAAUGCAUAUUUAUCGAUGCAACCCUUUCGGACGGGAGACCUAGGUUACGCGACUUGAUGUGAAAAUUCAAUCUAGUGACAUGGAAAAAAAGUGGACGAGGUCAUGGAAUUGUUGCUCACCCUCCGAUGUAGAGGAUGUAGUCGAUCAAAGGAGGGACAAUCGUGGACAAACACCUCCAACAUGGACGAUCACUCCACGAAGAUGGAACACCACAAAUCCUGUUAAUUCCACCGAGUGAUAAAAAUUAGGUCAUCACCUCACAUUAAGCAUUGGCACAACAUUAUGAAUGAACAUGAAACAACAUGUCAAAUUGUAAAAAAACAAACUCUAAACCCGUUCCUACUCCAUUCCCUCUCUCCCCAUUCUUUCUCUCUUAUAAAAAAACAAACGGAGCUCGUUCAUACUCCAUUAUCUUCCCUCGCUCAUCUUUUUACAUGCACAUAUUGAAAAACUUGACCAAUAUCAUCUAUCCAUAUUGAGCAAUAUCUAAGUGUCCAAAUUCACAAAAUUGAGCAAUAUCCAUCAAUGCAUCCAUCUAUCACAAACUUCACCAUCAAUCUGUACAUGCAUGCAUAUAUCAAUUCAUCACAUAUCCAUCUAUGCAAAAAAAAACAGUAACAAAAUGCAAAAAAAAAUUCUCACCUUGGGGCAGCCGCCGGGGAAGGGUGGACGGGGCCGGCCGGGGCGCAGCAGGGCGUCGGCGAAGGGUGGACGGGCCGGUCGGUGCAGCUGAACAGGAAGGGCACGGGGUUAGGGACGGGUGUGGACGGCGCUGGCGAGAGGUGGCGGAGGGACGGGGGCGGUGGUGGGGUGAGNNNNNNNNNNNNNNNNNNNNNNNNNNNNNNNNNNNNNNNNNNNNNNNNNNNNNNNNNNNNNNNNNNNNNNNNNNNNNNNNNNNNNNNNNNNNNNNNNNNNNNNNNNNNNNNNNNNNNNNNNNNNNNNNNNNNNNNNNNNNNNNNNNNNNNNNNNNNNNNNNNNNNNNNNNNNNNNNNNNNNNNNNNNNNNNNNNNNNNNNNNNNNNNNNNNNNNNNNNNNNNNNNNNNNNNNNNNNNNNNNNNNNNNNNNNNNNNNNNNNNNNNNNNNNNNNNNNNNNNNNNNNNNNNNNNNNNNNNNNNNNNNNNNNNNNNNNNNNNNNNNNNNNNNNNNNNNNNNNNNNNNNNNNNNNNNNNNNNNNNNNNNNNNNNNNNNNNNNNNNNNNNNNNNNNNNNNNNNNNNNNNNNNNNNNNNNNNNNNNNNNNNNNNNNNNNNNNNNNNNNNNNNNNNNNNNNNNNNNNNNNNNNNNNNNNNNNNNNNNNNNNNNNNNNNNNNNNNNNNNNNNNNNNNNNNNNNNNNNNNNNNNNNNNNNNNNNNNNNNNNNNNNNNNNNNNNNNNNNNNNNNNNNNNNNNNNNNNNNNNNNNNGUCGAGCUGGCGGCGGCGCGGGUCGAGCAGCGCUAUCCGGGCGAAUGAGUGGUUGACGGGCGAGCGGCUGAGGAUAAGGGUGAGGUAUGCCGACGGCUAAGCCGUCGGCAUAGGUAGCGAUGCCACGUGGCACCUAUGCCGACGGCUUAGCCGUAGGCAUAGUUAUUUUUUUUAAUUUUUUAAUGUUUUUAAUAGUUAUAUUUUUUCUUCUUUCUGUUUUUUAUUUCAUAUAAAUUUUUGAUGUUUUUAUAGUCAUAAGUUAUAUAUUUUAUAUUUUUUUAUCUAUUAUUAUUUCAUAUGCAUUUUUAAUGUUUUCUUAACGCUGCUCGGCCCUCUCCUCUCCCGGAACCACAUAGAGGGGAGGUGAAGGCGCCACGUGGCAUUUUUUUUGCAACAACUUUUAUACAUGUUUAAUAUUUUUUUAAAAUAUUAUUAACUGUCUUCAAACAUAUUUUGAGUGUAUAUUUUUUUCAUACGCAUUGAAAAGUUUCGUUUACAUAUAAAAUGAGGGACCGAUGCAUCGUUUCCCCCCUCCAGGUGCCGGCGGCGGCGCCGUCCGUGAUGGGGGCCACACCCCGGAGAUGCGUGCCGCCUCUUCGGACAUGCCACAAAACCACCCUGCAUGUAUGAGGGCCCGGUACGACGCUCCGGUGGCAUUGCUACCCCCGAGGGCCCCUGUCCCGCCUAACCCUGGAGCAGUUUACCACGAGAUCUAGCCCUUUGACUUCCCACGGACGGGCUUUGACCAGUGGACCUCUCCAGCUGGUUGUGUUAGUUCGGCCCAUAGGGACACCCGGGAGCAACAUCUGGGCCAAACCCACAACUACAUCCACUCCGUGUAGACCCGACGCGUCCGUUUCCCCCCUCCCGNNNNNNNNNNNNNNNNNNNNNNNNNNNNNNNNNNNNNNNNNNNNNNNNNNNNNNNNNNNNNNNNNNNNNNNNNNNNNNNNNNNNNNNNNNNNNNNNNNNNNNNNNNNNNNNNNNNNNNNNNNNNNNNNNNNNNNNNNNNNNNNNNNNNNNNNNNNNNNNNNNNNNNNNNNNNNNNNNNNNNNNNNNNNNNNNNNNNNNNNNNNNNNNNNNNNNNNNNNNNNNNNNNNNNNNNNNNNNNNNNNNNNNNNNNNNNNNNNNNNNNNNNNNNNNNNNNNNNNNNNNNNNNNNNNNNNNNNNNNNNNNNNNNNNNNNNNNNNNNNNNNNNNNNNNNNNNNNNNNNNNNNNNNNNNNNNNNNNNNNNNNNNNNNNNNNNNNNNNNNNNNNNNNNNNNNNNNNNNNNNNNNNNNNNNNNNNNNNNNNNNNNNNNNNNNNNNNNNNNNNNNNNNNNNNNNNNNNNNNNNNNNNNNNNNNNNNNNNNNNNNNNNNNNNNNNNNNNNNNNNNNNNNNNNNNNNNNNNNNNNNNNNNNNNNNNNNNNNNNNNNNNNNNNNNNNNNNNNNNNNNNNNNNNNNNNNNNNNNNNNNNNNNNNNNNNNNNNNNNNNNNNNNNNNNNNNNNNNNNNNNNNNNNNNNNNNNNNNNNNNNNNNNNNNNNNNNNNNNNNNNNNNNNNNNNNNNNNNNNNNNNNNNNNNNNNNNNNNNNNNNNNNNNNNNNNNNNNNNNNNNNNNNNNNNNNNNNNNNNNNNNNNNNNNNNNNNNNNNNNNNNNNNNNNNNNNNNNNNNNNNNNNNNNNNNNNNNNNNNNNNNNNNNNNNNNNNNNNNNNNNNNNNNNNNNNNNNNNNNNNNNNNNNNNNNNNNNNNNNNNNNNNNNNNNNNNNNNNNNNNNNNNNNNNNNNNNNNNNNNNNNNNNNNNNNNNNNNNNNNNNNNNNNNNNNNNNNNNNNNNNNNNNNNNNNNNNNNNNNNNNNNNNNNNNNNNNNNNNNNNNNNNNNNNNNNNNNNNNNNNNNNNNNNNNNNNNNNNNNNNNNNNNNNNNNNNNNNNNNNNNNNNNNNNNNNNNNNNNNNNNNNNNNNNNNNNNNNNNNNNNNNNNNNNNNNNNNNNNNNNNNNNNNNNNNNNNNNNNNNNNNNNNNNNNNNNNNNNNNNNNNNNNNNNNNNNNNNNNNNNNNNNNNNNNNNNNNNNNNNNNNNNNNNNNNNNNNNNNNNNNNNNNNNNNNNNNNNNNNNNNNNNNNNNNNNNNNNNNNNNNNNNNNNNNNNNNNNNNNNNNNNNNNNNNNNNNNNNNNNNNNNNNNNNNNNNNNNNNNNNNNNNNNNNNNNNNNNNNNNNNNNNNNNNNNNNNNNNNNNNNNNNNNNNNNNNNNNNNNNNNNNNNNNNNNNNNNNNNNNNNNNNNNNNNNNNNNNNNNNNNNNNNNNNNNNNNNNNNNNNNNNNNNNNNNNNNNNNNNNNNNNNNNNNNNNNNNNNNNNNNNNNNNNNNNNNNNNNNNNNNNNNNNNNNNNNNNNNNNNNNNNNNNNNNNNNNNNNNNNNNNNNNNNNNNNNNNNNNNNNNNNNNNNNNNNNNNNNNNNNNNNNNNNNNNNNNNNNNNNNNNNNNNNNNNNNNNNNNNNNNNNNNNNNNNNNNNNNNNNNNNNNNNNNNNNNNNNNNNNNNNNNNNNNNNNNNNNNNNNNNNNNNNNNNNNNNNNNNNNNNNNNNNNNNNNNNNNNNNNNNNNNNNNNNNNNNNNNNNNNNNNNNNNNNNNNNNNNNNNNNNNNNNNNNNNNNNNNNNNNNNNNNNNNNNNNNNNNNNNNNNNNNNNNNNNNNNNNNNNNNNNNNNNNNNNNNNNNNNNNNNNNNNNNNNNNNNNNNNNNNNNNNNNNNNNNNNNNNNNNNNNNNNNNNNNNNNNNNNNNNNNNNNNNNNNNNNNNNNNNNNNNNNNNNNNNNNNNNNNNNNNNNNNNNNNNNNNNNNNNNNNNNNNNNNNNNNNNNNNNNNNNNNNNNNNNNNNNNNNNNNNNNNNNNNNNNNNNNNNNNNNNNNNNNNNNNNNNNNNNNNNNNNNNNNNNNNNNNNNNNNNNNNNNNNNNNNNNNNNNNNNNNNNNNNNNNNNNNNNNNNNNNNNNNNNNNNNNNNNNNNNNNNNNNNNNNNNNNNNNNNNNNNNNNNNNNNNNNNNNNNNNNNNNNNNNNNNNNNNNNNNNNNNNNNNNNNNNNNNNNNNNNNNNNNNNNNNNNNNNNNNNNNNNNNNNNNNNNNNNNNNNNNNNNNNNNNNNNNNNNNNNNNNNNNNNNNNNNNNNNNNNNNNNNNNNNNNNNNNNNNNNNNNNNNNNNNNNNNNNNNNNNNNNNNNNNNNNNNNNNNNNNNNNNNNNNNNNNNNNNNNNNNNNNNNNNNNNNNNNNNNNNNNNNNNNNNNNNNNNNNNNNNNNNNNNNNNNNNNNNNNNNNNNNNNNNNNNNNNNNNNNNNNNNNNNNNNNNNNNNNNNNNNNNNNNNNNNNNNNNNNNNNNNNNNNNNNNNNNNNNNNNNNNNNNNNNNNNNNNNNNNNNNNNNNNNNNNNNNNNNNNNNNNNNNNNNNNNNNNNNNNNNNNNNNNNNNNNNNNNNNNNNNNNNNNNNNNNNNNNNNNNNNNNNNNNNNNNNNNNNNNNNNNNNNNNNNNNNNNNNNNNNNNNNNNNNNNNNNNNNNNNNNNNNNNNNNNNNNNNNNNNNNNNNNNNNNNNNNNNNNNNNNNNNNNNNNNNNNNNNNNNNNNNNNNNNNNNNNNNNNNNNNNNNNNNNNNNNNNNNNNNNNNNNNNNNNNNNNNNNNNNNNNNNNNNNNNNNNNNNNNNNNNNNNNNNNNNNNNNNNNNNNNNNNNNNNNNNNNNNNNNNNNNNNNNNNNNNNNNNNNNNNNNNNNNNNNNNNNNNNNNNNNNNNNNNNNNNNNNNNNGGAGACGUGUGCCGCAUCUUUGGACAUGCCACAACACCACCGCGCAUGUAUGAGGUCGCGGUACGACGCUCCGGUGGCAUUGCUACCCCCAGGACCCCCGUCCCGCCAAACCCUGGAGUGGUUGACCACGAGAUCUAGCCCUUUGACUUUCCACGGACGGGUUUUGACCAGUGGACCUCUCCACCCGGUUGUGUCAGGUCGGCCCAGAGGGACACCGGGGAGCAACAUCCGGGCCAAACCCACAGCUAAAUCCACUCCAUGUAGACCCGACGCGUCCGUUCCGCCCCUCCAGGUGCCGGCGCCACACCCCGGAGAUGCAUGCCGCCUCUUCGGACAUGCCAUAACACCAUCCGGUUGUGGUAGGUCAUCCGAUAUAUAUAAACACUUGGAGCAAAGUCCCCUUCGUAUAGACCCGAUGCGGCUGUUCCCCAUUCCAGUUGCCGUCUGGCGGCGGCACCGUUCGUGAGGGGGGUCACAACGCUCUGUACAGAACCGAAAAAUAAUGUAUGUAUGCUUAUUAACACAUACUGUAUGUAAGUUAGUUAAAUAAUAAUAAUAAAGAAAACAAUGAAGAAAAAAAAACUAUAUGUAUGCUUAUUAACACAUACUAUAUGCUUAUUAACAUACUAUAUGCUUAUUAACACAAUCUAUAUGUAUGCUUAUUAACACAAUCUAUAUGUAUGCUUAUUAACACAUACUGUAUGCUUAAUAAUAAUAAUAAUAAUAUAUGAAAAAAAGAAAAAAAACUAUGCCGACGGCAAAGCCGUCGGCAUAGGUGCGGCCAGGGCAGAUGGACAGCGCCGCGAAUCGAUGACGUGUCGGCUACGCCGACGGCUGCCAUCGGCAUAGCUCCUGGUCGGUGCGCUCUGGAUCGGUGACGUGUCACCCGUAUCUAUGCCGACGGCCACCCGUCACGGGCGUCGGCAUAGAUUUGACGUCUUAGCCGGCCGUGAUGACAGUUGUCAGCGGCCCGCAUCUAUGCCGACGGCCUAUAUAUGCCGACGGCAGCUGUAGACGUAUUCUGGGAUAAGCCGACGGCCUAUAUAUGCCGACGGCUGCUGUCAGCGUAGAUGCGGAUAGCCCGACGGCCAUUGUACGCCGACGGCCAGGAGCUAGCUGUCGGCAUAGCUCGGACUAGGCCGACGGUAGCCGUCGGCAUAUAUUUGGCUGUCGGCGUAGAGCCCUGUUCCGGUAGUGAAUCAGAGGUCGGUGACUGAGCAAACUUCCUUGGACUGCAGAAAACUUGGCACGCAGCACACACUUCCCAAUCCACCAAGAAAACAAUAACACCACUGCUUAAUUCUGAAGACAGUUGGAGCGGAGCGAGGGAAUCGGCAACAUGCACGAACCGUGCGGGCGGACCGCUGGAGUAGCAGUACGGCAAGAACACGGACAAGAAUGCGGACUGCUCAUCGCCAUGGCCAUACAUGUAGCUGGCCUGGCCAUGGGUGAUGGGGCUCUCUCUGACAAGCACCCAGCGCAAGCGCCCCAGCCAUGACCGCCUGCCUGGGUCUCUGGGUUGGUUGGUAGCCUCGUUGAGAUCGUGACUCGCAGAAGACGGCAGUUUCUGGUCGAGUCCGCGAUGAAAAUCAUAUGCCUUGUUCACACAUAUCUACCUAGGCAGGUUCUAUGAAUCUCUGCAGCCGGAGAAGAAAAUGGAUAAAUUAAAUCAGUGGGCAUAUAUAAAACAAAGAGCAAAGUAACAAUAUUGGUCGACAUGCACACUAGAAAUCAAAACAAGAAUAUAUACGGGCAAAUACGCCGGGACACGGAUUAGUGGAACAUGGUUCCAUGAGGAGCCCUUACGAAAAGUAAAUUCUGAAAAAAACAAUAACAUACAUGGUCUACUAGUAUACCACUUGCGUAUAAAGUUUCACGAAGAAAUGGCAUCCAUGGCAUUCUGGUAAAAAUAAUAAAAGCAAAGGUACGUUCAAAAACACUGUUUAAAGAAAUAUUAACGCGGGAUUGUAUUUUUCUUUACUACGGAACACCCUAGGUGUCAUUUCUUCAUGAAACUUCAUCAAUAUGUAGAAUGAUCGAUUGAUUAUUAUUUUUUUGUGCGGGAAAAUGUCUAAUCUAUUCAUUUUCAAUCAUGGUGUUGUAAAUGAUUGUUUUGGCAAUGCUUCAUGAUGUAUUGAUCGGUGCAAAGCGCACGUAUAUAUGGAGUACAAAGUGGGCCACAACCUCAACUAUACAAAGACUAGGAGGUGGGCCAGGCUAUACAGUAUACAUGCACAAACCAUAUAUUCAACACCCCCCCGCAGUCGAAGCGUCGCCGGAGACGCAAAGACUGGACCUGAACUCCUCGAAAACAGAAGUAGGCAGUCCUUUCGUCAUGACGUCGGCGAACUGCUGCGCCGUCGGGACGUGGAGGACCCGGAUGCGCCCAAGAGCCACCUGCUCACGAACGAAGUGUAUAUCGAGCUCAAUAUGCUUCGUUCGACGAUGAUGGACUGGGUUGGCGGAGAGGUAAAUGGCAGAGACGUUGUCGCAGUAGAUGAGCGUCGCCUUGUGAACAUCACAAAGCAACUCCUGGAGCAGCUGACGGAGCCAAGAGCAUUCAGCAACGGCGUUAGCCACUGCUCGAUACUCAUCCUCGGCACUCGAGCGGGAGACGGUGGGCUGUCGCUUGGAGGACCAAGAGAUCAGGGACGGCCCAAGGUAGACAUAGUACCCCGAGGUGGAGCGCCAUGUGUCGGGGCAUGAAAGUGCUAGUUAUCGACUAGAGGGGGGGUGAAUAGGCGAUUUUUAACGAAGGCUUCAAAACGUGGAAGUUUCGAAGACAAACAAUAGAAAUAACCUAAUUGAUAUGCAUCGGAAGAUAAACUACAACAAGCAAGCCAUAAUCAAGUAUGCAAUAGCGUUAACGUACGAAGACUAAUAGCAGCUAGGUAGUAGGAUCAGGAUGGAAGAUAGUAUGAAGCCAAUCAACAAUAGUAGUCAAGCAAUGAAGUCAAUCAGAUAAGACAGAUAAGCAUCAACUUCACGAAGACAAACUCAAGGUAAAGGAGGAAAGAGAUAGAACCAGUUGCUUGUUGAAGACACAGGAUUUGUUGGACCAGUUCCAGUUGCUGUGACAACUAUACGUCUGGUUAGGGAGGCUGAGAUUCAACUCAGAAGACCGUGUCUUCACCUUAUUCCCCUUGAGCUAAGGUCACUUAGUCCUCGCCCAAUCACUCUGGUAAGUCUUCAAGGUAGACUUCCAAACCUUCACAGACUCCGUUCACCCGGCAAUCCACAAUGACUCUUGGAUGCUCAGAAUGCGAUGCCUAACCGGCUGAAGGAUACACAGUCCUCAAGUGUAAUAAGUCUUCAGGUCACACAGACAGAAAGACUUCAGUGAUGCCUAACACUCUUUGGCUCUGGGUGUUUGGGCUUUGUCCUCGCAAGGAUUUCUCUCUCUCAAAUGCUUCGAGGUGGGUUGCUCUCAAACGACAAAAGCCGUAUACUAACUCUGAGCAGCCACCAACUUAUGGUGUAGGGGGUGGGCUAUUUAUAGCCACUAGGCAACCCGACCUGAUUUGUCCAAAAUGACCCUGGGUCACUAAGGAACUGACACGUGUUCCAACGGUCAGAUUUCAAACACAUGCGGCAACUUUACUUGGGCUACAAGCAAAGCUGACUCAUCUAGCUCUGGAUAAGGUUUGCUCUCAUUGUCUUCGUUCGAAGACAUACAAUUUGAGUUGAGCAUCACUUCAGUCACUCUGACUUAGUUCACUUGGACCCCACUUAACAGUACGGUGGUUCCUAUGACUCAACAAAGAAGAAAAGAAAGCAACGAAUCCACACAGUCUUCGCGCUCCAUAGUCUUCACGCAAUGUCUUCUCAUGUCAUAGUCUUCAAUAUGAAUAUCUUCUCAUACCACCAUUGUCUUCAAUGUCUUCAUACAUUUUUAGGGGUCAUCUCCGGUAGGUAAACCGAAUCAAUGAGGGACACUACCUGCGUUAUCCUGCAAUUCUCACAAACGCAUUAGUCCCUCAACCAACUUUGUCGUCAAUACUCCAAAACCAACUAGGGGUGGCACUAGAUGCACUUACAAUCUCCCCCUUUUUGGUGAUUGAUGACAAACUGGUUGAAGUUUUCAACAGGGAUAAAUAUGUGAAAUUGUAAGGAUAGGAAAUAGUCUUCAUAAGUUGCAAGGGCUCCCCCUGAAGAUGUGCAUGUAAGUAAUUUGCUUUUGGAAUGCAAAUGCACAUGGCAGGUUGUACUUGUGGAGAUCCACUUCAACUUAUGAAGAUAAUUCAUCAUGCAUGAACUGAUAUAGUAAGUAGAAUGACAUGCAUAAUGAAAAAUGGACGUCUGCAGAAUGAUCUAAGUGCGGAAGUUAUCAUAGCACAUGCGGAAUCUAUCAUCGCAUCACAGUAAAGCAAAUAAGUAGCAGACGACCAUCAAGUUUAGGUGUUACAACUCAAAGAACCAAAUGUUUUCAAAAAGCAAGAGUUGUAAGCACGAGGCAAAAAUAUAAUGCAACCGCCCAUAUGAACCCGCUUGAAGACUAUCAAACUCAUACGCUUCUCCCCCUUUUGUCAGUAAUGACCAAAAAGGUUUGAAGACAUAGAGCAUCUACUCGUCCUCAUGAGGAGUAGUUGAAGCAGCAGGGUUGUCGUUGUCGUUUGGCGGUGCAGAUGAACUUGGUGCAGUGUCGAUGCGUGCAGAAGUAGGAGGUGGUGAAGUAGCAUCAUCUUCAUCAUCGAUCACUUUGGCAUUUACUGUUGCCGCGGAGGAAGAAUAUUCAGAAUCUUCAAGAGAUGGAGUACGACGUAGGACAGCAGUCCGUGGAGGAGUGGAGUCAAACUGGAAUCGUUCAUUGAAGCCAUCGUCUUGAAGAUCUGCUUCAACACUAAGCAGGGUCAAGCUCUUCCAUGAUCGCCGACAAGUUUCAUGAGCAACAAAGGCAUUCUUGGUGGAAAGGUUGCGAAUGCGAUUGACAUCCACCAAGAUGCUUUGCAUCUGUCUCUUGAGCCAGAAAUGAUGCUUAUCCUGUUUCUGAUGAAGGGCCACAAGAAGUUCUCCGUCAUUGAGAACGUGAGAAUGCUUCCGAGGCCUUUGGGCAAUGGUGCUUUCAGUGGCUUCAGUAGGUGCUCGAUGAGGCAGACGAGUAUUUCCGGCCAAUGGAUAGAUUCGAGUUGCUGCUUGAACACCUUCAAUGGGUUGAGUGAAGCUUUGGCGCUCGGCAUUCUGAAGACAAAGAGGCUUCUUGGCAGGUUCAGGGUAUAUAGCUUCAACUGACAUAUCAACCUCUGGUAGAAAAAUCACAUGAUUGCGAGCAGAUGGUUGAUAGUUGACAGAUGAGUGUCGCUUGAUGAGGCGCAUGACCCAUGGAGCAUUGAAGCUGAUGCCAUUGAGAAUGUAGAAGACCAAGGUCUUCAUAGCUCCUUCAAGCUUUGCCACUGAUGAAUGUCCUUUGAUAGGCCAUAGAGUUCGCCUAAUGAUGUGAUAUAUGGUGCGUGGCAGAUACUCAAGGUCUUCAACAAAGAACUUUGUUGGAUAUUCAGCAUCACGUGGCAAAGGCUUCAUCAUGCUCAGCAUCUGACUCAUAUUGGGUUCAGGCUUAUGAAAGAUGCUUUCCAAAGCAUUGCGGUGAUUUUGACAACCAGGUUCAUAGAGUUCUCCUGGAGUGGAUAGGCCUGUAAGCUCGAUGAUAUCCAUAGCUUUGGCUUCAUGAUGAACAUUUCCGGUCAUCCACUCGAGAACCCAUGUCUUGAUAUCUCUGUUGUAGCCGCGAAUGUGUAGAGUAGCAUAGAAUUGAAGCAAGAGUUUUUCAUUCCAGUGUUCUUUAUCUUUGACAAAACUGAGCAGCCCAGCAUCACAAAAGCAGUCAAGUGCUUCUUCUAAGAAGGACAGACUAGUAAUGGCUUCAGUGUCGAGACGCAUAUGAGGGAAAAUGCGCCCUUGAUCAUACAGAACACAUGAGUAAUAGCUUCGCUGCUGAUGACUCCAGAACCGAUAUGAUGAUAUUCUUGGCUUCGUGUAGGGGUUCUUCGAGCUGUCAAAGAAUGUGUUGUGGAUCUUGAAGCCAUUUGCAUUGAAAGACCCUGGGGAGUUUGCAGUACCUGGAAACCUUGGCAGUCUUGGCUUGGGCUUCUGGACCUGAGGCCUAUGCUCAAUGUGAUAGUCAAAUUGAGGACCAGAGACAUUAGGCGGAGGGACCAGAACGGGCCAUCUUACUGUGAUUAGCUCGCCAUGGUUGUAUGCUUGCUCGAUUGUAUAGGGCCUUGGGGGCGGAACAGGAGCAGUGGCAGCAGCUGAGGCUUCAGGCUGCACAACAGGUGCUUCAGGUGCAGUGGCCUCAUUAGCUUCAGGUGCGGUGGCCUCAUUAGCUUCAGGCACACUGUUUGGUUCAAGCUCCACAUUAGCUUCAGCCAUGACAACGUCAUUGUCUUCACUUGCGUUGGUUGUGGCAGCUUCAGGAUUUUCAACCUCCACUUGAGGUGCUGGAGGGUCAGGCAUAGACACGUUCACUUCAUGAACUGUUUCUUCAGGCAUGGGGGGAGUUUGGACAUGUUCUUCUUGACGUUCCUCAUCGGCUGAUGCAGCCGGAUUGUCUUCAGCAGCUUGUGCUUCAGACACAGAGACAUUCAUAGUUGGAGUGGCUUCAGAGAACACUUGACGUGCAACAGGUUGAUGGUGCACUUCUCCUUCUGGAACGCUCGGAAGAGGGACUUGAGGCCUUGGUCCUUUGCGAAGCCUUUGUAGUACAGACGACGCCUUUGGAGAUGGAGUGGGCAGGUCCUCAUCCUCUUCAAUUUGUAUGGAUGGUGUGGUUUGUUGUUGUUGGGGAGUACUGGGGAAGUCUUGUUGCUGUGGGUGAUCAGCCCACGAUGCAUCCUGAGCAAUUGGCGUCAGUGGACGACCAAUGCUGAUGAGUUCGAUGUUCGUAUGAACAGGCGAUGAUACCACGUCAUGUUCGAUCUGAGGAAGAACUUCAUCAUCAGCUACAUUGUCAUCAUGACCAAUGUCUUCAGCAGCUGUGGGUUCAGCUGCUGGAAUAUCUUCAGCUUCAUGAGCCUCUGAGGGAGCAGGCUCAUGAACGAUCAUCUGUCUUUCUUGAUGUUCAGACGCAGGUCGAACCAUUGAGAUGGGUUCAACAACCAGAGGCUUUGUGGGAGCAGCCCGAUUUUUCUUGGUCUCGCGCUUCUUCUUGGAGGGAGCAGCAUCAGAGGCUUCAGUAUUCUUCCUCUUUCCGGCUUCAGCCUCGGCAGCCCUCGUCUUCUUCUGUUCUGAAGCGGUUGUGGUGACCUUUGGCUUCGAGCCAGUCAUGCUACUUGGGAAGAUAAUGCGAGGAGCUUCUUGGCUUGAAGGUGCAGGAUGGUCAGCAGAAAGCUUCUUCUUUUUCUUUGCAGCCAUCCUGGGGUCAAUGCCAGGACGGCCAAGUGACUUGCGCUUCUCAGCCUCAUUGUAGGCAAGCACACACUUAUCAGCCAAACGCUUCAUGCGCUCACGAGAGCCUUGAGAUUCUUGGUGCUUCUUCAGAAAAGCUUCUUUAAGCUCAUGCAACAUGCCUUUGAAGUUUCGGACGUCUUGAACACUUAGCUUGGCCACAUGCUUCUUGAAUUGAGCCUUCUCAUAAUCAAUUUUGUUCUUCAGCUCAACGAUGCGCUGAGCAAGAGCCAGCUCAGAAGCAAUGGCGCCAUUGAAGGCGACACUGAGGCCAAUGGGAAGCUGUAAAUCUUCAAAGAUGACAUUGGGGGUGUCGAACCACUCAUCAAUGAACUUGUGGAUGAUGGCCACAUCAAAGAGAGGCAAGUUGUUGAAGAUUUCUGCUUCUUCCUUGUUCUUUAUCAGUUGCUCAAGGGCAUCAUCAGCAAGAUCUUCAUCACUUGAUAGAUCAAUGGGUUCUUCACGCAGAAUGGCGGCAGGAGUCAAGGCUUGAUCAAUAUGCCUGACAAGUUGCUUUUUCUUCUCCGUCUUCUUGGAGAAGCGGGAUUGAUCUUCAGACUGCACACUGGCUUCAGGAGGUCAGUGGCCAGUGGCUUCACACGAGAAGCUUUUGGAGGUGUAGCUGAUGAUGAAGCCUUAAGUUUCUUUGGCUUCUGCGGCCUAGGAGGAGCUGGGGCUUCAUCAGAAUCAGCCUCAUUGUCAGAAUGAUCCACUUUGGCACCUUGUAGCAAGAUGUAGGAGAUGAGGCCAUCAAGGUUUGCAAAGGGGCCAAUUCUAUUUUCUUCAGCUUCACGUGUGCCAUCCUCACGGGGAGCAGAGGGGCCAGGAUUGAAGUCUAAUCCCCAUGACUUCUUGUUUUCCUUUGCUGAAGCCUUAGCUAACUGGAGGUUGCGCUUGAAGAGAUUGUCGUCACGACACCAGAGCAAUGAUGUUGGGUCGGCUUCUUCAGGUUGUGGUCCAUGGACCAUGCAAGGAUAGAAUUCUUGCGCAAUGGCUUCAGCUUUGUUCUUGGGGGGAAGGCCUCGAUAGAGAAUAUCACCCCAAGGCCUUUUGAUAGCAUUUUUCUCUGCGUACUCCUGGGUGACGAACUUGUACUUGUACCACUGUUCAGCCCAAUAGCGUCGAAUCCAUUGGAUUCGAGUCUUGCGCUGAUUGUAAUCUUCUUCUGGAUCUGUUUUAUACAUUUCUGCCAGAUCCUCAGGCAGAUCCUUUGAAGUUCCCCCACGACGUUGUCUGCCACCCUUCCUGACAGAUUUCUCCGUAGCCAUGAACUUCAAACUGAACGGUUUCAAUAUGUUCAAAGGCUUCAAAGGCUUUCGCUUGCUGGUCAGACAGGAACUGGCUUCAAGAGAAUUGAUAUGAUGCUGUAAGUAUUCUGCAAAUGAAUGCAGACUAUGAGAACCAAGGGAUUCUCCCACGGACAUGUACUUGUGAUAGCAUUAGAUAUGCGAGGGAAGGGGAAGAGGUCAUAUGCAUUCUCAGAAGAUUUUGAAGAUAAAUCAGUUUGAAGAUAUUGACCUCAUGAUGCGAAGACAUUCACUUAUAUAGGUGAGUUGGUUCCAGAUUUGUACCAGUCCGUGAAUGAGUACAAGUGAGGAAUCAAACUAGACAGGAAAUCUAAGUGAAUUGACUCGGCAGUAUGAGAGGCAGAUAGAAUAGAUCUAACAUUGAAUAGGCAGAAACUACUUUUGGUAAACAGGAUGAAUCUUGAAGAUCAAAAAAGUGGUAAAAAUAGAGUUAUAAUUACCGCACGAAGAACUGCUAGAUGGGAAGAAUAGGAGACCGAGCAGUUCAGCCCACUGUGCCCUACCUUGGCGACGGAGGACACCUACGGUGACGGCGGAGAGGACGAUGUCCGCGGCCGGCGUGAGGACGGCGUCGGAGAAGUCGCGGCAGCUAAGCGCUUUGUCGCAGGUGUCGUCGGGAGCUAGCGGUGGCGCUAGGGUUUUGACGAGGUGGAGAGGUGGAAGAAGGUUUUCUUGACCGCAGGGGACACGUAUUUAUAAGUAGGUGUGCGGCACAGCGCAAUUACGCAGGUGCCCCUGUCUGUUCACAUCCGUGGGACACGUGGAAAGCAUGCAACAUACAUAGAGUUGUCCCACGUUCCCACGCUCGCCAGGCAUGUCGGAGAGUUGUUCCGGCUUCUCCGGAUUUAGACAAUAAAGAUGAAUCAUUUAAAUAGGACUUGAUGUUUGUCUCUGUGUCUUCUGCUGACUAGGACGGAGAGAAGACAUUCGACAGUUUCAAUAGAAUGCAUAUGAUUUGGACAGAUAGAGUUUGAGAUAGAAAGCAUAGAGGGGUUAGGGUCCGAUCACAUUCAAUUAGUUCAAAAGAUUCAACUUGAAGACAUAGCUAUAAGUGAAUGCUGUAGAGGACAGAACGCUAGUGUAUAUAUAUAUAUAUAUGCAACCAACUCAUCAUAGAGCAGAAAAUCAUGAAGAUAAAUAGAAAAUGAAGACAAACCAAAUGCGAAGUCUUUGCAAAAGUAACGCCAUGAGUGAAACACUUCAAAAAGAGAAAUUUGGUGGUGGCGUUACCCACCGUAUAGGAAGUAUUAGACCCAGACACGGCACACAAUUAUCGUGGCGCUCCGAAGUCAAAUUCCAUGUUAAUGUAUUCACACUCAGAGUGUAAAUCUUCAUUGAUUGAAGAUAUACAUUACUUUGUGUGUUGCACAUCUAAGUCAUCAACAUGCGUAAGUGUUAGGAUGUGUGCCUGAUCACAGGACAUUCGAGGAUUCCAAGAUAUUUAGCUCACACCGUAACUUGCAAAACCUUUUCUCAUCCAAGGGCUUUGUGAAGAUAUCUGCCAGUUGCUCUUCAGUGUUGACGUGCAUGAUAUCUAUAUCUUUCUUCAUAACAUGAUCUCUGAGAAAGUGAUGACGUAUUUCAAUGUGCUUUGUCUUCGAGUGCUGGACUGGAUUUUUGGCUAUCUUGAUGGCACUUUCGUUGUCGCAGAAGAGAGGUACUUGUUUCAGGUUGAUGCCAUAAUCCUUGAGAGUUUGCUUCAUCCAUAGAAGCUGAGCACAACAGGAUCCAGCAGCAAUGUAUUCAGAUUCAGCAGUUGAGAGUGAUACACAGUUCUGCUUCUUUGAAGACCAACAGACAAGUGAUCGACCAAGAAAAUGACAUGUGCCUGAUGUAGACCUGCGAUCCACCUUGUCACCAGCAUAAUCAGCAUCCGAGAAUCCAACUAGGUCAAACCUUGAGCCCUUUGGAUACCAUAAUCCGAGUGUUGGGGUGUAAGCCAAAUAUCGAAGAAUUCGCUUCACAGCUAAGUGAUGCGGUUCCUUUGGUGCCACUUGGAAUCAAGCACACAUGCAAACACUAAGCAUAAUAUCUGGCCUAGAUGCACAUAAAUAAGGCAAAGAACCAAUCAUGGAGCGGUAUACCUUUUGAUCGAACUCUUUACCAUUGUCGUCGGGACCAAGAUGGUGUUUGGCUGGCAUUGGCGUCGUGUAGCCUUUGCAGUCUUCCAUUCCAAACUUCUUCAGACAAUCUUUGAGGUACUUUUCUUGAGAUAUGAAGAUGCCAUUGCUUUGCUGACGAAUUUGAAGACCAAGGAAGAAAUUCAGCUCACCCAUCAUGGACAUUUGAUAUUUCUCUUGCAUCAUGUACCCAAACUCAUCACUGUACUUCUGGUUGGUGCACCCGAAGAUUAUGUCAUCCACAUAUAUUUGGCACACAAAUAGUUCACCAUCAUAUGUCUUCGUGAAGAGUGUGGGACCGAGGGAUCCUGGUUUGAAGCCUUUGCUCUUCAGGAAGUCUUUGAUUGUAUCAUACCAGGCACGAGGAGCUUGUUUGAGGCCAUAUAGUGCUUUGUUUAGCUUGUAUACCAUAUCAGGAUGUUUUGGAUCUUCAAAGCCAGGUGGUUGAGCGACAUAUACUUCUUCUUCAAUCUUGCCAUUGAGAAAUGCACUCUUCACAUCCAUUUGAUAUAGCAAGAUGUUGUGAUGAUUAGCAUAGGCUAGCAGUAUGCGAAUAGCUUCAAGCCUAGCAACAGGAGAAAAUGUUUCAUCGAAGUCAAUUCCUUCAACUUGAGUAUAUCCUUGAGCCACAAGACGUGCUUUAUUUCUGACGACUUGACCAUGCUCAUCUUGUUUGUUCCGAUAUAUCUAUUUUGUGCCAAUUAUGUUAUGCUUGCGAGGGUCAGGUCACUUGACAAGUUCCCAAACAUUAUUCAGCUUGAACUGUUGAAGUUCUUCUUGCAUGGCUUGAAUCCAUUCAGGUUCCAUAAAAGCUUCAGCAACUUUCUUCGGUUCUGAUAUUGACACAAAUGAAAAGUGCCCACAGAAGUUUGCUAACUGUGUUGCUCUUGAGCGAGUAAGCGGACCAGACGCAUUGAUGCUAUCAAUUAUCUUCUCAAUUUGUACUUCAUUUGCAACACGAGGAUGAACUGGAUGAAGACCUUGCUCAUGCUGAUCAUUGUCAUCAUUGGAAGUAUUGUCUUCGGUCUGAGCAUUGUCUUCAGGUUGGUUUGGUGUAGAAAUGAUAAGUUCCUCUUCAGGCUGUGCUUCAGAGGGCAUGAUCUCACCAGUUCCCAUCAGCUUGAUAGAUUCACAGAAAGGAGCUUCAUCAAGUGUGCUUGGCAGGAGCUCUCGUUGUGAACCAUUGGUUUCAUCAAAUCGCACAUCCACUGUUUCAACGAUUUUGUAGUGGAAGAGGUUGAAGACUCUGUAAGAGUGCGAAUCCUUUCCAUAGCCAAGCAUGAAGCCUUCGUGAGCUUUGGGUUCAAAUUUUGACUUGUGAUGGGGAUCCUUGAUCCAACAUCUAUCUCCAAAGACUCUGAAGUAACUGACAUUUGGCUUCUUGCCAGUAAGGAGCUCAUAGGAUGUUUUGCCGAGAAGCUUAUGGAUGUAGACACGGUUGAUGAUGUGACAAGCUGUAUCAAUGGCUUCAGGCCAGAACUUUCUUGGUGUCUUGUACUCGUCAAGCAUUGUUCGAGCCAUCUCGAUGAGGGUUCUGUUCUUGCGCUCUACAAUGCCGUUUUGCUGAGGUGUGUAUGGAGCAGAAAAUUCAUGAGUGAUUCCCAUUGUAUCCAGAUACAGAUCAAGGCCGGUGUUCUUGAAUUCAGUGCCGUUAUCACUUCUGAUAUGCUUGAUCUUGACGCCAUAAUUGUUCAUUGCUCGAUUGGCGAAUCGUCUGAAGACGUCUUGUACUUCAGUCUUGUAGAGAAUUAUGUGCACCCAUGUAUAUCUUGAGUAGUCAUCAACAAUGACGAAGCCAUAGAGACACGCCGUUGUUGCGAGGGUGGAGUAAUGAGUAGGUCCAAAUAAGUCCAUGUGUAGCAGCUCGAAGGGUUGAGAUGUUGUCAUGAUUGUCUUCGAGGGGUGCUUGGCCCUCGUCAUCUUCCCAGCUUCGCAAGCACCACACAAAUGAUCUUUCUUGAACUUGACACCUUUGAUGCCUAUGACAUGCUUCUUCUUGACGAGAGUGUGCAAGUUCCUCAUACCAGCGUGCCCCAGCCUUCGAUGCCAUAGCCAGCAUUCUAAAACUUUUGCAAGAAAAUAUACGGCAAACUGUGGACCUGCUGAGAAAUCUACCAUGUAUAGAUCACCUUUCCUAUACCCUUCAAAGAAUAGAGAUUUGUCAGAUUCCGUUAGUACAAGGCAACGAUAUUUUCCAAAUAUCACAAUCAUGUUUAAGUCACAAAGCAUUGAGACAGACAUUAAGUUGAAUCCAAGGGAUUCAACAAGCAUCACUUUAUCCAUGUGUUGAUCCUUUGAGAUUGCAACUCUAUCUAGACCCAAUACCUUGCCUUUACCAGUGUCAGCAAAUGUGAUUUGACUCUUCUCGGAUGGACGUAAGGUUGAGUCCAUGAGAAGACUUUGAUCACCAGUCAUAUGAUUAGUGCAUCCACUGUCAAUAAUCCAUUCUGAAGCUUUUGGUGACAUGCCCUACAGUGCAGUUAGGAGGAUAGGCUUCACAAGGUAUGUUGUGAAGCAUAAGCAGUUGAUGCAUACUCGGAUUAUCACAACAUAGAUGAAAGUUAGCACACAGUAUGACAGGUAAGCGAUUCAUAUGUGGAAUACAUAGUAAGUCAUUUUAUCAUGCGUCCCUUUAUGUUUUAGGUCCCCAGCAAUAGUAUCGGACGCCAUUGAUUGCUGGCUGGAGACCACGUUCUGCAAAAGAGAGUUAAUUCUUCUUCACCACCCACAUCUUUAGGGGUGGCUUAGAAGCAAUGAGUCUAAGUGCAGCAUUUGAGAAUUUCGGCUUUGAAGCCCUAGCAAAUAGCUUUGCAGGAGAUGAAUGAUACUCAUGUGAAUAAGCAGAAAAGUUCUUAGUUCUAUGAACAUAGCAGUUUGAAGACACACACUCAUAUUCAUGAGUCUGAGUAUGAUUUCCCUGCAAAACAUUGGCAUUAGGGUGACUCAAGUGAGUCCUGUGUUCGUAAGUAGCCGUUGGACCAUAUGAUCCCUUUGAUCUGGGGUUUGUCUUCUUCCCUGGUGGUGUCAUGAUGACAUUCACUGGAAGAUUCUCAAGGCAGCUUUUGGGAACCCAGAUCUUCUUCAUAGGAGGUCCAUUCCUGCAGUUAGUACCAAUAUACCUGGCAAACACUUCACCAUUCUAAUUUUUGAACAGUUUAUAGUUUGCAUCAAAGGAUUUAUCAAUGAUAAUAGGGUUAGCGCAGGUAAAUCCAGAUAAAGUGGAUGGAUCCACUGAAGGUUCCUUUGCAGCAACCCAUGUGGUUUUGGGAUACUACUCAGGCUUCCAAUAGGAACCAUCAGCAUUCAUUUUCCUCUCGAACCCAACACCCUCUUUCCUAGGGUUUCGAUUCAGAAUCUGCUUUUUGAGGACAUCACAAAGUGUCCGAUGUCCCUUCAAACUUUUGUACAUCCCUGUUUCAAGCAAUGUCUUCAACCUAGUAUUUUCAUCAGCAAUAGUAGUGGUAUCCUCAGAAGAGGGGUUAGUUACCAUAUCAGUAGUUGAAGACAAACCAACAGUACCAGCAGUGGAACAUUCAGCAAUGGAGGUAGCGUUAUCACGCUCAAUGCAUUUUAGACAUGGUGGUUCAAAUUCAUCCUGAGUGGGACUGAUCUGUUGCGCAAGUAAUGAAUCGUGCUUCUUCAGAAGAACUUCAUAAUCCACUCUUAUCUUUUCAAGAUCUUGCUCUCUUUGAAGACAUUCAGAAGAAAGUUUCUCAUGAUCAGAUAAGAGAGCAUUAUGUUGAUCUUGAAGGGCGUCAAACUUGGAAUGAAGUCUUUGAAGACUCUCAGCCAAAGCUUUUGACUGAUCCAUUUCUUCGCCCAACAUACCAUCGCUCUUACUAAGCAUGUUUUGAAUCUUUUCCAAAGCUCUUUGUUGUUUAGUGGCAAGGGAAGCAAGUUUGACAUAGCUGGGGCCAAAUUCAUCACCUGAUUCAUCAUCACUAGUUUCAGAAAGAUAGCAUUCAGUUACCUUAGCACCCCCUACCAUGAGGCAUGGUGAAGAUGAACACGGUUCAGGUGGAAAGGUCAUCUCUUUAAGAGACUCCUUGUAGUCAUCAAGCCAAGGAUCAUGACGAUUAAGAUGACUAUCAUAGACCUCAGAAAGCCGGUCCCAGAUUAGCUUCGCGUGAUUGAGGUGCAUGACGUUCCUGAACUGAUUUCGGGACAGGCAGGAGCAGAUGACAUCCUUCGCUGUGAGGUUCAGUAGAGUGUACUUGCGAAUGUCAUCAGCCUCCGCCAUCUUGCAUAGAUCAGUAAGACCAAUCUCGGUGAUGGUCCACAGUUCGCUGUCCAUAGCCAUGAGUCGCUUCUUCAUCAUGGCUUUCCACCGGGGAUACUCAUGACCGUCAAAGGUGGGGCAAGAUACAUUCCUCAAUCCUGCAGUUGACAUAGCUGAACUCCAGGUGGUUAAACCGAAUCACACAGAACAAGGGAGUACCUUGCUCUGAUACCAAUUGAAAGUGCUAGUUAUCGACUAGAGGGGGGUGAAUAGGCGAUUUUUAUCAAAGUCUUCAAAACGUGGAAGUUUUGAAGACAAACAAUAGAAAUAACCAAAUUGAUAUGCAGCGGAAGAUAAACUACAACAAGCAAGCCAUAGUCAAGUAUGCAAUAGCGUUAACGUACGAAGACUAAUAGCAGCUAGGUAGUAGGAUCAGGAUGGAAGAUAGUAUGAAGCCAAUCAACAAUAGUAGUCAAGCAAUGAAGUCAAUCAGAUAAGACAGAUAAGCAUCGACUUCACGAAGACAAACUCAAGGUAAAGGAGGGAAGAGAUAGAACCAGUUGCUUGUUGAAGACACAGGAUUUGUUGGACCAGUUCUAGUUGCUAUGACAACUGUACGUCUGGUUAGGGAGGCUGAGAUUCAACUCAGAAGACCGUGUCUUCACCUUAUUCCCCUUGAGCUAAGGUCACUUAGUCCUCGCCCAAUCACUCUGGUAAGUCUUCAAGGUAGACUUCCAAACCUUCACAGACUUCGUUCACCCGGCAAUCCACAAUGACUCUUGAAUGCUCAGAACGCGAUGCCUAACCGGCUGGAGGAUACACAGUCCUCAAGUGUAAUAAGUCUUCAGGUCACACAGACAGAAAGACUUCAGUGAUGCCUAACACUCUUUGGCUCUCGGUGUUUGGGCUUUGUCCUCGCAAGGAUUUCUCUCUCUCAAAUGCUUCGAGGUGGGUUGCUCUCAAACGACAAAAGCCGUAUACUAACUCUGAGCAGCCACCAAUUUAUGGUGUAGGGGUGGGCUAUUUAUAGCCACUAGGCAACCCGACCUGAUUUGUCCAAAAUGACCCUGGGUCACUAAGGAACUGACACGUGUUCCAACAGUCAGAUUUCAAACACACGCGGCAACUUUACUUGGGCUACAAGCAAAGGUGACUCAUCUAGCUCUGGAUAAGGUUUGCUCUCAUUGUCUUCGCUCGAAGACAUAGGAUUUGAGUUGAGCAUCACUUCAGUCACUCUGACUUAGUUCACUUGGACCCCACUUAACAGUACAGUGGUUCCUAUGACUCAACAAAGAAGAAAAGAAAGCAACGAAUCCACACAGUCUUCGCGCUCCAUAGUCUUCACGCAAUGUCUUCUCAUGUCAUAGUCUUCAAUAUGAAUAUCUUCUCAUACCACCAUGGUCUUCAAUGUGUUCAUACAUUUUUAGGGGUCAUCUCCGGUAGGUAAACCGAAUCAAUGAGGGACACUACCUGCAUUAUCCUGCAAUUCUCACAAACGCAUUAGUCCCUCAACCAACUUUGUCGUCAAUACUCCAAAACCAACUAGGGGUGGCACUAGAUGCACUUACAGGGCAGCCAGCCUAGUCCGCAUCAGAGUAGGCGACGAGGUCGGUGGAGGCGGAGGCCGUCAAUGUAAGUCCCAAGGACUGGGUGCCACGUAUGUAUCGGAGGAUACGCUUCACCAGAGACCAGUGAGAGUCACGCAGAGCAUGCAUGUGAAGACAGACCUGCUGAACUGUAUACUUCAAGUCGGGGCGCGUCAGGGUCAGGUACUGCAGGGCGCCCACAAUGGAGCGGUAGAAGGCCGCAUUGGAUGCAGGCGAACCCUCCAAAGCGGAGACCUUGGCCUUGGUGUCGACUGGCGUGGGAGCAAGCUUGCAGUUAAGCAUGCCAGCUCAGUCAAGAAGCUCAUGGGCAUAGCACUGCUGAUGUAGGAAGAACCCAUCUGGCCGUCGAACCACCUCAAUGCCAAGGAAAUAAUGCAGAGGACCCAAAUCCUUCAGGGCAAACUCAUCACGAAGACAAGCAGUAAGCCGCUGGAGGAGCACGACAGUGGAUGCCGUCAGUAUGAUGUCGUUGUCGUACAGCAUCAAGUAGGCCAUGUCAACUCCGUGAUGAUACACGAAGAGGGACGCAUCAGAGCGAGUCGAUGUAAAUCCGAGAGUCUGCAGGAAGGCGGUGAUGCGCUGGUACCAGGCUCGAGGUGCCUGCUUCAGCCCGUAGAGAGAACGGGAGAGCAAGCACACAUGAUCUGGAUGUGUGGCGUCGACGAAGCCGGUGGGCUGCUCACAGAACACCUGCUCAGCCAGGUGGUCGUGCAAGAAGGCAUUGGACACGUCCAACUGAUGCACAUGCCAUGCUCGGGACACGGCAAGCUGCAGUACGGUGCGGAUCAUGCCCGGUGUCGGAGUAAUGGGCCACGGGUAGGCUAACCCGAGCCCCAGGACAUUUCAAGACAUCGGGGCAGGCCGCGCCCCUCAGGCCGAGUCCCAGGAGCGACUCCAAGGUAUGCCGAGUCCCAGACGGCGACUCCCAGAUAAGUCGACUCCAAGCUGGCGACUUCCAGGAAGGCCGACUAUGGAGAGUCGGCCGAAGACUCCUCCCUUUUCCCGAAGUACGACGCGGGGUACGGUCACGGCAUGGCCGUCCCCCCUGCUUACGAAGGGCCGGCAUGGCUAUAGUGAGUCGUACCGCUGGAAGAUCUCCGGCGAGAUGCGGCACUGUUGCCAUGCCUGCCCUGAUCUCAGCCACAGUACGCAGUACACAGUGCCCACGACGCCGGCCUGUACGACCUGAAGGCGGUGGGGCCGCUUGUCAGUGGGUGGGCCGAAGGCGGCCUGGGCAACCCGAAGACGGACCUGUGGGAGUCGGCCUCCCUGGAGACGGCCGACUCCUCCCGGGGCCCCACGAGCCAUUAAUCAGAUAAGAUGGGGAAUGGUGACAGUGAUCACCCGAUAGACGGCGGCAUUGUUGCCACGACCCGAUGACCGAACCUGCAUCAUCAGGAGUGCCGCUACAGUAUCAAGCCUGUCCGUGGGACCCGCCAGUCGGCGGGCCCCAGAAGCCGGCGGGAAGGACGGCGGCCUGAGAGACAGAUGGCUGGGACCCGCGCCCAGCCGGAUUACUAUUGUACCCCCGGGGGGUAGGCCUAUAUAAACCCCCCGGGGGACCCAUGCAAAGGGUUCGAACCUAGAGAGAGAGAUAGACCAGAUAGCCCAGGAAGGAGAGAGCUAGCCUUGCCCUCUCCUACCUCCCGAAACAGCUCCAGGAGCACCAUUGUAGUCGCUUUGCUUUAGUGAUCAUGCGGAGACCCCGCAGAGCAGCAGUAGGGGUGUUAUCUCCUAGGAGAGCCCUGAAGCUGGGUAAGUUCCGCCGGCGUGCAUGUCUUCGCCUCAUCCCGCUUCCAGGCACCGGCGACGUUCUACUCGCUCCCACCAUGAUAAGCCAUCCUUUGGCAUAUGUCGUAUCCAACCCCCAACAUUUGGCGCCCACCGUGGGGCGAGGUCCACCAUCGUCCGGAGAUCUGCCCUGGACGGGAACCCUGUUCCUCCCCGGCGAGCACAGCCAGCCCGGCACGCCGGACGGCGUGUGUGCCGACGCGCUACGCGGCGCUGAGAUCGCCUGUGCAGCCAGCUGCCUCGCCGAUCUUGUCGGCGAGGUUUGCCUCUCCGACGAGCCUGCGCCCGACGCAGGCACGAGUGGCCCCGAGAGCCUCCUCGCGGGCCUCCUCGACCAACUCCACGUCGCCAGCGAGCCUACCACGGACCUGGAGUCCAUAGGAUCCACCAACCCGAUGCUGGUCGACUCCGACACCGCGUCGCUCGACGCAUUCCCCACCAAUGUGGUGGUCUAUGAUGAGCCGCUCUCAUACGCGGGGAGCGGCGGAAGCACUGUCACUGAGGUCCUCCUCCUCGAGCACGGCGAGCGCUCCGGCGAAGGAGCACACGACCCGUUUGACGCGGCCCUGUGAGACCUUGCAGCACCGGUUCCGGAAGACGCCGACGCCGGGACGCUGGAGGCGCUCCGCCUUCAGCUCAUCGAGGGCGCGAAGAAGCUGGCAAGCAUGAGGCGCUUGUCAGAAGCUUACCAACGAGAGAUGGAUCGCGCCGUAGGCGGCUUGCCGGCUCCAACCGGGCCUAGCCGCUUAGGCGCGGUCCGACAGUGCGGCGCGGCAAUCGCCAACCUCUUCAGGGCUGAUCGCCCUGUGUAUGCCAUGCCUGCAGACAAUAUCCGUGCCGCCAAGGCGGUAGCAGACGAGCUCGACAACUUCGAAGGCGAAGAGCGCCGCAUAAUGACGGAGCGAGUUCAAUAGCUCCUCGACGCGGCUGCCGCGCAGAAUAAUGCCGGCUGCCGCACCGAGGCGCCGCAGCGCCAAAACGACGACCCACCGCCUCGCCGAGACCAAGGUGCGACGUCUCGAACGCCGACUGGCGGGGCCCGUGGGAAGAAGGACAAGGAGCCGGCUGCCAGCCGCAGUCGGACUCACAUCACCAUCGAGCGCGACCAAGACUGCCGCCCUAGAGCGGUGGAAUGGCGGGACGACUACUUACCUCCCCCUCCUCGCAGAGAAAGACAAGUCUCCCCGCCGCCCGUAGAACAUCCAACUCUCGGUGACCGCCUUGGCCGCCGAGAGGGAGUCGGAGAGAACGACGCCCGCCACCGGAUCGACCAACUCCACCGAUCCCUGGCGCUGGAAGAAGAAGACGAGUUGGGUCCCCCCUGCUUUGGACCCCGCAUCCGGGACGAGCCCUUUCCCAAAGGGUUCACGCUCCCCCAAGACACGCCCAAAUAUAUCGGCACCGUGAAGCCAGAAGAUUGGCUGAUCGACUACUCCAUAGCCGUCAACAUAGCGAACGGCAACAAGCGUGUUGCCGUAAGGUACGUCCCGCUCAUGCUCCAGGGCUCGGCACGGACGUGGUUAAACAGUCUGAAGCCUCGCAGCAUCAAUAGCUGGGUCGACUUCACCGAGGCUUUCGUCCGCAACUUCACGAGCACGUACAAGCGACCUCUCAAGCCACGCCAGCUCUCCUUGUGCGUGCAAGGCCCUGACGAGUCUACUCGCGACUACCUCACGCGAUGGGGCGAGCUCCGGAACUCCUGCGAGGGCGUGCACGAGGUGCAGGCCAUCAAGUACUUUACUGCCGGGUGCAGAGAAGGCACCCUCCUCAAGCACAAGCUCCUCCGCGAUGAGCCGGAGACCCUCAAUGAGCUGCUGAUCACAGCGGACAAGUACGCCACGGCCGACUCCUCCAUGAAGGCGGAGAUUCGGGUCAGCACAACUGGCAAAGUUGCCCCUCAGGCUCCAAGAACUCCGGCUGGAGACACCAGUCGGCCGCAACAGCAGAAUGACCAGAAGCGCAAAGCCCCGCAGCCGACUUCCAGCAGUCGGCAAGUGGCAACGGCAGAGGACCAGUAGCUGGAGGGACCGCCUCCGGCGAAGCGGCAGAAGGGCGGCAAGUCCAACUGGCUGCCGGCUUUCUCUUACGAGCAGACUCUAGAUGGUCCCUGCAAGUUUCACAGCGGCGCGAAGCCGUCAAACCACACCACCAGGAAAUGCCACUGGCUGACCAGAAUCGCCAAGGGGGACGGCCUGCUCCCUCCCGCUCCUGCUGGGCCGCCUCCUCCACCACCACCCCAGCAGCCGGCCGUCAGGCCAGUCGGCGCGAUACAAGACGAGUUCCCAGAUGAGCACGGAGCCUAUGUGGUGUUCACCAGUGUAGCGGAUGACCGGCGCAGCAGGCGCCAACAGCAGCAAGAAGUGAAUGCGGUUGCAUCAAGGCGCUACCCAUCCAGAGACCGGUAUAUUACUUGAGCGAGGUGUUGUCGACCUCCAAGCAGAACUACCCCCAUUACCAGAAGAUGUGCUACGGCGUGCAUUUUGCCGCCAAGAAAUUGAAGCCUUACUUCCAGGAGCAUCCAAUCACCAUGGUCUGCACAGCUCCACUGGCCGAGAUCAUUGGAAGCCGAGAUGCUUCUGGCCGGGUGGCCAAAUGGGCCAUCGACCUGGCUCCCUACACCAUCUACUACGAGCCCCGCACCGCCAUCAAGUCACAAGCACUAGCCGACUUCCUCGUCGACUGGGCCGAGACCCAGUAUCUGCCGCCAGCGCCCGACUCCACCCAUUGGCGGAUGCACUUCGACGACUCCAAGAUGCGCACCGGCUUGGGAGCCGGCGUCGUCCUCACCUCCCCCAAGGGCGACAGACUCAGAUAUGCGCUGCAGAUCCACGUCGCCGCCUCCAACAAUGUGGCCGAGUAUGAGGCGCUCAUCCACGGGCUCCGGCUUGCCAAAGAACUCGGCAUUCGCCGGAUCCUAUGUUAUGGCGACUCUGACUUGGUGGUCCAGCAAUCAUCUGGUGAUUGGGACGCCAAGGACGCAAAUAUGGCGAGCUACCGUUUCCUCGUCCAGCAACUCAGCGGAUACUUCGAGGGGUGCGAGUUCCUCCACGUGCCAAGGAACGACAACGACCAAGCCGACGCCUUGGCACGAAUCGGCUCCACCCGCCAGGCAAUACCAUCUGGUGUCGCCCUCCAGCGCCUCCUCAAGCCUUCUAUCAAGCCGUCACCAGAAUCAGAUUCAAUCUAUGUGUCGUCUCCGCCUGAGGAGGACGGAUCCGACUCCAAGAAACAUACAGUCGAAGCCGGCUCAGGGACUUCAGAACCCGGCCCGAGGACUGCGGUAGCAAGAUCGAAGACUCCAGAGCUCGGCCCGGGGACUGCUCUAGUCGGCCCCGGGACUUUGUCAAAUCAGCAAGCGGCUGCGGACUCCAACCCGCCGCCUCCCAGCCCGGCCGCCCUUAUCCAAGUCGCACUAGUGGCAGUUGAAGAAAUAGCAGCACCUUCAUGGGCCCAGCCCAUCCUCAGAUUCUUAGUAAACAGAGAGCUGCCAACUGACGAAAUCUUGGCUCGGCAAGUGCAACGCCGAGCAGCAGCCUACACCAUAGUCAAUAGAGAGCUGGUCAGGCGCAGCGUUACCGGCGUCUUCCAACGCUGCGUCGAAGCAGAACAAGGUCAGGCAAUCCUCAGAGACAUCCACGAAGGCGAGUGCGGUCACCACGCGGCCUCAAGGGCACUCAUCGCCAAAGCCUUCUGGCACGGUUUUUUCUGGCCAACCGCUCUAGAAGAGGCCAAAGAGUUAGUCCAAAAGUGCAAGGGGUGCCAGAUUUUUCGUUCCAAGCCACUUCAGCCGGCUUCCGCACUCAAGACUAUCCCCAUCGCCUGGCCCUUUGCAGUUUGGGGCCUGGACAUGGUGGGACCAUUCAAGACGGCACGAGGUGGCUUGACUCACCUACUCGUCACAGUGGACAAGUUCACCAAGUGGGUGGAGGUGAAACCCAUCAAGAAAUUGAAUGGUCCGACUGCAGUGACCUUCAUCGCUGACAUCACAACUCGGUACGGCAUCCCACACAGCAUCAUCACCGACAAUGGCACGAAUUUUGCCAAAGGCGCCUUGGCCAGUUUCUGCGCGACAUAGGGCAUCCGACUGGACUUAGUGUCCGAUGCCCAUCCGCAGUCAAACGGCCAGGUGGAGCGAGCAAACGGCCUCAUCUUAUCCGGCAUCAAGCCUCGACUCGUCGUACCGCUGGAGCGAUCUGCCGGCUGUUGGCUUGAGGAGCUACCAGCCCUCCUUUAGAGUCUGCGCACGACUCCAAACAAGUCAACCGGCUUCACACCAUUCUUCCUCGUCUAUGGCGCCGAAGCCAUCAUCCCAACGGACAUAGAGUUCGACUCCCCGCGAGUCACCAUGUACACCGAGGAAGAAGCAGAAGAAGCACGUCAAGACGACGUCGAUCUGAUGGAAGAGGGCCGGCUGUUGGCACUCAGCCGGUCCAGCAUCUACCAGCACGGUCUGCGUCGAUACUACAACAGGAAGGUCAGGCCAAGAUCCUUUCAAGAAGGCGACCUUGUGCUCUGGCUGAUCCAACAAACAGCCGGCCAGCACAAGCUGUCGGCACCUUGGGAAGGCCCCUUCAUCACCAGCAAGGUGCUAGGGAAUGACGACUACUAUUUGAUCGACGCCCAGAAGCCCCGAGCAUGCAAGAGGGACGAUUCCGGCAAAGAGAUAGAGCGCCCGUGGAAUGCAAAUCUUCUUCGAAGAUUUUACAGUUGAUGCAGUAUGUAUCACACUACCCCUUUGUAUUAAAGUACUAAGACUUUGGGCCCCCCGAGACGAGCUCGGGGACUGCCCUUUUUGUUAUCUGUACGAUAAGAAUUAUGCCUCCGAGUACAUUACUUUCAUUACAAGCCGCUUGGCACCGGGCCUGACUAGUCGGCCCGGGGACUCGCCGCCUUGCGCUAUGAGAAGCUUCCCGCAGUCAGACAAGUAGUGUGCGGUGCCCAAUCCGCCUCCUGGCAAAGCCACAGCUCGCAGAGUGACUGUGAGGCAGGCAGGAGUGAGGAAGAACGGGCACCCACGCGAAAAAUGGCUAAGGACCUAAAGCACGAAUAUAGCAUAAGACGGCCUCCAGCAUUUCUGAAGAGGACGACCGACUCAUGAGUAGCCGGCUCGCCGUCUUUAUUAGCCUUUAUUAAGGACGACCGACUCUUGGGUAGUCGGCAUGUCACUUUCUAUCCGACUUGCUAAAGAAACUCUAAACGGCCAAGUCCUUGCCUUCCCGAAGUAGCCAAGCACUUGACCCAGCGACAGUCCGCAGAGCGGCUGCUCGACUGACAAGGCAGCGACUAAAGGAAGGCGACAAAGGGAAAAAGCCUAAAGAGCAAUAAGCAAGGAAAGACGGAAAGCAGAUUAAUAUUUACAUAGGCCCUUGGCUGAAUCUUCGAAUAGAAGUUCAAGAUACACCCCACGGGUGGAAUUGUUCGAAUCUAACAAAGUUUUCAAAAGAUUACUAAGAAAGACAAACAGUGGCGAGAAAGGCGGCCUAGGAGGCGGCAUCUGGGAUUGGAGGAUCGGAGGAGAUCGCGGUGUCAGGCGCCGGGGCAGUCGGCUGGGCGGUCUUGGUUUGAUCGCCUCCGGCGGCAGUCGUUUUCUCUUGACACGGCUCGUUGCUGGAGGCGCGGUCGAGCUGAGGCUGGCCGCCUGCUCCGUCUCCUGGCACCUCCGCCUCGCCUUCGGCCUCCGCCUCAUCCUCCUCCUCAGUGCUGGAGUCGAUCACCUCCGCCGAGUCCUCGCCAUACUCUGGGUUCAUCCCGAACCACUCUGACGGCACUUCCUCGCCGCCUUCAGCCCGCUCGGGCACGAAGACGCUGGUGUCCGUGUACUCGGCGAUGGCCGCCGCACGCUCGAUAAGGGCGCCCUCCACGGCCUCCACCUCGGCCUGGGCUUCUGACCGGAACGCGGCCAGGCGGUCCAGGUCCAGCCCUGGAUACCACGCCUUGAUGAACUCCCAGGCCCGGCGCGCUCCGGCCCGGGCCGAGGAGCCCUUCCAGGCCUCAAGACGGCCGACAGCGACUUCCAGCCAGUCGGCGGUCCGACUGGCGGUGCAUAGAGCCGGCAUAUCCGGCCACAAAGCGGCAACUGCCUGUGCGCUGGCACGCUGAAGCCGGUGCAUCUGCCGGUGGGCCGGACGAAGACUGGCUUGAAUGCUCAGGAGCUGUUCAUCAACGGUUCGGGGGGCAUUGGCGGCGAUCUCCUCACCAUUCGCCCUUCGCGCCUCACGAGCAGCCUCGAUGGCCAGAGGAACCGUUUGCGAGUGACCAGGGAAGAAGUCUGCCAAGACAAAAAAAAAGAAGAAGAAAGUCGAAAAAUCAGAAGUCGGCCUGACACAUAGUCGGAAGCGCGAAGAAGCGAAAGAAACGUACCAUCCACAAUAUCCUCGAUCUCGUGGAAGCCGGAGGUCAGCAUCGCCUCCCUGUCAGUCCAGGAGGAGCGCUCGCUCUCGAACUCGGCCAGGAGAGCGGCUUCCUUCUUCUCGGCCUUGUCCUGCGCCUUCUUGAGCAUGUCCUUCUCCUCAGCCAGCUGCGCCGCCAGCAGGUCGCGCUCUGUGGCGAGCCUGUCACACUCCUCCUCCUUGGCGUGUCGGGCGAUAUUGGCCUCGCCCAGCUGCUCCUGAAGAGCGGCGUUGGCUCCUGAAAAACGAAAGAGGAAACAAAUCAGUCGUCAGCAAAGAAGAUCGCCGGGAAGAUCCGGCCCGACUGCUCAGCAGUCGGCCCGAAUCUCGGGGACUACAGCCCGCGGGUGCGCCAGCGCGCCCCCGCGAAGAAGAAGAACUCACUCCGACUUUCCGACAAGUCGGCAGCCCGCUUGCUCAACUCCAAACAUUGCGGUUGAAGGCAGUGGCGCGAAGGUUGUGAUACUCCUGCAAUAAGUCAUUGAAGACGAAGUUAGUGUUUGGAACUCGCCAGAGGGAGUUCCGAACCGCCUGCUCAGCAGCCGGCCCGGAACUCGGGGACUACACCCAGUGGGUGCGCUGGCGCGCCCCCAAAGAGAAAAACAAGAAUCAAGAAGGAGAAGAAACUUACUCGGACGGCCGUUCGCGCGGCCAGGUGCGCUCUGGUGCAGGCCUGAAGGGCGUCGCCUUCGGCCCGCAACUUCGCCUGGACUUCCAGGAGCAAUUGAUUUAGCGGCCCGGUGCCGCCUCCGCGUACCCACCCGGUGGGCGCGGCGCUUGUGGCCUUGGCAUCUAGAGCUGCCGAGCUGGCAGCGCCGAUCUCCCGAGGUCGCGGUGCCGAGGUCGCCCUCUCAAGACAGCGACACACCGGCGAGGCGACUUGGAGAAGCAGCCGCGCUUCGGCCUCGUCCAUGGCCGGCGGCUCCGACGGAUCCACCGGUUGUUUGCCGUGCGGUCUCCCAGACGGCGGUGGAGGCGGCGGCGGCGGCACGAGAGCGUCCGACAUGGAGGCCUUGCCGCUCUCCUUCUCCGCGAGGGGUUCUCGGUGCCGGCUCCCCCGGUCUGCCCCGUGAACUCUGGAGGAGGCGGUGCAGACGAUAGUGGGGGACGAGCAUCGCCGAUCGGCGACGCGCGGCCUCCUCGGCGCGUCGUAUCGUUGCAAGGAUGGCUUCGGCAUCAUCCAGCUUUUUCUGGGCGGAGGCGGCCGCCCUGUCGGCCUCCGCCUUCUCCAAACGCGCGGCCUCCUCCUCCUCGCGCUUCUCCUGCGCAUUCCGCUCCGUCGCCUCCCGGAGGUCGACGGCAGGGUCGGGCCGCCAAGUAUUGGCGGACGUCUCUGCCGACCCCAUGACGGAGGGGACGGCGACUCUCUCAAGGGAAAGAGGGGCCCUGAAGAAGAAUGGAGGGAGUAUAUAAACAAAGACUCGGACAAGAUUCAACGAAGAAAAUAAAAGAGCGUAAAGACUUACAUGGAUACUAGCGGCGGCUUUCUCACUUCCCUUCGGAAGCGGUUGGCCUUCGCGGCCGCCUCCUCUCGUCUGGUCGCGGCGGCCGCCCCCUUGAGCUUUUUCAGUUUGCCGCCGGGCGCACUCGGCCCGGCGUGACACCUCUUCGCGCCGCCUUGGCCGGCGGAGGAGCCGGCGCCCGACGGUCCGAUCCUCAGCUGGUGGCGCGGAGCGACUUCGCCUUCAGCGUCGUCAUCAGGCCAGUCGGCGAAGGUGGUCGAGGGCCUGAAGUCGCCUUCUGCCCCUCCUCCCCCGCCUUCGGCAUCGGCUUCCAUCGCCGCCGCCCCCAAGUCGGGGUCGGCGACGUAGCUCUCCGCACGGUCGGGAGCAUACUCACGGGGCUGCCUCGUGGCGCCGGUGGCAGGCUGCAUAAGAGGAUUCUAGUUCAGAAGAAGCCAGCAAGAGUCAGAAGCCGGAGCCGGCUGCAGAAAAAGAUAAAACAGCAGGGAGACGCGACUUACCACUGUUGGAGGGUUGUCGCGUGAGUACGGCUCUUUGCCGAACUGCCAGUCCUCCUCGUACUCGCAGUGCGCAAUGUAAUUCACCAUGUUCGCCACCUCCUUGCGGGGCAUCUCCUUGGUGCUCAUCCGACUUGGGUCUCGGAGGCCGCUCAUCUGACAGAUCAGGUGAGGCCGGCCUUGGAGCGGGAGAACUCGGCGCGCCACGAAGGCGGCCAACAAGUCGGCCCCGACGAGUCCCUCCGACUGCGUCAAGACUCGGAGUCGCGCCACGACGGCGGCUCCGGCGGGAGUCAGCAUCUUGACUCGGUGGGACCAGCUGGGGAGCCCCCAGUCAGAGGAGCGGCGUUGUAAGGCGGCAAGUUGACCCAGUCGCCGUCGGAGGCGAGGUUCUUCACGUAGAAGUACGAGCGCUGCCACAUCUUCACCGACUUGAUCAGCAUGAUGGGAGGAAAGGGGUUGUCGGCCGUCGAGCGCCACAUCACGAUGAAGGCGCCGCACUGGGCCGGCACGCUGGCGAUGUGCGUGCCGAGCUUAGAAGAGAAGAAUUCUCCCCACAGCUCGAUGGUGGGGAGAACACCGAGGUAACCUUCGCACAGAGUGGCGAAGGCGGAGAGCAGCACCACCGUGUUCGGUGUGAGGUGGUGCGGCUGAAGGCUGUGGAACUCCAGGAACGAGCGGAAGAAGUCAUUCGCCGGCAGCCCCAGGCCGCGCAUAAGGUGCGAGCGGAAGAUGACCCGCUCGCCCUCUUCCGGCGCCGGCCGGAUUUCCCCCUCCGGCGCGGCGCGGGGGCGCACGAGGUCCGCGCUGGGGAGACGGCGGGUCUGGCGGAGGAACUCGAUGUGUUCUUCCUCUACCUCCAAGCCGUCCCAUACGCCGGAGCGCACGGCAGUGACCGCGGCGGAGGAAGAGCUCAUCGUCGCGGUACGAUGUGCUCCUGCUCAACGGCGGAGGAAGGAGGGAGAGAAAGCAAGAUGAGGCGGGGGAGCGGGGAAGAAGGGCGCGCGAGCUGUGCCGCUCCGCUUCCCCCCGCCUACUUAUAGCCCUGCGGGCUGAGGAGCCGAGGGGGCGGGCGUGGGAUCAACUGCGCGCGAUGCCCCACGCCGCCCCACGAUUUGCCCACUAAGUUACUGCACGCAGUAACGACGUGGGAAAACCAACCGCCCUCAGCCACAACGGAUCCGUCCGUAUGCCGAGGCACGGUAGUGGCGGGCCCCGCCUGAUGGCCCGUCCCGUCACGCGCGUGGGCAGGCAGACUGUUCUCCCCACGUGGCGCCACGCGAUAGGACCGCCCUGAUGGCUGUGGGAAAGCGUAUCAGGCACGCCGCCUGGCUUCCCGCUGCGACUUUCGAAUUGAGGCUCUUCACCGAAGCUCCGACUUUCGACAGUCGGCCCAAGGGAAGAUGGCACUUUUAAAGAUUGAAGCUGUUGAAGCCCCAAAUACAGCGACCGCAGGGUUUCACCAGCUUUGGGGACUACUGUCGGAGUAAUGGGCCACGAGUAGGCUAACCCGAGCCCCAGGACAUUUCAAGACAUCGGGGCAGGCCGCGCCCCUCAGGCCGAGUCCCAGGAGCGACCCCAAGGUAUGCCGAGUCCCAGACGGCGACUCCCAGAUAAGCCGACUCCAAGCUGGCGACUUCCAGGGAGGCCGACUAUGGAGAGUCGGCCCAAGACUCCUCCCUUAUCCCGAAGUACGACGCGGGGUACGGUCACGGCAUGGCCGUCUCCCCCUCCUGCUUACGAAGGGCCGGCAUGGCUACAGUGAGCCGUACCGCUGGAAGAUCUCCGGCGAGAUGCGGCACUAUUGCCAUGCCUGCCCUGAUCUCAGCCACAGUACGCAGUACACAGUGCCCUCGACGCCGGCCUGUACGACCCGAAGGUGGUGGGGCCGCCUGUCAGUGGGUGGGCCGAAGGCGGCCUGGGCAACCCGAAGACGGACCUGUGGGAGUCGGCCUCCCUGGAGACGGCCGACUCCUCCCGGGGCCCCACGAGCCAUUAAUCAGAUAAGAUGGGGAAUGGUGACAGUGAUCGCCCGAUAGACGGCAGCACUGUUGCCACGACCCGAUGACCGAGCCUGCGUCAUCAGGAGUGCCGCUACAGUAUCAAGCCUGUCCGCGGGACCCACCAAUCGGCGGGCCCCAGAAGCCGGCAGGAAGGACGGCGGCCUGAGAGACAGACGGCUGGGACCCGCGCCCAGCCGGAUUACUAUUGUACCCCCGGGGGGUAGGCCUAUAUAAACCCCCCGGGGCACCCAUGCAAAGGGUUCGAACCUAGAGAGAGAGAUAGACCAGAUAGCCCAGGAAGGAGAGAGCUAGCCUUGCCCUCUCCUACCUCCCGAAACAGCUCCAGGAGCACCAUUGUAGUCGCUUUGAUUUAGUGAUCAUGCGGAGACCCCGCAGAGCAGCAGUAGGGGGGUUAUCUCCUAGGAGAGCCCUGAAGCUGGGUAAGUUCAGCCGGCGUGCAUGUCUUCGCCUCAUCCCGCUUCCAGGCACCGGCGACGUUCUACUCGCUCCCACCAUGAUAAGCCAUCCUUUGGCAUAUGUCGUAUCCAACCCCCGACACCCGGUUUAACAACCGGGGCAAAUGUGUCGGUGAAGUCCAUGCCCGCACGUUGCCGAAAACCCCGAACCACCCAGCGAGCUUUAUAGCGCUCGAGAGUGCCAUCCGGACGAGUCUUGUGCCGAAAGACCCACUUGCCCAUGAUAAUGUUGGCACAAGGCAGCCGAGGGACGAGCUGCCAGGUACGGUUCCGCUGGAGCGCAUCGAACUCUUCCUGCAUCACAGCGAGCCAAUGAGGAUCCCGAAUGGCGGCUCGAGCUGACGAUGGGAGAGGAGACGGCUCAGAGGCGGAAGCAGCGAGAAGAUACUCAUCGCUGGGGUACCGCGUGCUCGGACGAAGGAUGCCAGCCCGAGAGCGAGUCAUCGGGCGGGGCAGCGGGUCCGAAGGGGAGGCGGGCAAGGACGAAGACGAGCCCGCCUCUGAUGGGACCGCCGCGGGCAAGGCCUCCGCGGACGAGGCCGCCGGUGAGACUGUGGGCGAGGCCGCCGGUGAAGCGGCGGGCGAGGCCGCCUGUGUGGCGGCGGACGAGGCCGCCGGUACGGUCGACGCCGGGGACGCCGUGGGCGUCACGGGCGUCGAGGGAGGUGCAGCCCCCAGGGCAGCCAAACGGGGAGAGACUCGACCCGUGGCGCGGGGGGCACCCUCAAAGCCGGGAGGCGGCCCAAGAGAGGCACGUGGGCAGCCAUCACCGGGAGCGGGCAAGGCCGCAUCAUCCAAAGGUACCUGCUGGAACGGAAAAACCAUCUCAUCAAAGUAAACAUGUCGUGAAGUGAUCACCCGAUGGGAGAUAGGAUCAUAGCAGCGGUAGCCUUUGGUGUUAGGAGGAUAGCCGAGAAAGAUGCAGGCCACAGACCUGGGUUUCGAGCUUAUGAGGAGCGGUGGAAGCGAUGCUGGGGUAGCACAGGCAACCGAAGAUGCGGAGCUCAGCAUAGGAGGGUGGCAUGCCAAACAAGAGGUGAUGAGGUGCGAAAUUCCCGUGAGUGCGACAGCGACGAAUGUUAAUGAGUAGUGAUGCGGUGGCAAGCGCGUCGGGCCAAAAACGUGGUGGCACAUUGGCGUGAAAGAGGAGGGUGCGAACGCAUUCAUUUAGAGUGCGUAGCACGCGCUCUGCGCGGCCGUUUUGUUGCGAAGUGUACGGGCAAGUGAGACGAAAGAUCGUGCCGUGGGUGGCGAGAAGGUUGCGGAUCGCAAGGUAUCGAACUCCUUCUCGUUGUCUGUUUGCAACGCAUGAAUGGGACGUCCAAACUGCGUGGAGACAUAGGAGUAGAAGGCGGUGAGAGGGGCAACAGAGUCCGACUUUCGCCGCAACGUGAAGGUCCACACAUAGUGUGAAAAAUCAUCAAGUAUGACAAGAUAAUAAAGAUAGCCCGUGUUACUUGCAACAGGAGAGGUCCAGACAUCACUAUGAAUUAACUCAAACGGGUAUGAUGCGACAUGCGAGGAAUUGCUAAAAGGAAGACGAACAUGUUUGCCGAGGCGACAAGCAUGACAAGUGUGAUCGUCGAUCUUAUUACACGUGAAUGAAAAACUCCAAAGGAUGUGACGAAGGGUGGCGAUGUUGAGAUGACCGAGACGAGCGUGCCAAAGGUCCACUCCGGCGGAAAGCGCCAUGGGUGCAGCAACGGAUGAGGUAGGUGAGUGGACCGGGUAGAGCUCGUCGGGGCUGUCACAUCAGUGGAGCACCAUCCGGGUACGGGCAUCCUUGACAGAAAAGCCAAACAUGUCAAAUUCAACGGUAACAGGAUUUUCACGUGUAAGAGAACGAACAGAAACAAGAUUUUUAAUGAUGUCAGGAGAAACAAGCACAUUAGAAAGAUAUAAUGGCAUGGAGUUAGAGGGAAAAGCAGCAUGGCCGACAUGAGUAAUGGGCAUGGAAGAACCGUCACCCACGGUAAUGCGAGCAGCGGUGUGAACGGGGUGAGCGGCAAGAAGGUUACCGGGGUUGGCGCCAUGUGAGCCAUGGCUCCAGUGUCCAUAUACCAGUCGCCACCGCCAGUGUACUGCUGCGACGUGGGGGGCGGUGUGGAGAUCCGCUAGGAGCGCGGGAUCCCAAGGCGCCGGUGGGAGGGCCGGGGCAGACGGCGCCGGCUGAGGCGGUGGCGCCACAUACCCAUAGCCCGAGGGGCUGUAGAGUGGCGCGGGCUGGUACGCCUGAGGGGCCGCGUACAGGGCCUGAUGAGGAGCCGGGCGGGCGCCAAAGGAACCGGGGACGGGGGCACGCGGUAUACGCAUGGAGUACGCGUGCACAACCCCCGUCCAAGGGUUCUGGCCGGCCUGCCAGGGCGCCGGUGGCAGCAGGUGCUGCGACUGGCGGGGCGCCCCGCCGUGGGCAGCGGGUUGCUGCGGCUGCUGCUGCUUGCGGCCUCCACGACCGCGACGCCUGCCCCGGCGCUGCUGCUACUCGGCGGGGGGCGGAGGGGCCUGCGGUGGCGCCGGGUAGGGAAACCCGGGCGGCGGCGGUGCCUGGAAGGGGCCCGGGGCGGGCCGCGGCGGUGGGCGGCGCACCGCCACGUGUACCGGCGGUGAGGGCCGUGUGGGUGGCCCGGCUGCGUGACAUCCGCAUCCGCCGCUCCUCCAGCUUCAGGUACGCGACGAUCUUGGGGAAGGUCAGGUUGGUGAUGAGGGGGAUGUUGGAGGCGGCGUUCCCGAAAUCAUCGUUCAGGCCGGCGAUGAGGAUGCUGAGGAGAAGCUCAUCGGAGACCUUCUCGCCGAGGUCACGGAGCUCGUCAACAAGCUUCUUGAGGCGCAUACAAUAAUAGUCAAUGGACGACUCAAGCUGUUGGCACCCAAAAAACUCGUCGUGCAAGAAGACCUUGCGUUGGAGCGCGUUGUCGGUGAAGAGGCCGUUGAGCUUGGUCCAAACGGCGUGAGCGUCAUCGUCGGCGGAGACCACCGUCUGGAAGAGGUCCUUCGAGAUGGUGGUGUAGAACCAACGGAUGAGAGUGGCGUGGAUGGCCGUCCACUCCUCAUCGUCCUCCAUGAAACGGGAGUCCACGGAGCCAUCGAUGUGAUCCCGGAGAUUGUACUCACGGAACACGAGGGAGAAGUACGUCUUCCAGGCAUAGUACGUGUAGGUGAGGUGGUCGAGGACGACGGGAACCCGGGCGAGGAUGUUGAGAUCGCGGAUGACGACGGGAUCGGGACCUUCAAACGGGUUGGUGCGGCGGCUGCGGGAGGUACAUGGAACCGGGGGAGGCCAUGGCCGAAAGGGGGUGGUGCGGCGGCACUGGAGCGGCAGCGCGGCAGUGAGGAGGGCGACGCGGAUUAGGGGCGGCGCGGCAAGGAAGAGGGNNNNNNNNNNGCGGAAGCGCGGGCGGCGGCGGCAGACCAGGACGGCGGCGCGGCGACGUAGGUUCGUGGCGGCGGCAGCACAGGUGGCGGCGGCGGCGGCGGCACGGGUUAGGGUUAGGAUCGUAGGUAUGAUACCAUGUUGUAAACGAUUGUUUUGGCAAUGCUUCACGAUGUAUUGAUCGGUGCAAAGCGCACGUAUAUAUGGAGUACAAAGUGAGCCACAACCUCAACUAUACAAAGACUAGGAGGUGGCCAGGCUAUACAGUAUACAUGCACAAACCAUAUAUUCAACACAUGGCAGUACAACAAACAUCAGAAAUAAUAAUAAAAAACAUUCAGAUCCGUAGACCAUCUAGCGACGAUGACAAGCACUGAAGCGGGCCGAAGGCACGCCGCCGUCAUCGCUCCUCACUCGCCGGAGUCGGGCACAGCUUGUUGUAGUAGACAGUUGGGAAUUCGUCGUGCUAAGGCCCCAUAGGACUAGCGCACAGAAUAGCAACUGCCAUCAUUGAAAAAUAGCGUAGAUCGGAAAGAUCCAAACCGAAGACACACGAACAUAGACGAACAACGACGAGAUCCGAACAAAUCCACCAAAGAAAGAUCCGCCGGAGACACACCUCCACACGCCUACCGACGAUGCUAGACGCAUUGCCGGAAAGGGGGCUAAGCGGGGAGACCUUCAUUCCAUCUUCAGAGAGCCGUUACCGUCUCGCCUUCCUGAUCAGGCCACAAACCCUAACAAAACUGAAAGAAACGGCUAAAAGCGGAGCCCUCCCGUUGGCCCUUGCUAGGAUCCACCGCACCCCCAUGGCCCUAAGACCACUCGAGAUGAGGCGGAUCUACGGUAGCACCGGCGAGAGGCAGGAACCUAAACUUUUGUUUUGGAGGAGGGGGGGGGGGGGGCAGCGGCAUAAUUUGUGUACUCGUUGGCUGAGAUUGAUGGAGUAUAAUAACUACUCCCUCCGUUCUAAAAUAGAUGAUUUAACUUUGUAUUAACUUUAGUACAAAGUUGAGUAAUUUAUUUUGGAACGGAGGGAAUAAAAUUUUAAAAUAUGUACUCCCUUCAUUCUCUUAUACAAGGUCACAAACUCAAAUUACAGAUACCAAGGUAAAAUUUAAUGACAACUUUGCAAGCCCACUUUUCUUUUCGUUAACCAUUCCCUUAUACAGGACAACUUUGCAAGGUAUUUUUCUUAGUGGCCUUGUAUAAGGGAAUGAAGGGAGUACAAUUUUGUACUACUAAACUAGCUGCAAGUAAUAUGGUUCGAAAGGGAGUAAGUUUUCUAUUUAUUUUUUUCCUUUCAAUUUACCAGUACUUACAUGGGUACGCGUGGAGCGAUGUUCACAGGUGUUUUUUGCAAAUACAUCAAGAUAAGUAUAGCAACUAGUAGUUGGCUAUCAGAGCCCACUUCAAUUCAGUGAUCGAUGAACAACUAGUGGUACGAGCCGAGGUGGCACCACGCGCCAUUUUACCCACAGAAUCACAGAUGACCAGAAUGGAGGGGGGCCAUGGGGCGACGGAGGACAUUUCACCCACAGAAUCAUAGAUGGCCAGAAUGGAGGGGGGCCAUGGGGCGACCGAGGACACGUGGGGGGCUCACCGGUGGAGGGCCCCACGCCGCAGGGUUGCGUCGCAUGCAGGCCCGGUGCAUCGGUGAGCAGGAGAGCCCUGACACACUCGCCGCUGCUGCCUCCUCCUCCCCGCAAAUGCGAGGCCGUUUUCGAUUCAGAAGCUCAGUCGCCAUGCGUCAAACACUCAAACCUCGGCACGCUUCACAUGGGCCCCUCGCCACGCUUCAUAUGGGCCCUGCGCCGGCCUGGCCCGGGAUCCACUGUGGCCGAGGAUCCAUCCAGUCCAGCAGCAACCUGCAUGCACAGGCAAAAAUCAUCAUCAUCCGGUACGUGCAUGGGUUCAGUCUCUCUCUCAGGCAAGGCAAGACAGAAGUUCAUAGCUUCAGCUCGGCCGCAGAAGAUCCGCUUUGGCAUCAGCUCACAACUGCUGCUACCAGGAACAACACUAGUAUAAUAAUAACUUAAUAAAAUCAAUUGGGUGGUCAUAGGAUUUUAUUUUUUAUUACCCUAUUUGUAGAGACCAGUGCUGACAAUGAGGGGACGGAGGUUUACAGUAGUUUACAUUAUUUUAAUUUAUUAUAAGGGAGGUCACAAAGUUGUGAGGUGAGUUAACUCAGUGCAACUCCAACGGGCCGACCCAAACGGACGGCGCUUUUGUCCGUUUUUGUCCGUUUGGGUCGGCCCGGCCGCCCGUCGUCCGUCCUUUUUUAGAUUUGGUCGGCAACGUGCCUAACGCGACGAUCCAUUUCAUGACCGCGUGCAUUUUUGGAUCAUGCCAGCGGCCAUGUCGUCGUCCUGAUUUUGGCGCUUGAGCGUGCGGGAGAAAAUCGGCCUAGCGCGCUGGUUUUGAUGCUCCAGAGCGCGGGAAAGGUUCGCGCGCUUGUUUUGGCGCGCCGCGACCGGCGCUCGUUAUAAGAAGGCGCUCCCUUCACACUCAGUCCGCCGCCCACUCGUCUCGUCCCCUCUCACUAGCCUCGCCGCCUCUGCGCCACCAUGUCGAUGUGCCACCUCGGCGCUUCGGAUUUUCGCGGAGUCCGCGAGCGCCCCUCCGUCGCCUUCUCCGCCGAGAUCUUGUUUGGUGAGAAACGCCUCAUCCUCGGCACCUUCGACACCGCAGAGAAGGCGACCGUGGCGCCUCCGGCGGCCUAGUCGGGAGAUGAAUUUUCCCAACGUGUCGAGUCAGCGGGCGCAGGAUCUGGCGCCUCUCCCGCGGCAUUUUACCGAGGAGGAUCAUCACGUCCACCGGAGGCGGCAACGUCGCCUAGCCAUCGCCGAGAUGGACGUGGAAGCAUUGGUGGUAUGGCGCGAACGCUUCCCACACGACAUCGUCGACGAACGUCAGUUCUAUGAACAAAGAAGGACGAAGAGGGAGGCGAGGAGGACGGAGCGAGCCGCCUAUCGGGUGGGCAAGCGUGCGCGGAAGCAGGCCGCUCAAUUGAGACUGAAGCUGCGAGAAACAUCGGGGUGGGACUUCGAGGACGAGCAGGCUGCUGACGCCUACAUUCAGACGUCGGAGGAGGACAUUACCGAGUCGGAGUCGGAAACCGACGAGUAGUUGAUCUUUUCUUUUAUCUGUGUACGCAAGAUCCCUUUCCAUCGGAGAAAAUGACCGGCGGCGUCGGCGACGAAGCAGGCGGUGAAGGGUGCGCGGGAGGGAGGAGAGAGGGCGAGCGCGCGCGCAUCCGUCUUGUGUCCUGGCCGACGCAAAUCCGGCUCAAAAAAUGAAUCGAGAAUGGGUCGGCAGACGGACGAAAGCGGACGCGUGUACGUUUGGGACGCCGCGUUGAACCGACUUUUCUGUCUGCCGACACAAACGGAAGGCGGCUGACAAAAUGGGUCCCCUCAUUGAAAUUGCUCUUAAAACACUUUUCAAUGGGGUGUGAUGGAUGGAUCAAAGUCCGUGCCUAACUGCAAGUGCAAUGACCAUCCCAGAAAGACGGUUUUGGACCCUUCCCGGUGCCUCCUACUACGCUGAAUAAUGGUGGCAUAUAGUAGUUACCACUAACCCCACUCCGAAUAUAACACUGGUAAAGUAAAUAUUUGUUGGUUUGGUCUUUGUACUUGUGGCAUGUGGUAAGGACAGGGUCGGGGUCGGGCUGACCCUCUCUAGCACACAUAACCUUCACAAGUUACUUCACCACCUGAGUUGUCUAUCAUCAGCCCCAAAACAGGAGAGCUGUCUCCCAUGUUAUUUUCCAGGCUCAUUUCUACAUCUUUACCUGCCAAUUAUACGUGUAUUGCACUUGAGAAGAGUCUAGAACAAAUGAUACUGGUUGUAUUUUGUGCAAUGUAAAUAUAUAACAAAAAUUGAAUGGCAAGUCUCUUAACAGAAAAAAAGUUGGAGAAUUGAAGUACGAAAGAAUCUACAACCCUUUUCAGUGGGAUCAAAGUAUGUGCCUGACUUUAAUGACCAGUCCAGAAAGACGGUUUUGGACCCUUCCGUGUACCUCCCAGUUACCACUAACCCCACUCAGAAUAACACGUACUGGUAAAGUAUACUAGUAGUAUUUUGUUGCUCUGGUCUUUGCAUUGUACACAUGGCAAAUGGUAAUCUCAAGGACAGGGCGGGGCUCACAUCGCCUUCACAAGUUACUUCAUCACCUAGCUGUCUGUCAUCAUCACCCGAAAAAACUGAGAGCUGACCACCAAUAUUUCGAGUCCCAUUUAUGCAUCUCCACAGGUGUGAUGCAUCACCAGCCGUGCAGCAUGAGUAAUCAUGGUUUAGGAUGACAAGUAACACGGGCAUUAGACAAUGGCUGCUCGCUUAUGCCAAGAUUACUCAGUCACCUCGGCAUGUUUCAUGGCGUGUACUUGCAUUCUUUCGGUAAUAAAACCACACGCAGAGCACCUGGUCACAUUUUUCUUCAUUGCAAUGAUGCCUGACCUUUAUGUCCAACAGACGCAUCAUGUCUAUCCAUCCCUUGUCACCCUUUCUGCCGAUUCCCUACACAUGAGUGUAGCGAGAGGUCAUUACACACGAGAAAAGAAAAGACCUCUACUACUAAGGGCAUGAUCAAUGCAUAGCCUAUGAUCGGAUGCUAGAAAAAGUAGGUUUAGAUGGUGUAUCGGGAUCCUCAGCAGGAGGAGGGUGUUUAGGAAGAAAAAGUGUGAUCCGAUGCAUAAAGCUGGAAAAGUUGAAGUGAAGAAUAGGGAUGUAUGUGUAGUGGAAGUCUACUUUAUAUUCUUUGGUGAGGCCCACUAGUACUAGCUUGCGUUGGGGAGAAAAAUCAAUAUCGAUGCCUCAAACUAUUGUUUUCUCCUGGAGCAUCUGUAUCAAUAUGCCACCAUUGUACAUGCCCUAAGGGCAUCUUCAAGGUGGACCUGCAAGCCUCCGGCAACCGUCCGGACCACGCAGUUUGGACCGUGGAGACCAUCCAACGCGGUCUUGUAUCGGUCUGUAGGGCAGAUUUCAGCAGCAGACCNNNNNNNNNNNNNNNNNNNNNNNNNNNNNNNNNNNNNNNNNNNNNNNNNNNNNNNNNNNNNNNNNNNNNNNNNNNNNNNNNNNNNNNNNNNNNNNNNNNNNNNNNNNNNNNNNNNNNNNNNNNNNNNNNNNNNNNNNNNNNNNNNNNNNNNNNNNNNNNNNNNNNNNNNNNNNNNNNNNNNNNNNNNNNNNNNNNNNNNNNNNNNNNNNNNNNNNNNNNNNNNNNNNNNNNNNNNNNNNNNNNNNNNNNNNNNNNNNNNNNNNNNNNNNNNNNNNNNNNNNNNNNNNNNNNUUCUUUCGAUGCACGCACCGCUUACCGCGCCACAUUCAUGCCGGCCCAGAGCACGCGGCGGCCAGCAUUGAUGCCACAAUGUGGCCGGAGAGAGGGAGGGCGGCGCUGACCAACGCGACCUCUCAGCAGCCGCCGCUUCAAUGUAGACGCAGAUUCCCGAUGAACUAACUUCGGCCGUUGCGCCACAUUGAAGCGGACUACCCCUUUGACUGGGUCUCACCGCGGCUAUCUAAACCAUGCGUCGGCGACGCUAAGAGCCGUACUCCCCUCCCCUUCCCCAUCUUCAUGCCCAAGCCCCUUCCUCCCCCUCUUCGACCCAAUCUUAGCCCCGAAGUCGUUGUGCUCCACGCCGGCAGGCGGAGUAGGCAGAAGCUCCUCCUUCGACGGUUCUUAGCACCACCGCCCACGCUCUCCGGGCUCGUCAGCGCCACAAUGGCCUGUUCCUCCACCAAGGAGGAGAUCAUCAUCUCCUUCGGUGAUGAGGAGGACCAGCGCCGCCGCCGCAGCUGCAGAAGCCGCCCGACUCCGCAAGGAGUCCGCUCUGACGGAUGAAGAUUCCAUCCAUCAGAUCGAGAUAAUGAUGGAGCGGUCGCUUGGUUACAUGGGGCCAUCGCCGCCAUCGUUGGCGCGCAUGAAGGAGGAACCACCGUCCCCGCGGCGCCAUGGUGUGAAGCCCAAGCCGGCGUCCACGCUCCUGCUGGUGAAGGUGGAUCCGGCUUCGCUCGGCACAAUCGCGACGUCCAUAUCGGAUGCCGCAUGAAAGAGGUGCGAAUGUCACCCGGCGCAAUCGCGACGUCCAGAUCGAAUGCCGCGUGAAAGUGGUGCCAAUCUUGCCCCUCACAACCGCGGUGUCCAUAUCGGACGCCGGGCCAAGGUGGAGCCUGCGUCCCCGCCACGCAGCCGGUUCGGCCGCAUCGACGCAUCAUUGUCGCCUCUGCGCUGCCGCCCGCGAUCAAGAAGGCAUGGGGCCGCCUCCUACACUACCUCGAAGAGGCGGUUAUGGAGGUCCCUCGGGCUCGAGGGCCAUAGUGUCUGAGGCGGAGUGCGCAGCUCGGCAACAGGCGAUGUACGACCGGCGUAAUGCCAGUCGUCGCUCCGUGUUCGCCAAGAGUGAUGUGGUGCCGGACUGGGUCUGUAACGACCCAGACCUCACCGCCGCGUGGGCGCUCGACCGCUCCGUGAAUACUGCGGAGACGGCCGCCAGGCGUCGCCGCCGCCUUGAUGGCUACUCGCCAAGAUCGGCGAUGAGUGGUCGCUUAGCGACUGCUCCACCAAUGCCAGUCGCGGCAAGGCCGACGCCAGCGCUCCGAAGGCCACGUCGCAGUGGCCGCGAUGGCACUUCUCACGAUGCAGCCGGAGGCGGAACGGUUCCUCCACGAGCGGCAGGCGUCCGCCGCACAGGUUUGCCGCAGCCCUCCGGCACCGUUCUGCCGCUGGAGGAACGAUGAUGGCACCAAUGGAGACCGCGGUGCGGCAAGGCAGGGCGGCCACACGUACGAGGUGGUCGUCCGGUAUAGGGUUUGGGUUUUCUUCUAGACCUUUUUAUGUAAAUUAUAUCUAAACUUGAAUGAAAUCCGCCUGGUUUGAUCGAAUUCGUGAGGAUAGCUCGAAUUGUUGGGCGGAUAUAUGCGGCUAGGACUGUCCCCCCUGUCCACGGACAGAUGUAGGAGGAAAUUUACGGGUUGUUGUUGGAGAUGCCUUAAGCAGGGAGGGCACACACACCACCCCCGGAUUCCCCUACUGCAUAAUGACUAGAAACAAAUAUAAUCUCGAUACGUAGGUUCCAAUUAGGUGGUUGAAUUAUAGGUGUUGUAACAAGGGCCUUUUUAGUGCUUCAAAAGCUUCCACACAAUCAUCAUAAAUGGAAAAUGACACAUCUUCCUGCAAUAAAUUUGAAAGAGGUGCGGAUAUCUUACAGAACUUUUAAAUAAAUCUCCUAUAAAAUCCAGCAUGACUUAGGAAACUUCUUAUAUCUCUAGGAUGUGGGAAAUUUUCUAUAGCUUUUAUCUUAGCUCUCUCCACCUCAAUACCUCUUUUAGAAAUUCUGUGUCCAAUAACAAUACCUUUGUUUAUCAUGAAGUGACACUUUCCCCAAUUAAGGACUAGGUGUGUGUCUUUCAAUCGCUGCCAAGAUUGUACAAGCAAUUAGCAAAUGAAAUUUCAUGGAUUGAGAAAGCAUCCAUGAAGAUCUCAACAUUUUUUCAACCAAUUCCAAGGACAUAGAAGCCAUGCAUAUUUGAAAAGUAGAAUGUGCAUUACAUAGCCCAAAAGACAUAUGUUUAUAAGCAUUGGUUCCAAAGGGGCAAGUAAAAGUAGUUUUCUCUUGAUCUUCAUGAGAAACAACUCUUCGAGAGAAACCGGAAUAAUGAUAACAAAAAUGUGUAUGUUUAGAUGACCUUUACAACAUUUGGUCAAUGAAAAGAAGUAAAGGAUAAUGGUCUUGAAUUGCGUCCAGAUAUGCAUUGUCUCGUAGAUCAUUUGUCUGGUCAUCGUUGUGUAGAUCAAUUUUUUCUGGAUAUACAUUAUUUUGCAGGAUCAAUUGUGUCCGGAUAUGCAUUGUCCUGUUGGAUCAAUUGUGUCUAGAUAUGCAUUGUUUUAUACGAUCGAUUGUGUCCGGAUAUACAUUGUUUUAUAAUGACCGGAUAUGAAUUAUUGAAAAUGUUUUAUGUUGUAGCCUUCCCAUGUGUGUAGUGUAUUCUUGAAGUUGGAGAAAAAGAACGUCAUGGUCAUGCAUUUUUUUGUUAAAGUUGAAUGGACAACCCAAGUAGAAUCUAUACAUUAUCAAGGCCGUCGCACAUGGCAUCGAGGAAGAAACCGGCGAUCCAACCAACCCAACAAAAGAAACGGCCAAGAAGGUUAGAAGAGGCUUCCGAGGAAAGAAGUGCAAGGAGGAGAGCACGAAGCGAGAAGGGGCGGCGGCUAAGAUGACGGAGAAAUUCGAGGACAUCUUUUCGAAGAAGGAGGAUGCAUACAUCAAGCAUUAUGAUGUCAAGGAGGAAAAACACGGAGAUGUUUAACAAGUUGAUGGCAGCGACCAACAAGAAGCUAUUGCUCGAAGAGAGGGAAGGUUAGAUCGCAGCUGCGUCGGAGGACGCGAAGAUGUUGACAUUGAAGAUAGAGGAUUUAGAUGAAGACACAAGGAUGAUUGUGCAAGCCCUCUGUUGCAAGAUGUUGAAGCAGCAGAAGGAAGAGUAGGAGGCAUUGGAGAAGACGAAUGAGGAGAAGGCAACGACGGAGAAGGAGGCGACGGACAAGAAGGCCGCCGAGACGAUGGAGAAGGAGGCAGUUCUGGCAAUGGCAUAUCGAGCGUGGAGGCUCCGAUUUCAUGUCCGGUAGAGAUCAAACCUGACUCGACCCCCGCGUCGCCCCCGCUCGGGUGACUCGGAUGGGGCCAAAGCCUAGCCGCCGGGCGAUCCUUCCUUCCGUCCCUCCCUUCCUCCCUCCCUCCCUCCACCUAUGUUGGGGGACACCGUCUGGCUAAGGCCAGGCGCCGACGACGGUGGAGGGGGGUCUCCCUCUCCCAUGUCUCGGGGAUGGUGCAGAGCCCCUUGGCAUGAGGAGGUGUGGCGGUAGGCCUUGCGUCGGGUCUUGGUAGCGCUGCGGCCGGUCCUGCCUCAUGUGGUGAUGGUUGUGGGCGCGGCACCCAGCCUUGCCUCAUGCAGCGGCGAUGGCUGCGUUCGGCGGUGGUAGCUGGAUUUUUGGCGCCGGGCCAUCUGACCUCGGAUUCACAAUGGUAUGGAAGGCCUGGUGGACGGAUCAGCGGCAUGCGUAGUCUGGCCUCGUGCCAAAUCUGAUCUGGCGAGUGUGGCCUUAUCGUUGCAUGGUGUCAAUGAUUGGUGUCGGCCCGUGCACACGAUACUAGAUGGAGGUUUGUAGAGCAGAGAUCCAGGUGAAAACCUUGCUCUCGACUAGUUUCCAAGGAUGGUGUCGGUGUCAAAACCGGCGGAUCUCGGGUAGGGGGUCCCGAACUGUGCGUCUAGGCGGAUGGUAACAGGAGACGAGGGACACGAUGUUUUACCCAGGUUCGGGCCCUCUUGAUGGAGGUAAAACCCUAUGUCCUGCUUGAUUAAUAUUGAUGAUGUGUGUUACAAGAGUGAAUCUACCACGAGAUCAAGGAGGCUAAACCCUAGAAGGUAGCCUAUGGUAUGAUUGUUCUUCGUCCUAUGGACUAAAGCCAUCCGGUUUAUAUAGACACCGGAGAGGGCUAGGUUACACAAAGUCGGUUACAAUGGUAGGAGAUCUACAUAUCCGUAUCACCAAGCUUGCCUUCCACGCCAAGGAAAGUCCCAUCCGGACACGGGACGAAGUCUUCAAUCUUCUAUCUUCAUAGUCUUGGAGUCCGGCCGAUGAUGAUAGUUCGGCUAUCCGGACACCCCCUAGUCCGGAACUCCCUCAGCCGGCGAUGGCAACACUCUUCUGUGUUGUUCCCUUUUUGAAGGCAUCACCAUGGAGAAGCUAUAGACCUCUAUCUGCUGCCUCCUGGGGAAACCUUAAAUCAGUCGAUCGGAUGACGGUGGAACUCUUGUGUCCUUCUCCCUUUUGGACGGUCAUUCUUGGAGGUGUACAUAGGCUCGAGGGACCAGUGGACGACUUCUGCGGUGGAGUGGUGGUUCCUGUGACGCAUCGACGACAUGGAGUCUCGGCAGCGUGGCGCUGCAGGGUCUCGGCGUACAAUGCAUGAUGAUGGACGCGCGUUAGGGUGAUGGUGUUGUCUAGCGCCGUGGUGGCGUCGAUGGCAGACCUGGCAAGAUGGAUGCCUUAGUACCUACUUUGAAAAUGGAUCGGUGGAAGACGGUAGCGACGGCCUCUGCAGCAUGCGCAUGAGGUGCCUGCCAAGAGUGCAUCGGAUCGGUGUGUGACCCAGACCCGACAAUUCGGCUUCAUUGGGGCCCCGGCUUUACAUGUUAUGCGUUGGUUUGAGAUAUGAGUAUGCGGCCCCGACAAUCUGCACCCGUUCAUCAAGUGUAUAGGAGUAGUGACAUAUGUCGCCAAGAAGGUGGCUUUAGACAUAUUGAUAUAUUAGUUUGUAAGGUCUUGAUGAAGGAUUAAUAAAAUGGCUGCAUGCAUCACCCUUAUGCAGAGGUCGUGGUCAUCCUCCUUUUCGAGAAAAAUGUCUGUCAAGGAUAAAAUUGCAAUUUUUUUGUAAUCGGACACGUAAAAACUAUGCACACUUUUCUUUUUCGGUUGUAAUCUGACGCUGAUGUGUUCCAGCGCGUGCUAUGUGAUCGGGUGGAUUUGGCAUUUAAAUAAACCGUACUAGCAAACAUAAGGGAUAGCGUUAGAUGACCAACUUCUGCAUCUGUUUUCGUGGACUGAUCCUGUCGUUCGUGGAAAAAUGUGGUGUUCAGUUUAGAGGUCGGUGUUGGAGAUGCCCUAAGCAUAAAGGCUGGAUUAAAUCUUGUGAUAUGUGCGCUGGUUUGGAAUAGGGCAGCGGCCAAACAAAGUGUAGUGACCUAGUCAUAGCCCGGUGUGCUGCCCUGCCGUGGGGAUUCGUCUGGUACUUCGGUGUUCUGGUGGAGCAUAUUUGUUGUUGCAUUUGAACCGGAACCUGUUGUUUUUUCUUGCUCCGUAGGCAUCUCAUCAUUGAACUGGACUUCCUUUCUGGCUGAUUGAUUUGAUAUUUU
rnacentral:lncRNA from 1 species